GCGGGAUGGUGAGGUUUGAGGUGAUCGAGAAGCUUGGUCCUGAUGUUAAGUGUAAGUGUACUGAUCCUGGUUUGUUGCUGCCUCGGGCUAAUUUGACUUUCUGGAGGGACGGGAGUUUAGUGCGAGAACGCAAUGCCAUGCUUCCCACAAUUUCGUCUAAGGUUUGCUCAUUAUUUUCGUUCUUUUACAUAAGAAAAACAUUGAGGGACUCAUCGGUUGAUGUAUGUAUUGAAUUUCUUAAUGUUAUUUUUUGUAUGCGACUUACAUAGUGAGUAAAAUGCAUAACGAUGCCCUGACGAGCCUUCUGUAUGUUCCAACUUCCGAAUACAUAUAUUUGUCUAGUUAUAAACUAUGAUUGACAAUUUGACAUUAUAAAUUCCACAGGGGCUGCAUUCCACUCUUUACAUUGUUUUUCGAACCGUAUUAGCAAGGCUUUCGAAUGUGCAAGCUGAAUAUUGAUACAUUUGAUGUGUCCAUUAGGAAUUAUCAAAUGGUUCAAAUUGAAUUUUUGAAUGCAUAUAUGCAUCUUCAAUCACGUCUAGUGAUGGUUCUGUUGCAUAUGCUUUUGUUUCAAUAUUUGUUAAAGCUUGUUCAAAACUAGUUAAUUAUUUAAUGCCAUUACUUUGAAAAGAGGAGAAUAAGUUUUGAAAGGCUGAGCUAAAAGUCUAAGACUACACUAUUAUAAUCAUCUUUUCUUCAACUUCCACAUGUUUAUUUUCAGUUUUGAAAUGACUUUCGUUUUUAAGAUUCUCAAAUUUAAAUUAUACUACUUUCUUCUGGUAAGCACAGCUUUAUCAUAUUAUUACUAUUUGGUUAACUCUAUUGUUGGUUUGUAAGCAUGGAGUUAUGGUUUCAGUGCAUUAGUGUCUUCUGAUAUGAAGCAUCCUUACCUACAGAUUUCGUAUCACAAAGAUGGAUCUUCUCUUGAGCUAGAUUACAUAAAGGAAUCCCAAGUUUUGAAUAUUUUCAUAAUUAUUAAUUCGUGUCACAAUCUUAAAUUGGUCAUAAGGCUAAUUCUAUACUCUAAUAACCCUGUCUGGACUCUGGGGUGUGGUCUGGUCAUACUUCGAUUCUUAAAAGCAUAAUCAUGAAUUGGCAAACUUUGAAUAGUGUAUAUCAUUUGUGCUUGUGUAUGCUAGCAAUGAUAUGCAUUUGUGAUUGUUCUUCAUUUCUUCUGUUAUUGCUAAAAUGUACUUGUGUAUUAUUUCUACAUAAUAAUAUUGGUAAGUUCUUUAAACUUAUCUUUUGUUCUCACACUCUGAGUUUUCAAUAUAUUCAGGAUUGGUUGGACAUUGAUUUUGGGAUUGCAGAGGGUGUUGAUUUUAUCGCUGUAUCUUUUGUCAAGUCUGCGGAAGUGAUUAAUCAUCUUAAAAGCUAUAUUGCUGCACGGUCACGAGAUAGGUAAAGAACUUAAGUCUUUGAAUACGUAUAUUAUACAUAUACAUAUACAUAUUAUAUUUCGUGGUCAUAUGUUUUCGCUUCAUUAUGAAGCCUCCUUCAUGUUGUUCCUAUUGAGUAUUGAGUCAGUGCUCCUGUUAGGCCAUCUUCAACCGAAAGGGGGCCAAAGGGCCAUGUUUAGCCCUAUAGCCUUACAAGAAAUUAUUUUUUAAUGAACAAUGUUAGGCCAUAUUUUGUAUCAUCUACAACCAAAGGGGCCAAAAGCCAUAGGCCAAAACAUAGCCCUUUGACAAAAAACUCAUCUCCAACCGGAGGGGGCUAUUUUUAAUAUGUUCUAUAAUGAAAAGGACCUCCGAACAAUAACCAACCAACAACAACAACAACAACAAAGCCUUUUCCCACUAAGUGGGGUCGGCUAUAUGAAUCCUAGAACGCCAUUGCGCUCGGUUUUGUGUCAUGUCCUCCGUUAGAUCCAAGUACUCUAAGUCUUUUCUUAGAGUCUCUUCCAAAGUUGUCCUAGGUCUUCCUCUACCCCUUCGGCCCUGAACCUCUGUCCCGUAGUCACAUCUUCGAACUGGAGCGUCAGUCGGCCUUCUUUGCACAUGUUCAAAAUCACCGGAGCCGAUUUUCUCUCAUAUUUCCUACAAUUUCGGCUACUCCUACUUUACCUCGGAUAUCCUCAUUCCCAAUCUUAUCCUUUCUCGUGUGCCCACACAUCCCACGAAGCAUCCUCAUCUCCGCUACACCUAUUUUGUGUACGUGUUGAUGCUUCACCACCCAACAUUCUGUGCCAUACAACAUCGCUAGCCUUAUUGCCGUCCUAUAAAAUUUUCCCUUGAGCUUCAGUGGCCUACGACGGUCACACAACACGCCGAAUGCACUCUUUCCAUCCAGCUCGUAUUCUAUGGUUGAGAUCUCCAUCUAAUUCUCCGUUCUCUUGCAAGAUAGAUCCUAGGUAGCGAAAACGAUCGCUUUUUGUGAUCUUCGCUAGAUUGCUCCGGUCAUUAGUGUGGAUAAGUAUAUAAAUGGAUAGAGAUAGGAAAGCAAAACACAAGAUGUACGUGGUUCACCCAGAUUGGCUACGUCCACGGAAUAGAAGAGUUCUCAUUAAUUGUGAAGGGUUUACACAAGUACAUAGGUUCAAGCUCUCAUUUAGUGAGUACAAGUGAAUGAUUUUAGUACAAAUGACAUUAGAAAAUAUUGUGGGAGAAUGAUCUCGUAAUCACGAAACUUCUAAGUAUCGGAGUGUGGUGUCGUCUUGACUUGCCUUAUCUGUCUCAUAGGUAGAUGUGGCAUCUUCUCUGGAAGUACUAUUCCUCCAUCCAGGGGUGGUAUCUUUAACUGGUGGAGAUGCACAAGGUAAUGUAUCAAUUUCACUUGAGGCUUACUUGUAGUUUCAGGCUUGGUCAAGCGCGAUACAAACCAUGUAGUAGGAGUUCCCCAAGUCGCCGAGCUAGGGGGUCUGCUGAAAGAGGUGACAGACAAGGUAAGCAAUCAGAGCUCCGACUGAUUGUUCACCUUCUCCCCAUCUUGCAGCAGCAUGAAGGAUAAAGAGAGAAGAAAAAUGAGAAGAGAUGAUAUGAGAUACUUUUGCUUUUGAAGAAGUAACUUUCCACAGGCUUAUUCUUGAACUGAGCUGGAGGGUUUUCUGGUUUCCUCCAGAGUAUAAGGCCGACUGAAGAAUUUGAGGGUCAAAAACAAGUCCAUCAAAUCUAGAGUACGUUCCACCCUGCUGAUAUGGGAUACUUUUGCUUUUGACAGAGUAAUGAAUGUAUCGGCACGUGUGCUGUUACGCUUGUCUCCACAUGCUUCCUUGUAUCCUUCGCACUUGCCCUAUCUGUUCCUCAAGCAGAUGCGGAAUCUUCCCUGGAAACAUAAGAUGUUGAAGAUGAGUACUCGAGAGCAAUGCCAGGUAAGUAAUCAGGUAAGGGGUUCCAGGCAGUCAGUUCCUGGCUGGAAGCUUGAUUCCAAGUGCUGACUGAUUGCUCUUUCUCCUUGUCUUGCAGGUAAAAACAAGGCCAAAAGAAAAGACAGGGAAAAAGCAUGAUAUGGGAUACUCUUGCUUUUAACCCUGAUGAUAUGAGAUAUUCUUGCUCUAGUAUAGCUUGUUUGCAGAGGUAUUAUCGGGGGGAAAGAAAGCUGAAUAUUUCGAAAGGCUUCGUUGGGAGUGCCCUCUCAGAUAUGAUGAAGGGUUGAGCAUUUUUGCAGGUCUGCCUGUCCGUUGGGGAUGGAGGUCGACAUAUAUAGGAGUCUCCCUAACAACAAGUAGUAAUGCUAUUCCUUUACCCUGCUUGGUCAUAGCACGGUAGUGGGAGCUGCCAGUUUCACAUGUUUUUAACUCUGUCAGAGCACUUUGAAAAAGUGGUCUGUGGUAUCUGGCUCUCGAGAUUCGGAGAACGAUGCCUCUUCGAUUUUUGAGAAAGCAAUCAUGCUGGGGGUAUGACUCUCGAGAUUCGGAGAGCAGUGUCUCUUCGAUUUUUUGAGGAAGUAAUCAUGUUGGGAGUCUGGCUCUCGAGAUUCGGAGGGCGGUGCCUCUUCGAUUUUGGAGCAAGCAAUCUUGUUGGGAGUGUUGUCUCGAAUGUGAGUAAAGGUUGGGCAUGUUUGCUAGUCUACCUUGCCACGAAGCACAAAGGUUGACACACAGGGACUUUCCAAUUAUCCAGCAAUGGUACUGUUCCUUUACCCUCUCUUCGAUUUUGAGAAAGUAGUCAUGUUGGGAGUCUGGCUCUCGAGAUUCGGAGGACGGUGCCUCUUCGAUUUUGGAGCAAGCAAUCUUAUUGGGAGUGUUUUCUCGAAUGUGAGUAAAGGUUGGGCAUGUUUGCUAGUCUACCUUGCCACGAAGCACAGAGGUUGACACACAGGGACUUUCCAAUUAUCCAGCAGUGGUACUGUUCCUUUACAGUUGUGGGUAAUAAUAUGGUAGCUAGACCUUCAAAAUUUAUGUGUCUAAACUUUUGUUAGUGCUGUUUCUUUGCUAUUCUUUUACCUUUCUUGGUCAGAGCGAUGUAGUGGGAGCUGCAAGCUUCACGUGCUCAACUUUGGCAGAGAACUUUGGCAAAGUUAUUUGUGGUACCCAUGAGCUAUUUAUUGCGUGUGGGAAGUGGGUGAUUGAACAGUAAGAUUCAUGUGUGCUUUCCUACUUCACCAGAAAGUCUUCGACAGAAUGCCCAUAAUUUCUGCAAAGCUGAGUGUGCGUGUGACAGGUGCUGACAAGGCUAGAAAAAGUAGGUGCCUCUUCGAUUUCUGAGAUCGGCCUGGUCUCUUGGUGUCUCUGAGCAGCCCAGCUCUUGAGAAAGCGAGCGCCUCUUCGAUUGAUUCGGAGAACGAUGCCUCAUCGAUUUUUGAGAAAGCAAUCAUGCUGGGGGUCUGGCUCUCGAGAUUCGGGGAGCAGUGUCUCUUCGAUUUUUGAGAAAGUAAUCAUGUUGGGAGUCUGGCUCUCGAGAUUCGGAGGGCGGUGCCUCUUCGAUUUUUGGAGCAAGCAAUCUUGUUGGGAGUGUUUUCUCGAAUGUGAGUAAAGGUUGGGCAUGUUUGCUAGUCUACCUUGCCACGAAGCACAGAGGUUGACACACAGGGACUUUCCAAUUAUCCAGCAAUGGUACUGUUCCUUUACCCUCUCUUCGAUUUUUAAGAAAGUAGUCAUGUUGGGAGUCUGGCUCUCGAGAUUCGGAGGACGGUGCCUCUUCGAUUUUGGAGCAAGCAAUCUUAUUGGGAGUGUUUUCUCGAAUGUGAGUAAAGGUUGGGCAUGUUUGCUAGUCUACCUUGCCACGAAGCACAGAGGUUGACACACAGGGACUUUCCAAUUAUCCAGCAGUGGUACUGUUCCUUUACCCUUGUGGGUAAUAAUAUGGUAGCUAGACCUUCAAAAAUUUAUGGGUCUAAACUUUGUUAGUGCUGUUUCUUUGCUAUUCUUUACCCUUCUUGGUCAGAGCGAUGUAGUGGGAGCUGCAAGCUUCUCGUGCUCAACUUUGGCAAAGUUAUCUGUGGUACCCAUGAGCUAUUGUUGCGUGUGGGAAGUGGGUGAUUGAACAGUAAGAUUCAUGUGUUUUCUACUUCCCCAGAAGUCUUUGACAGAAUGCCCAUAAUUUCCGCAAAACUGAGUGUGCGUGUGACAGGUGCUGACAAGGCUGGAAAAGGCUGAAAAAGUAGGUGCCUCUUCGAUUUCUGAGAUCGGCCCUCGUGGUCUCUGGGGAGCCCAGCUUUUGAGAAAGCGAGCGCCUCUUCGAUUUUUGAGAUCGGCCUUCGUGGUCUUUGAGCAACCCAACUUUUGAGAAAGCAAACGCCUCUUCGAUUUCUGAGAUCAACCCUCGUGAUCUCUAAGCAGCCCAGCUUUUGAGAAAGCAAACGCCUCUUCGAUUUCUGAGCAGGCGCCUCUUCGAUUUCUGAAGCUUCGUCGAGUGCAGAUUUUUAUAGGGGCUGGCAUUAAGUUCCAAAGCACACUUGAAUCUCCACCAGUAGAAGCUUCAUUCUUGCACUUCUAAGAUCUUGAUUUGUCCGACCUCUUCUCUCUUCAACACCUUUGAAAAUGUCUGGCCCCUCCGACCGUCGUUUUGACUUGAACCUUGUUGAAGAGGCAGCCCGCCCUUCUCCAGACAACAUAUGGCGCCCAUCCUUCGUCUCCCCUACUGGUCCUCUUACCGUUGGGGAUUCCGUGAUGAAGAAUGAUAUGACCGCUGCGGUGGUGGCCAGGAACCUUCUCACUCCCAAAGAUAACAGACUACUUUCCAAACGGUCUGAUGAGUUAGCUGUUAAGGAUUCGCUGGCUCUCAGUGUUCAGUGUGCAGGUUCUGUGUCUAAUAUGGCCCAACGCCUAUUUGCUCGAACCCGCCAAGUUGAAUCAUUGGCGGCUGAAGUGAUGAGUCUCAAACAGGAGAUUAGAGGGCUCAAGCAUGAGAAUAAACAGUUGCACCGGCUCGCACAUGACUAUGCUACAAACAUGAAGAGGAAGCUUGACCAGAUGAAGGAAACUGAUGGUCAGGUUUUACUUGAUCAUCAGAGAUUUGUGGGUUUGUUCCAAAGGCAUUUAUUGCCUUCGUCUUCUGGGGCUGUACCGCGUAAUGAAGCUCCAAAUGAUUAACCUCUGAUGCCUCCUCCUUCUAGGGUUCUGUCCAGUACUGAGGCUCCAAAUGAUCCCUCUCUGGUGCCUUCUCUUUCUGGGGCUCUACCGACUGCUGAGACUUCUCCUAAGCAACCUUUGUGAAGGCUCCCUCUUGUGUGCUUAUUUUGACUCAUGUAUAUGUACAUAUUUGUAGCUUAUCGGGGAUAUCAAUAAAUAAGUUUUCCUUCAUUUCAACGUAUUGUGUUAAAUACACCAAAGCCUUCUUCGCUAAGUUCUUUGAAUUUUCUUUUGUUAAAGUUUGUAUGUUGAAGCUUUCUGAGUGGAGCAUGUAGGUUGGGGUAGUGUUCCCUUAAUUAAUUUCCCGAGUGAGGAAAACUUCUCGGUUGGAGACUUGGAAAAUCCAAGUCACUGAGUGGGAUCGGCUAUAUGAAUCUUAGAACGCCAUUGUGCUCGAUCCUGUGUCAUGUCCUUCGUUAGAUCCAAGUACUCUAAGUCUUUUCUUAGAGUCUCUUCCAAAGUUUUCCUAGGUCUUCCUCUACCCCUUCGGCCCUGAACCUCUGUCCCAUAGUCGCAUCUUCUAAUCGGAACGUCAGUAGGCCUUCUUUGCACAUGUCCAAACCACCGUAACCGAUUUUCUCUCAUCUUUCCUUCAAUUUCGGCUACUCCUACUUUACCCCGGAUAUCCUCAUUCCUAAUCUUAUCCUUUCUCGUGUGCCCACACAUCCAACGAAGCAUCCUCAUCUCCGCUACACCCAUUUUGUGUACGUGUUGAUGUUUUCACCGCCCAACAUUCUGUGCCAUACAGCAUCGCCGACCUUAUUGCUGUCCUAUAAAAUUUUCCCUUGAGCUUCAGUGGCAUACGGCGGUCACACAACACGCCGGAUGCACUCUUCCACUUCAUCCAUCCAGCUUGUAUUCUAUGGUUGAGAUCUCCAUCUAAUUCUCCGUUCUUUUGCAAGAUAGAUCCUAGGUAACGAAAACGGUCGCUCUUUGGUAUUUCUUGAUCUCCGAUCCUCACCCCUAACUCGUUUUGGCCUCCAUUUGCACUGAACUUGCACUCCAUAUAUUCUGUCUUUGAUCGGCUUAGGCGAAGACCUUUAGAUUCCAACACUUCUCUCCAAAGGUUAAGCUUUGCAUUUACCCCUUCCUGAGUUUCAUCUAUCAACACUAUAUCGUCUGCGAAAAGCAUACACCAAGGAAUAUCAUCUUGAAUAUGUCCCUGUUAACUCAUCCAUUACCAACGCAAAAAGGUAAGGACUUAAGGAUGAGCCUUGAUGUAAUCCUACAGUUAUGGGAAAGCUUUCGGUUUGUCCUUCAAUGAGUUCUUACGGCAGUCUUUGCUCCUUCAUACAUAUCCUUUAUAGCUUGGAUAUAUGCUACUCGUACUCCUUUCUUCUCUAAAAUCCUCCAAAGAAUGUCUCUUGGGACCCUAUCAUACGCUUUUUCCAAAUCUAUAAAGACCAUGUGUAAAUCCUUUUUUCCCAUCUCUAUAUCUUUCCAUCAAUCUUCGUAAGAGAUAGAUUGCCUCCAUGGUUGAGCGCCCUGGCAUGAACCCGAAUUGGUUGUCCGAAACCCGUAUCUCUUGCCUCAAUCUAUGCUCAAUGACUCUCUCCCAGAGCUUCAUUGUAUGACUCAUUAGCUUAAUACCCCUAUAGUUCAUGCAAUUUUGUACGUCGCCCUUAUUCUUGUAGAUAGGCACCAAAGUGCUCAUUCGCCACUCAUUUGGCAUCUUCUUCGUUUUCAAAAUCCUAUUGAAAAGGUCAGUGAGCCAUGUUAUACCCUGUCUCUCCCAAAAGUUUCUACACUUCGAUUGGUAUAUCGUCUGGGCCCAUAUUGCUUUUUUAUGCUUCAUCUUCUUCAAAGCUACAACCACUUCUUCCUUCCGGAUUCGACGAUAAAAAGAGUUAGUUUCUACACUCUUCUGAGUUACUCAACUCCCUUAAAGAAGCACUUCAUUUCAUGUCCUUCAUUGAAAAGAUUAUGAAAAUAACCUCUCCAUCUGUCUCUAACCGCGUUCUCUGUAGCAAGAACCUUUCCAUCCUCAUCCUUGAUGCACCUCACUUGGUUUAGGUCCCUUGUCUUCUUUUCCCUUGCUCUAGAUAGUUUAUAGAUAUCCAACUCUCCUUCUUUGGUAUCUAGUCGUUUAUACAUAUCGUCGUAAGCCGCUAACUUAGCUUCUCUGACAGCUUUCUUCGCCUCUUGCUUCGCUUUUCUAUACCUUUCACCAUUUUCAUCAGUCCUCUCCUUGUAUAAGGGAUUUACAACAUUCCUUCUUAGCCUUCACCUUUGUUUGUACCUCCUCAUUCCACCACCAAGAUUCCUUUUGGUGUGGGCAAAGCCCUUGGACUCUCCUAAUACCUCUUUUGCUACUUUUCGGAUACAACUAGCCAUGGAAUCCCACAUUUGGCUAGCUUCCCCCUCUCUAUCCCACACACAUUGGGUGAUUACCUUCUCUUUGAAAAUGACUUGUUUUUCUUCUUUAGAUUCCACCAUCUAGUCCUUGGGCACUUCCAAGUCUUGUUCUUUUGUCUUACUCUUUUGAUAUGUACAUCCAUCACCAACAAGCGAUGUUGAUUAGCCACGCUCUCUCUUGGUAUAACUUUGCAAUCCUUACAAGUUAUACGAUCCCCUUUCCUCAUUAGAAGAAAAUCUAUUUGUGUUUUUGACGACCCACUCUUGUAGGUGAUCACAUGUUCUUCUCUCUUCUUAAAGAAGGUGUUGGCUAAGAAGAGAUCAUAUGCCAUUGCAAAAUCCAAGAUAGCUUCCCCAUCCUCGUUUCUCUCCCCAAAACCAUGGCCACCAUGAAAACCUCCAUAGUUGCCUGUCUCCCUGCCCACGUGUCCAUUUAAAUCUCCUCCUAUAAAUAACUUCUCCGUCUGAGCAAUUCCUUGCACCAAGUCUCCAAGAUCUUCCCAAAAUUUCUCCUUCGAACUCGUAUCCAACCCUACUUGAGGUGCGAACGCACUAAUCACAUUGAUAAGUUCUUGUCCUAUUACAAUCUUGAUUGCCAUGAUUCUAUCUCCUACCCUCUUGACAUCUACAACAUCUUGUACCAAGGUCUUGUCCACGAUGAUGCCAACACCGUUUCUCGUUCUAUUUGUGCCCGAAUACCAAAGUUUAAACCCUGAGUUUUCUAGAUCCUUUGCCUUACUACCAACCCACUUAGUUUCUUGUAGGCACAUAAUAUUUAUCCUUCUCCUCACCAUAACUUCCACUACUUCCAUAGAUUUUCCCGUUAAGGUUCCUAUAUUCCACGUUCCUAAACGCAUUUUGCUCUCUUGAACUCUACCCUUCUGUCCUAGCUUCUUCACCCUCCCCCGUCUAAUAGGAUCAAAGUACUUCUUUUGUGUGUCCCGGGUAAAGUUGAUAGGAGCAUAUGCUCCCAAACAACUUUGAGUGGAGUCGUUCGAAAAGAAGUUUCUAUGGCCCCCUUGCUCAUUUAACACUGCAUCCGGGUGCCGAUGGAGAUACAGCGACCCUUGCUCACUUAUCACUGUGCUCAGGCCACACAGCGCGCCACUUACGGGUGACGCCCUAGCUUUAGCGCGAUUUUGUUCUGGAUUCAUUUUCAUAAGGAUUCGACGUGAUCAUGGAGUGCCGGCUGUCGACUACUUGACGCCCUCCCCCUCCUCCUUUAUCCGGGCUUGGGACCGGCCAUGUAAGACAUAGGCGGAGUUCGAACAAUAACCAACCAAUAAUAAAAAAGGUUGUACCUAAAUCAAUGUAUUAAAAGGCAGAGGCAUAGGCGAGGCGUUCCAUGGAUAGCCCCGCCUAGGCAUGAGGCGAAGCCUCAUGGGACCUAAAUAAUUUAAUAUAUAUUGUAUAUAUAAUUACAUAUUGAGAUUAGAAUACUAAAAAACUUGAAUUUUGAAACAUUAUGGUGGUUUGGAGAAUUUUGAAACAAAUUGAGGUAUGAGAUUGGAGUAAAUUUGAAAUAUAGGAUUGGGAUUGAGAAUUUAGGGUUUGAGGAAUUGGGGAAUUGUGGAAUUGGGGAUGUGGUGCAAUAUAGCAGAGAGAAUCAGGUAUUGGUUGGUUACAGAGAAAAUGGGAUAUUGGGUGGUGAAAAUAGCAGAGAAUUGGCAGAGAAGGACUGCUUGGGCCAAGUCUUUGUAAAAAAUAAAAAACCUUUCUUCUUCCUCGUUUGGUUGUCUUCUUCGUGAAGACGCCGCUGCAACAUAGUUAAAGAGCACAGAGUUUUCCAGAAAAUUUCAGAUUUCAAGCAAGAUUUUGGAUAACAGAAAUGCCCAGUCAACGCCUCAGGCGUGCCCCGAUGAAGCCUAGGCAAGUUUCUGCCCAAUCCAAGAAAACAGAGGCGAAAUUGCCGAAGCCCCACCUCCAAGGCCGCCUAGGCGUGCCCCGAGGCGCGUCUUUAAAACACUGACCUAAAUCAACGUCACUAAAUAGUUUAAUGUUAGGUUUAUCAAAUAAAUUAAAUUUAAUUACAUAUAUAUGCAACAUUCCACUGGACCAACCCCAACGAUACUUUGGCUCUUGCAUGCGUCCUGGUUGUAUUAUUAAUUUUUUUAAGCCCAAAUUAAGGUUUAAUUAUUAGUCUGUCCCCAUGCAUGGUAUAAUUCUUUUUGCAAAAGUACAUAAGAUAAUAUACUAAAAAAAGUACAUAAUAUAAGAAAAAUAUAUAAAUAAUAUUAUGAAAUUUUAAUAGUCAAUACUGGGGAUGGGAUUACUUGCAAAAUAUGCAAUUAAAAUGUUUAUUUUGUGUAUGAAAAGAAGAGAUAAUUAAUUAACUUUUUGCUAAAGCUGCUUUAAUUAAUUAAGUUGAUGCAUCACUUAAGAAGAGGUUCUGCUGCAAUAUUGUUUCUUUCAAUCGAUAUGUGAUUAAGCAUGGAACUUGUCUGGUUUAUGGGACCAGAAGGCGCUGGCUGGGCUGCUGCAUCAGGCUGGCUGGCCUGGUGUCUUAUUUAUGGCCUGGUGGGGCCCACAAGCCCUUUGGCCUGGCCCUCGGUUGGAGACAGUUUUCGUGUCAAAACGGGCCAUAUUUUGGCCGAUGGCCCUUUGGCCGGGUCGGUUGGAGAUGGCCUUAGUUCUUUCAGUGUUAAGAGAUUUGAUAUUUCUUUCCACCACCUAUAUAUAUUUUGUAAGGUUUGUGGUUUGUGAAAUUUCUUUUAAUAUGUUGGUUGUGUGAUCAUUUUGAUUGAAUAAUUAAAGGUUAAUAUACCUAUGUGCCACUUGAAUUAGAUAUACUGAGAUAUAUAUCAUUCCUACUGAAUAUUUUGUUCUACUUUGUCCAAGAUGGUUAACAUGUGUUCCUCAUUUAAGAUAAUUUUUUAAAAUCAUUUUGCUGCAGCGAUGUUGCUGUCAUUGCAAAGAUAGAGAGUAUUGACUCACUAAAGAACUUGGAAGAGAUCAUUCAAGCAUCAGAUGGAGCAAUGGUGGCAAGAGGAGAUCUCGGUGCUCAGAUACCACUAGAACAGGUCCCAGCAGCCCAGCAAAAGAUUGUUCAAGUCUGUCGGCAGCUAAAUAAGCCAGUCAUUGUGGCUUCUCAACUACUUGAAUCUAUGAUUGAAUAUCCUACACCCACUAGAGCCGAAGUGGCUGAUGUUUCUGAAGCAGUGAGGCAGCGCGCUGAUGCUUUGAUGCUUUCUGGUGAGUCGGCUAUGGGCCAGUUCCCAGAAAAGUCAUUGGCUGUUCUUAGAAGUGUUAGUCUGAGGAUUGAAAGAUGGUGGAGGGAAGAGAAACGUCAUGAAGCUAUGGAACUGCCAGCUAUUGGAACUUCAUUUUCUGACAGUAUUUCAGAGGAGAUUUGCAUUUCUGCUGCCAAGAUGGGUAAGUAUUCGCUAAAUACGUUUCUAAGUGAGUUAAGCUAAGCAGUUAUCUGUGUGUUUGUAUGUAUAAUAGUACUAAGGUUAGGGAACUCCCUGGGUUGGUCGUGUCUGUCAAUAUAAACUACUUAUAAUAGAUCUACACUGAGAGUCUUGAUGUAAAAGGCUCCUGUGUUCUCUUAGGGUGGAUUUAUGCCAGGAUUUCCAUUAGUGUAGUAUAAAUCGCAUCUUUCACUAUAAGCAAUAAACUAAUAACAAAAGCAAAUUUCUCACUUAUACCAAACACACACACCCACAUGAAAGUAAUGUUGAGAUAAUCAUAUGUGAUUUAUGCAUUUUGGUAGCCACAUUGUAUCUGGAUUCUUUGUUCCGAAAUGUUUUCCUUUUUUUAUUGUAUAAAAUGCACCUCCUAAGUUGCAGCGAAGCUGAACCAACAUAUCCAAAUGACAUAAAAAAUAAUCUAUUUUCUCAUCUUAUAACUGUUUUUUGGGAUAGCAUUUUGGCUGCAUNNNNNNNNNNNNNNNNNNNNNNNNNNNNNNNNNNNNNNNNNNNNNNNNNNNNNNNNNNNNNNNNNNNNNNNNNNNNNNNNNNNNNNNNNNNNNNNNNNNNNNNNNNNNNNNNNNNNNNNNNNNNNNNNNNNNNNNNNNNNNNNNNNNNNNNNNNNNNNNNNNNNNNNNNNNNNNNNNNNNNNNNNNNNNNNNNNNNNNNNNNNNNNNNNNNNNNNNNNNNNNNNNNNNNNNNNNNNNNNNNNNNNNNNNNNNNNNNNNNNNNNNNNNNNNNNNNNNNNNNNNNNNNNNNNNNNNNNNNNNNNNNNNNNNNNNNNNNNNNNNNNNNNNNNNNNNNNNNNNNNNNNNNNNNNNNNNNNNNNNNNNNNNNNNNNNNNNNNNNNNNNNNNNNNNNNNNNNNNNNNNNNNNNNNNNNNNNNNNNNNNNNNNNNNNNNNNNNNNNNNNNNNNNNNNNNNNNNNNNNNNNNNNNNNNNNNNNNNNNNNNNNNNNNNNNNNNNNNNNNGCUCUUGGUGCCUCCGGGAAGCCGGAAAACCGGAGAUUUUUUUGCUGGUUUGGAAAAAUGGGAUUGUGGGGAGGUUGAAGAAGGAUAUAAAAACAGGGAAUGACGCAAAAUUCACAACUUUCAACUGUUUAAUGCAGAAAAAGAUACAUGGUGAAGAUUUUCGAAAAGGGGAAUGCGAGAGAGAGAGAAGGAGAGAGAGAGAGAGAGAGAGAGGGAGGCGGUUGGGGGGGAAGGGAGUUUGAUUCGGUCGGUUUGUUUGGGCAUUGACUAACUGGCUUUCUUUGUUUGAUCUUAGUUCUCCAACUAAAAUUUUGUGAGUAUUAGUUUCCACACUUGCUACAUUUCAUAGCAAGAGCUUAAACAAACCUACUCAAUAAUAAAUCUAGACCGGAACAUCCGACGUCGAUCCUUACGAAUAAACCUAACUGAACAAGGAGUAUAAAAAAUAAAAUAAAAAAUUACCUAAAUCUAAAUCAAGACCAUAGGUUGCUAAACUAUCUGCCACAAAGUUUUUUUCUUUGUAGACAAGCCAAAGUUCGCAUUGCCAAGAUCUUGAAAGCAAUUCUCGACAGGCCAAAACAAGGAGACCUAAAGGAUGAUUAUUCAAAAAGAUCAUAGCUCUACACUAUAACGAAUUCAGGGACCAAUAUGCUCCACAUUGUGUCAAGUUCAUAGGUCGUACUUAUGAAUAUUUUGUUCUAAGUACCGAAUUUUCAAUUGAGCUAAAGUCGAAGGACAUUUGCUCCAAUUUUCUCCAUUGAAAAAAGAGUACAUUGGAGAAUCAACAUACUAGGAGUAGGGAUACAAGGAAGGAAUAAGCUCAUCACACUCUGAGUCUAUCACAAAAUACAUUACUAUCAUCUUUGCCUAUUUGACUCUCUUUCAAACCAAAGAACGUCCCGCAAGAACUGCACCCUUUUAACCACUCUCAAACAGCAUGGAGUACCUCACAUAUUGUGUGAUGUUACCUCACAUCAACGAGGAUUUGCAUGCUUUACCAAUUUGAAUGUCGCAUCUGAAUAAUAUAAAUUCAAAGGAUAUAUUUGCACGUCAAGAUAUUACUGAAAGAUAUCGAACUCACGGACUAGAAGCAUGGAUAGAGUUUAAUCAUCAUCUUCAAGGACGCUCCUACGCCUCUGAAUCUGGUAUAAUAAGAGUGACAGAAAGACGUGUCAAAACCCAGUACAUUUUUCCACGUAAAAAAGAAGGAAAAGAAAAAUCAUUAUAUGAUGGUCACAACUUACAGUGACUUUGGUCUGUUUGGUUGUUUGGUUGUUGAUCUGCUCCAACAACGAGAUGAGUCUCUCCUCAGAUACCUGAAAAAUGAAGCAAUGAGCACUUUGGUUCUGUUCAAACAAACUCGUUACUUCAAAAUAAAAACUAAAUAAGCUGUGUGGAGAAACUAUAAAACCGACCAUGAUAUGAAAUAUCACCCCAUACCUUCUCAACUAUCUGGCCCAUUUGAGCAGCUCUCAGUAUAACAUCUUCAACACCCCUUGCCUUCUCAGGUUUCACCAAAGCAAUUCUAGCAACUGUACAUGCAUAGCAGCAGACGAAUUAGAUCAACAGAUAAGGCUAACCCAAAGUAAUUCUACCAACAAAUCAUUUUUCGAUCCUUCCUACUUUAAACAACCUACUUAUAAUGCCAAAAUACACGAGACAAAGAAUUGGUUAGUAGGGAUGAUAUCCGAAAUUUUCUAAAGUGUACAAGUAAAAUAAUCAUAUUAAGUAAUGGCAACGUUAGAUAUAUCAGCUUACUUCUUUCACGAGCUUCGCCUGACACAAUCUGACUAAGCAUCAUCUGCCUCCGCUCUUCGGCCUCCCUGCAUUAAUUGCAUUAUAUAUUAAUCAAAUCAAUAAGAACAUUUUGGAAAAGGGUUGUCCCAAUUGAUCUGAAACCCAACCUCUUGGCAUCUUCAUUUGCCUUGUGCUGCUCUGGGUUUUGUUGUUGCCCUCCAGACCCUCCCUGUUGAUCAAUGUAAGGUAGUGAGAUCAGCAAGGAAUCAAAAGAAAAUGCAACCAAAAAUUUUGGCGAAAAUAUUCAAACGAACAAAAGCUGAUUGCUGAUUGCUUACCGCACCAUGUUGAGCCAUAAGCUCCUGCAUUCUUCUUUGUCUGAUUGCUUCCAGUUCAGGAUCAGCCUAAAAAAGAGCCCAAAAUUUUAAAAACAACAAAAAUCAAACGAUGGGCAAACAAAAACACUUCAGGAAAAAGCAAACCGUAAUCAUCAUACAGACUUCACCUACAAUAAUAUUUUGCUAACCACAAAGAUACGUAUACCAGAAACUAUAUCUACAGCAUUCAGUUCCUGCCAUUGGCCAUCCAUUGAAACCAACUCAGCUACCUAAGUGAUUCUUUUCAUAAGUAUACACGCACAUAUGGGGAUCCCAUUUCAGCUACAAGGUGCAGAACUUGAAUAGCGCACUUGGAUAGAGUUUAAUGAAAUCUAGGAACUCAGAGCUCAGUGAAAAUAUAACCCGUUUCUGAGUUAUUUAACCCAAACCCAUCUUAGACCAGCAAAGAAACAUGAUUGAGAAAUCGCAACCCAUUUUCCCCAUCCCUCCCAAAAACCCCAUCACAUAGUACAUUUCGCAUCUCAGGUGCCAAAUGAAAAACCAAAAGUCAGGCAGUUUGGAACACCCUACGAAGAACAAGGAAGUCAACGAAAUCUCUUGAAUACACAUACAGACAAUCCACGCAAUGUUCAAAGCCAUGCUUACACAUCUAUGCUCCAAUAUAACUACUAACUCUCUUUGAGCAUGUUUCACAGUUUCGGGAAGUUUUCAAAUCCCAUUAAUUUCCAUGCCUGCUCGGCGUAAAAAUCCACGCCCUAUAAUUCCGAAAGCUACAACACUCUUCCUGUCACAAAAGUUUACAGGCAGCUCCUAUUUCGUAGUAAACAUUGAGCUACCGAUAUUCAUUUCUUAGUCAAUUGCAUACCCAAAAUCCCUUAAAAAUCACAAUCCCACGCGAAAUUAGAAUCGUGCAAACAUAAUCAAAGAGUUUUCAAACCCUGAUUUCCAGAAAGAAGAUUAAAAUCGACAAGAAAUUUAUACAAUUGAGUAAAUUUACAAGCAUUGUAAACCCUAAUCUCUCCAUAUUUGGUAUCUGAAACUAAAAAUAGCAGCCGAAAAAGAUGCAAAAAUGAAAUCGAAAAUAUCAGAGAGAGAAAAUACGUUACCAUUGAUUCGAGUUGUGGAUGAGCGAUCGAGUCUUCGAAACAAGUUGCGUUCGGCAGGCGCGGAUUCUAUAAGCUUUUCAUAUAUCUUUUAUAUGUGUAAAGGGAUAAAAGGGGAAAGAAAACAGUCGCUUUGAAUGAAAUCUUUAAUGAAGGGAUUCUCUUUUCCUUUUUCUUUAUGUUGUGGGAUUCACAUUAUUUUAAACUUUAACUAUUCGAACGGUUUAUUUUUUAAAUUGCAUCUUAUAGAUUAUCUUUGUAAAAUAUUAGUCAAAUUAGAAAUCGGAAAUGUUUAAGACAUCUAAUUGGGCCCAAAGAAAUUAAUGAAUAUUUUGUUAUAUAUGAAAUAAUGAAAUUUUAUCUUAAUAAUUAAAUAAGCAAAUGGUUUCGAAUUGAAUUGAAUUUUUGCAAGGAUGAUCUAUGAAUCGAGACUUACAAAAUAGGCAAUUUAGAUUGUUGAAGUUCGAUGUGGAGUGAGCCCCACACUUAAUCACCAUUUUUUGAAAAAAAAUUGGAGAUCCCUUUGCAUAAAUGCUAUGCACUUUCAAAAUCUCAAAGUUAUGCUACUUAGUAACAAUGUUCUAAAAAACGCUAGGCGCUAGUCGGGUGGCGGCAUGGGGCCUAGUGCUUAAGCGGUUAGACAGAGCUUAGACUGGCGCCUAGGCGAACCAGGCAUAUUUGAAUAAAAUUUAUUAGGGUAAAAUACAAAAAAUUACCUCAAUUACUAGUGUUACAACACUUUCAUACCUCAUAUUUUAAAAUUGACAAUGUCAUACCUCAACUUUUAAAAUUGACAAUGUCAUACCUCAUCUUACGAAUUUGUGCCAAUGUUAUACCUUCCGUUAGGGUUAGCGUGAAUUUCUCAGUUAAAUGCUGACGUGGCUUGAUCCGGGACCAAUUUUCUAUUAAAAAUUAUUAAAAACUAAAAAAAAAAUUAAAUUAAAUAUUAAAAUAAUAAAGAAAAGUUAAAAAAAAAAACUAAGGUCAGUUCGUCCUUCCCCCCCUCUCUCUCCCCCCAUCUUCCUGCAACCCAGAAAGAAAAAGAGGAGGAAGGAAAAAAAAAAAACCCCAACCCAACCCAGUUCUCCCCCUCCCCAACAAACCCAGAAAGGAGGAAGAAGAAGAAAAAAAAAAUAAGAAAAAAAAACAAACAAAACCCAGUUCAUCUAUCCCCCGCCGCACCCACCGUCUUCCCUCCACACCCAUUCCCCCCCAUUUUCUCUGCGCCCAGGUUCUCAACCUUCGAAACCGACCUGGCAAAGGUUUCCCGAUUCCACCUCAACAGGAUCUGGGUUUUUUUUUUUUUUUGGGUUGUAGGUAGUGGGUGUGAGGUUGGGUGCGAAGGUGUGGAGAGUGGGUGCGGGGAAAAGAAGGGGGUGGGGAGGGGGGAAGACAAAUUGGUUUUUUUUUUCUCUUCUUUUUUUGGGUUACAGUUGUAGGAAGGGGGAAGAAGAUGAUGAUGGGGAGAAGAGAGAGAAGGGGGAGGGGACGAAUUGAUUGAGUGUUUUUUUUUUUGAGUAAAUUAUAUAGUAACCCCUCAGGUUUGAGGUCUAUUACAACCUCAUACAACAUCUUUAAAACAUUUCAUUUUUAUACCUCACGUACUAUUUUAUUUCAAAAUGAUACAUCCGUUGGAUUUUCCAUCCAUUAAUCUGUUAAAUGAUGUCGUGGCUGCCACAUUUGUGCCACAUGGCUGCCAAAUGUGUGCUACGUGGCAUAAAAAUAAUUUUUAAUUUUUUUGUUUAAAAAACCCCGAAUCUUCUAAAAAUAAAAAAAUAAAAAAAUAAAAACUGAAAAACACAUAACCCACACCCCACCUUCCCCACAACCCCUCCCCACCCAUCUUUUUCCCCGAGCCCUCCCCUUACCUGCAACCCAAACACCCAUUCCCACACUAACCCCACCUCCCUCGCCAGCCCCCAACCUCACCUCCCCCCAACCCCCACCCCAGCCCACCUCCCUCUCCUCCACCCUCUUCACCUCCCCUCCCAUCCAAAAACCCACCUAAUCAUAUCCAAACAAAAAACCACUAUCGCGAGCGGCGGAACAUGGUACGACGUUGAAGCUAAAAUGGAAACGGAAAACAAGCUCCGCUUGCGGCUGGUAUGGUGGACGGGGGCAGGCGACGAAGGCAAUUUGAUGGUGGAGGACGGCGAGAGGGACGAAAUGGGUUUCGCGAGGGAGUUAAAAUUGGGGCAAGUCCCAAGCUUUAAGUGCUCGGAUGUGGUGCGAGACGGGUUCGAGGCAGAGAACAAGGCAUCGCAAAAGGAGCAUCGGAGCUUCACCGCUUUGGGCAUACCAGUGUCGAUGUUUGUUUGGAUGGGAUUGGGUGGGGUUUUGGAUGGGAGGGGAGGUGAAGAGGGUGGAGGAGAAGGAGGUGGGUUGGGGUGGAGAGUUGGGGGAGGUGAGGUUGGGGGCCUGGCGGGGGAGGUGGGGUGGUGGGAAGGGGUGUUUGGGUUGCGGGGAAGGGGGAAGGCUCGGGGAAGAAGAUGGGUGGGGAGAGGUUGUGGGGAAGGUGGGGUGUGGGUUCUGUGUUUUUCAGUAUUUUUUUUUUCAGAAGAUUCGGGUUUUUAAAAAAAAUUAAAUUUUUUUUGCCACGUGGCACAUAUUUGGCAGCCAUGUGGCACACAUUUGGCAGCCACGUCAGCAUUUAACAGAUUAAUGGAUGGAAAAUUUAACGGAUGUAUCUAUAGACAUCGAAAUUUCGGUAAAUAAAUGUUAACCGAUAAAUCAAAGUUUCAACGCUCAUGUAUUACAUAAAUUUUACACGUAGCGUGUGUCUAAACAAAAAAUCAAAAUAAGUUGGAAAAGUCAUCAAACAUGACACGUGUCAACACCUAGCAGAAAUGACUUAUUUCAUCUGGCAUAUUAUAUUCAAAAUUAGGCCUUGGAAAAUUCUAUAAAUAGAAGCCAAUUUCAUUCAUUUAAGAGGAACCAAAAUCAUUAAGCAAGCUCUGAAGCUCUGAAACUCCGAAGCUCUCAAGCACUCAGGUUCCCGAAGAAUCAAGAAAGUGUUCUUCGUUCUUCGUUCAUCGUUCUUCCAAGAUCAAGCCCCGACGGCCCUUGGAUCAACAAGCCACCGUUCUUCCAAGAUCAAGCCCCGACGGCCCUUGGAUCAACAAUCAUCCACCAAUUCAAGAUCAAGCCCCGACGGCCCUUGAAGAAAGUGUUCUUCGUUCAUCGUUCUUCCAAGAUCAAGCCCCGACGGCCCUUGGAUCAACAAGCCACCGUUCUUCAAGAUCAAGCCCAAAAGCCUUUGAAGAUCCGUUCAUCACUGUUCUUCAAGAUCAAGCCCAAAAGCCCUUGAAGAUCCGCUCAUCACCGUUAUUCAAGAUUAAGCAUCAACGGCCCUUGAAGAAACACUCAUCCUCAAGAUCAAGCCCCAACGGCUCCUUAAAGAUCCGUUCAAAUCCACCUUCAAAGAUCAAGCCCACGGCCCCUUGAAGAAACUUCCAACAGUUCAUCCAAGAUCAAGCCUCAACGGCCCUUGGAUCAACGAAACAUCCACAAAUCAACACCUUACGGAGAUCGAAUCAGAGAAUCAAAAUUUAAGAGAGAUUGUAACCCAAAAUCAUCAAAUACAAAUAUUUGUUUAUGCACGUUGUUCUUGUCGCUUUCGUUUUACGAAAUUUUCGUGUUCACAGUAUCAUUUUGAAAUAAAAUAGUACGUGAGGUAUGAAAGUGAAAUGUUUUUAAAAUGUUGUAUAAGGUUGUAAUAGACUUCAAACCUGAGGGGUUACUAUGUAAUUUACCAUUUAAAAAAAAAAUAUUUUCUUUAUUAUUUUAAUAUUUAAAAAAUAUUAAAUUUAUUUUUUUAGAUUUUAAUAAUAUUUUAAUAAUUUUUUAAUAGAAAAUGGGCCGCAAAUCAAGCCAUGUCAGUAUUUAACUGAGAAAUUCACGCCAACCCUAACGAAAGGUAUAACAUUGUCACAAAUUCGUAAGAUGAGGUAUGACAUUGUCAAUUUUAAAAGAUGAGGUAUGAAAGUGUCGUGACACCAAUAGUUGAGGUAGUUUUUUGUACUUUACCCAAUUUAUUAUAUAUCCUAUAAAUAAGUAUUUAUUUACACCUAAAUGUAUUAGAAAUUUAGAAGAAAAAAAAUAAAAUGUGCAUAAUACAAGUUGUUUUUGUAAUAUGAAGGGGUUUGAAAUGCUUUAUAACUUGGAUAUUAUAUCUUUACAAUGCCAAUGGGAAACCGGCUUCUAAGGUAAGUUGUUCAAAUCUAUAAAAUAAGCCCUCCCACAUCGCCCAAUGAUGUGGAUCUUCUAGGCCUUAUAUGUAUAUUCACAUCUCUACCUAGCACGAGGCAUUUUAGAAGCUCACUAGCUUCGGGUUCUAUCGGAACUCCAAAGUUAAGCGUGCUUGCAGCGAGAGCAAUUUCAGGAUGGGUGACCCACUGAGAAGUUCUCGUGUGAGUUCCUAGAAACAAAACCAUGAGGGUGUGGUCGGGGCCCAAAACGGAUAAUAUCAUGCUACGGUGGAGUCGAGCCCGGGAUGUGGUGGGGUCCGAGCCUGGAUGUGCCACCUAGAGAUUGUAAAAAGAAACCAAAAAGCCAUUGUAGCUCACAUCCCCCAAUGUAUCUAAUUCAAUUAGCGAACCAAACAGGCCAUCCAUGCUUCGAUAUUUACAAAGAACACUCUAGUGUAAAAAAAAAAACAAAAAAAAAACAAAGAACACUCUAGCAAAAGGCGGUGGAAGUUACGUGGGCCAUCACCCUUUUUUUUUCUCUCUGUAAUUUUUUUUUCUCUCAAAUCUUCUUGGUAAUCUCAGAGCAGGAUUAUGAUUCUCUUUCUAGUCAUUUUUUAGAACAUUGCUUAGUAAUACGCUAUAAGAGGAGGAUUCCCUCCCCUUUUAAUUUUUGUCCCUUUCUAAUUUUUUUCCCUUUUCGUCAUUUCUACUCGAACGGUUACGGUUAAAUCAAGUUAACAUCUUAUAGAUCAUCCUUGCAAAAUAUUUCGAACUUUAACGAUUCGAACUGUUUAUUUUUUGGGGUGUGAUAUCCAUACACCCCUUUUUACUUCUUACACACCCUUUUAAUUUCCAGCCUUCGGAUCAGAUGAAUUGAAGAAGAUCAAAAUACAAAAAUCAACAAGGGUGUGUGAGAAGUAAAAAUGGGUGUGUGGAUAGCAUACCCCUAUUUUUUAAGUUGCAUCUCAUAGAUCAUCCUUGCAAAAUAUUAGCCAAAUCGGAAAUCGGAAAUAUUUAAGACAUAUAAUUGGGCUCAAAGAAAUUAACAAAUACUUGUUAUAUAAGAAACAAUGAAAUUUUAUCUUAAUAAUUAAAUAAGCAAAUGAUUUUGAAUUGAAUUGAAUUUUUGCAAGGAUGAUCUAUGAAUCGAGACUUACAAAAUAGAUGAUUCAGAUCGUUAAAGUUCGAUGUGGAGUGAGCCCCAUACUUAAUCACCAUUUUUUGAAAAAAAAAAUGGAGAUCGCUUUGCAUAAAUGAUAUGCACUUUCAAAAUCUCAAAGUUAUGCUACUUAGUAACAAUGUUCUAAAAACGCUAGGCGCUAGUCGGGUGGUGGUAUGGGGCCUAGCGCUUAGACGGGCGCCUAGGCGAACCAGGCAUAUUUGAAUAAAAUUUAUAUAUAUCCUAUAAAUAAGUAUUUAUUUACACCUAAAUGUAUUAGAAAUUUGGAAGAAAAAAAAUGUGCAUAUUACAAAUUGUUUUUGUAAUAUGAAGGGGUUUGAAAUGCUUUAUUGCUUGGAUAUUAUCUCUUUACAAUGCCAAUGGGAAACCGGCUUCUAAGGGAUUUAAUUAUGCAACAAAUUAUUUUGUACAAAUCUAUAAAAUAAGCCCUCCCACAUCGCCUAAUGAUGUGGAUCCUCUAGAUCUUAUAUGUAUAUUUUCAUCUCUACCUAGCACGAGAUAUUUUGAAAGCUCACUGACUUCGGUUUCCAUCGGAACUCCAAAGUUAAGCGAGUUCGCAGCGAGAGCAAUCCCAAGAUGGGUGACCCACUGGGAAGUUCUCGUGUGAGUUCUCAAAAACAAAACCAUGAGGGCGUGGUCGGGUUCCAAAAUGGACAAUAUCGUGCUACGAUAGAGUCGAGCCAGGAAUAUGGUGGGGCCCGGGUGGGAUGUGACACCUAGAGAUUGUAAAAAGAAACCAUAAAGCCACUGUAGCUCACAUCCCCCAAUGUAUCUAAUUCAAUUAGCGAACCAAAGAGGCCAUCCAUGAUUCGAUAUUUACAAAUAACACUCUAGUUCUGUAAAACAAAAAACAAAAAAACAAAGAACGCUCUAGCAAAAGGCGGUGGAAGUUGCGUGGGCCAUCACCUUUCUUUUUUUCUCUCUGCAAUUUUUUUUCUCUCUCUAAUCUUCUUGGUAAUCUUAAAAUAGGAUUAUGAUUCUCUUUCUAGCAUUUUUUUAGAACAUUGAUUAGUACUACGGUCUGAGAGGAGGAUUCCCUCCCCUUUUAAUUUUUUUCCCUUUUCGUCAUUUCCACUUGAACGGUUACAGUUAAAUCAAGUUAACAUCUUACAUUGACUUCUUUUCUUAAUUGUUGAAUUGUAUAAAUUAAACAAAAAUGUAAGUUUUUAAAUCAAUCGCAUAUUACAUAGGAAACUGUUAUUAACAUUCCAAAAUCGAUUGUCUUUCAUUUUGAUAGCGAGUAGUUUUUAUAAUAAUAAGUCAAGGCAAGAAAAAAAUUUAUCCUACACUUCUCACGGAUGCAUUUUUCUUUCUACUUAUAGAAAAUUUGAAGAUUAAAAUAAAUUUUUUUAAGUGCCAAUAAAAAUUCUUUAUAACAUAGUAUCAUAAUGUAAGUUUUUAUCAUAGGCAGCAAUUGGAUUUGGCCCCACAUGGUACUAUGUAGCACUCUUCUUAUCUUUGCUAUGAACAUGAUUACCCGAACAUAAAAGUCUACAUGCCUUUUUAACUAAUGAAGAUAAUAAACACACAUUUUUUUAAAUUAAAUGAAAAUAAGAGACAAAAUUAAACAAAAUCGUGUGAAAGACUAGAAAAGAUGCAUAUUUAUCGUUUCUCUUAACGAGCAUACAACUUCAAACAUUAACCUGCCCUCAUUUUAUUUAGCAAGAUAGUACUACGAUUUAGUGAUAUUUAUUUUUCGGUUAUAAAUGACGGGUAUUAAAUUCGAUUCUCAUCAAAAAAAAUUUAAACCAUAUUUAAAGCGAGUCCACUCCCACACUUCUUAAUAUAUAUAUAAUAUUGUAUGGAGUAAAAAAGAUGUCAUCAUUUCAUUUUGGCUAAAUUGGAUUGUUCAUCCUGUGGUCAUAGGACACUUGCAUGAUGACUCCCGUGGUGAAAAAACUAGGAAUUAAACUCCUGUGGUCUAGAAUGUUAGCAAAUUUAGUCCAAAAGUAAGAUUUCUGUUAAAUGACUGUUAAAAGUUAGGGUAAAACUGUAUUUUCAGUUCCAAUUGACAUUGAAUUUGCACUUUUUUUUAUUUAAAAAAUUAAGCAUUAUUUUUUUUGUUAAUUGUUAUAAAAAAAAUUAUUUAGUUUAAAUGUCAAUUGGAACUGAAAAUACAGUUUUACCUAUACUUUUAACAAUCAUUUAACAGGAAUCUUACUUUUGGACUAAAUUUAUUAACAUUCUUGACCACAUGAAUUUAAUUCCUAGUUUUUUCACCACGGGGGUCAUCAUGCAAGUUUCCUAUGACCACAGGGAUGAAUAAUCCAAUUUGGCCUUUCAUUUUUAUUAUAAUUAAAGAAAUUAUUAUUAACACUUCAAACAUUUUAUUAUGCAUUCAUCACAGGAUUAUUUUUUUCUUCUAAAUAUAUAAAAUUUAAAUUACUAAUAACACCUCUCUAAUUAAAUUUUUUUCUUUUAAUAAUUGCUUAAAUCUACAAAGAAGGCAAAAUAUCUUACAAAACCAAGGGUGAGGGCAGGAAUCUUCACCAAAAAAAAAAGAGGACGCAGGAAAAGAAAAGAAAAUGACUGAUUAAGAAAUAAAGUAAUCCAAAGUCCCGAUCGCCAACCCAUACAACUCACUUUUCCAGCCGUUGGAUUCCGACAAAUCAACAUCUGCAUGGUCCAGGAAAGUGGAAACCGAACAUACUUGUCACAAUCCAACGGUCCAAAAUCCCCAAAUCACAUCUUAAAUCUAAUGCUUGUACAUGUUCAUACCCAAUCACACCUCACUCUGCUGAGAGCUCACUUUUGGUUAACUGUUAAGUCAAAACAAUCAGUGAGAACAUCACAAAAUCAUAAGAUUCAAGAAGCUAAAUCUGCUAAAUCCAAAAUCUUAAAAACCCAAAUCUCCAGUUCCCAAAAAGAUCCAGAAAUCGAGAGAGAGAGAGAGAGAGAGAGAGAGAGAGAGAGGAGAGAGAGAGAGAUCAAAACCCAGGAGAAACAGAGGGUGAAGCAAAUGGGAGUGACAAUGGGUCUGAAUCUGCUGCUGCUGAUGGCUAUGGUGGCCACCAACAUACUCUCACUCUACCACCUCUCCUCCACUCUCCAAACCCCAAAACCCCCAACUCCCCAGCCAGUCCCUGACCACCUUCUCCACCAGCUCCACACAUUACGCGCCACCAUCAACCACCUCACGCGCGACCACCCUUCCCCAUCAACCGCCACCGCCAAAACAACCAAACCCGACAUCCCCUCAGAUCUCCUCCUCUACUCUCAGCUCUCCCCCAUCGCCUCCUCCUGCCACAACCACCCUGACCUCGUCCACAAGUACAUGACCUACACCCCCUUCUCUCUCUGCCCACUCGACUCCGACCUUGCCGAGGCACUCAUUCUCCGCGGCUGCCACCCGCUCCCCCGCCGCCGAUGCUUCACAAGAACCCCACCAAAACCCACUUCUUCUCUCCCCCUGAAUCCGUUUCCUCCUUCGCUUCCGGACUCCAAUGUCUUGUGGGACAAGUAUUCCUGCAAAAGCUUCAGCUGCCUCGGCGGCAAAAACCCCAACUUGGGCUUCGACCUGCCUCACGAAGUGUCCAAUUUCAUGAGUUACAAGUCGGAGCUCGACCUCCCAAUCCCUCAGCUCUUCCAAAUCGCCAAAGCCGCCAACUCGGUCCUCCGUCUCGGCGUCGACAUCGGCGGCGGAACUGGGACUUUCGCGGCGAGGAUGAAGCUCUACAAUGUCACCGUUGUCACGACCACGAUGAACCUUGGAAUCCCCAACAAUGAGGCGGUGGCGCUGAGAGGGUUGGUCCCAAUUCACGCGCCGCUGCAGCAGCGGUUGCCAAUGUUCGACGGGGUGGUGGAUCUGGUGCGUUGCGGGCACGCCGUGAACCGGUGGAUACCGGCGACGGCAUUGGAGUUUUUGCUGUUUGAUGCGGAUAGAGUGUUGAGGGGAGGAGGGUACUUGUGGUUGGAUAAAUUUUUCAGCAAAGGGGUGGAUCUUGAGAAGGUUUUUGGACCGUUGAUUGGGAAAUUGGGGUACAGGAAGGUGAAGUGGGCUACUGCAAAUAAGAACGAUUCCGGCGGGAUCAAGAAUGGUGAGGUUUACUUGUCUGCUCUGCUCCAAAAACCUGUCUCGAAAUGAGGUUGCAAUUUGAGGUACUAAUGUGCUAUUUAUUUCCCAGUUUGUUCCUUGAAUCUGCAAUUUUUGGUAUAAACUGAUUAGUGAAUUAGUUGGAUCUAGCAUUUGUUCGUGGUUAAUUACUUUGUAGCUACAAUGUCAGCUGAAUAUAAAGUGCACUCGAAUUAAGUAGAUUAGAAUCGCGUCGCUGUCUUAGAGCUCGUUUGAAUGUACUUUUAAAAUAGCUAAAAGCGUUUUUAAAGAAAAUGUUUUUUGGUUUCAAAAGCACUUAAACUGCUUUCUGCAAGAAGCACCGGUUUUGUCCGGUUUUGUGCUUCUUCCAGGAAGCACUUUAAGUGCUUUUCAGAAUUUACUUGCAUUUUUAUUAAGGAUUGGUUCCAAAAACAUUUUCAUCAAAAGCGCUUUCAGUCAUUUUAAAAGUACAUUCAAACAAACACUUAGUUUGGUUUGAAGUUUUGCGCAUUAUUUGCAGGUCCUAAAUAUGAUUGUUUCGUCUCUGAUAUGUUUUGCGUGAUCUGGUUGUGGCAUUCAUGUCUUUGUUGGACAAAGUUCUAUGAGAAGUUUUGCGCAUUAUUUGCAGGUCCUAAAUAUGAUUGUUUCGUCUCUGAUAUGUUUUGCGUGAUCUGGUUGUGGCAUUCAUGUCUUUGUUGGACAAAGUUCUAUGAGAAGUUUUGCGCAUUAUUUGCAGGUCCUAAAUAUGAUUGUUUCGUCUCUGAUAUGUUUUGCGUGAUCUGGUUGUGGCAUUCAUGUCUUUGUUGGACAAAGUUCUAUGAGAUCUUAAUACGAACCAGAGCCAGUCACGUUAGUUCCUUCGUUGCUAUCAUAUAGCCUGGUGUUCCAGGAGGAACAUGGCAUUCGCCUUCGGUGUACAUUGUCUUUAGGCCUCUUGAAUUGCUGAGUGUUUGCUAGAAUUUACUUUGUCUGUGAAUAAUCCAAGAUGUGCUACCUGGUAAACCUUGCGUAAAAUUUUCGGAGAGAUGACAUUGACAAUCUGUUUAGCGGGCUACUGUAAUGUGACGUCGUAAGCAGUAGUUUUAAUCAUAUGUGAAUCAUACUCGACAUUUUCUAAGUGCUCGGAAGUGGUGGUGUUGGAUCAUCGCACCAUCUGCACACGGUGAUUAAGGGAACCUUAACUGGUAUUUUUGUGCUACUGACUGUAACUUAAAAUCUGACUGAGAUGGGUUUUGUGCUUGGGCUGCAGGCAUUGCCGUCAAUCGUUGCUGCUAACGAACAUACACCUCUCCUGAGAAGAUGGGCGUCCUUCAUCGAGCAAUGAGACAGUAUACCUACGUUCUCCGAUCUAAAGCGAGUUACACCUCAAGCUACUUGUUAAUGAUGUAAACAAUCGUCGAACGUCGCAAAAUAUGUAACGCUAUCAAAGGUUCCCAAGGAGGGAGAAGCCGAAAUUAGGCGCGUUCUCACCCUCAGUUAAUGGUUUUUGGUAGGAUUACUCUUGACUAAUUGUAAUAUUUAUUCCAAUUAAUUCUUCAUAAAUGAAUCCGAAGAGCAAUUAUGCUUUCCGGUAGCUUUUACACGUUACACAUGAAGUAACUUUAAGUGUUGUGAAAAGCGUGGAUUCCAUGCACGAAAGGUUGGGGAAAAAAGCAAAGGAAAGUAGGUCAUAUUUUUUUGGAACAUUAACGAAAAACUUCGGUACUGUUUAUUUUAACGAAAAACUAAAUUUUAUACUAAAAGGUCAAUCUUGGUAUUAUUCAUUUUAUCUUUUAUUUUGUCGUUAAAACUCAAAAUUUUCAAACAUUUUUUAUUAGUUUUCCUUUUUUUUUUGGUUCAAAUGCAAUUCCUUGUACGGUCUUAGCAGCAACCACUACCAAUUUCUAAAGGGGUGUGAUAUCUAUACAUCUUAUUUUACUCUUCACACAUAUUUUUAAUUUUCAGCUGUCGGAUCAGAUGAAUUGAAGAAGAUCAACGGACAUAAAUUAUCAAGGGGUGUGUGAGAAGUAAAAUAAGGUAUGUGGAUAACACACCCUUUCUAAAAUGCAAUUCCUUGUACGGUCUUAGCACCAACCACCACCAAAGAAAUUGGUUGAGAAAGAGGCCCUGCCUCCGGCCACCAGAGCAGCCGGAGCCCAGCAAUUGUUGCGGCGGCUGAUGCAUUCAGUGCGUUUGUUGUAGAUUCAAUCAAGAUAUUUGUAUCCUGGAUUCAAUCAUGGAUUCGAGAAGAUACUCGUUUCCGUCGACAUCUAGCCAUUUUCUGACUUUUCCGGCAACAAGCUCUGAAAACGGUAGCGGUUUCAGAGAAAACGGUAGCGGUUUCAGAGACGACGGUAGCUUCAAGCAUAAAAGCAAAAUUAAAAAGUUGGAACAUGAUAUCUCUGUCAUCACAUCACAAAGAAAACGGUUGCUUCAAGUAUUUCUUUCAGGCACACUUGCUCAAAGAAAAAAUAAAAAAGACAGUAUUACAAAAUCUCAUACGACGCUUCACGUCACACCAGAGAGUCAGAGACGAUGCCCAACUGAAGCUAGAAACUGGUUUUCCCAUGGCAACAUUUUCUCACACCGCUCCGACGGCUCAAUCGGUAGCUUUCCGCCUCAGAAGGUGUUGCAUGCUGAUUCUGUUGAUCUUAGCAGCAAGUAUGAAGUCAUUCUCGGUCAAUCCACCUGCACAAUGCAUACCAUGUCAAAAGCUAAAUCUCAUGUGCAAUCAAAUCUUCAAACGAAUUGGCUCUUGAAGUAAAUUGAACGACUUUCAGCGUUGUAUUAAGGUGAUCUCUAAAAAGGUGAUCUCUAGCUGGAAAAUAUUUAGGUAACAUUCGGAGUUCGGCUGGUAAGUUUCACUGAGGUAGAAUUCCGUAACCAGUACCAGAACCAGAACCAAAACUAAACAGAAGUUUGAAAUAAGCAACUGGACGAAGCUUCAUGUAUCAUAUGUUCACCUAUUUUCCGCAAGGUAAAGCAAGAGUUGUACAAUACUUUUAUUUCCCAGAAGCGUUAAUGGUGGUAGGAAAACUUCAUUAGCAAAACGUUAUAUACACCGAGAGAAGGGGAUGGAAGAACCUCACCUCUGCCCUCCAAGACGACCUAAUGCAUAAUGGUUUUAUUCAAGAAACAUGUAUAAAUACAUAGUACCAAUUAAUUAAUGGCGAAUCCUUACCAACCGCAUGUGUCCAAAUCUCGACUGUUACAUUGUUCCAUCCAACUAGAUGAAGAUCUGGAUGAUGACCUGGAACAUACACAUUACGGUUUUCCAUCUACAUCAGACACAUUCUAUCUUAUUUAAAUUCUAAUGCAUUCUUCAUACACGCGAUAGCUACAACUUCAUACACGCGAUAGCUACAACUACUCAUCAGAAAACAAAAAAAAAAGCUUAAAAAUACCUUCUGCUUCUGCAACAUCAGCUACGAGCUUAAGCAUAUCCAGUCCUUUUGUGAAGGUCUUAACUGUCCAUGAUCUUUUCAGUCUCAAAGCAUCACCUUCACUCACCAAAUUCCAUCCGUCCACCUAAACCAAAUAUAUUAAUAUUAAAGGAGAAACAUACAUGUGUGUGUAACUGUGUAUAUAUAUAGGCGAUAGUUAACUCUUUAAUCGAAACCUUUGUGAUUAAUCCUUUUGCUGCUUGUUCAGUCAUGGGUCGCAUGUCCUUUGAGUCGCAAGACACGCACUUCUUUAUUAACAAAUCUAAUGCCGCCAGAAAACAGUACAAGAUAAGAAAAAUAUGACUUCCCUGACAAACAAAGCUAUGACAAAACCAGUAUUACCAGAUUUUGAUAUUGUAGAAAAAAUAACAUCAAUAAAUAAUCAAUGCCGGUUAUACUAGAUAAGAAAACAACAUUCAUGGAUAUGCCCAGCAAAUGGACAAGCAGGUUCCUUCCCUUUAAUGAAUAAGAGCUUCUAUAUUUUACCAGAAACCGUACAAGCUGAUUAAGGAGGAUAGACAGACACAGCAGAGAUGAACCUACUAAGAAGUAAAGAUUACACACCAGUUACCACAAUUAAACAUGGGAACAAUUUGAUACUUAGAACUUUUUCUCAUAAAGGUCCUGGAUCGAUUAAGCAAUAUCUCAAAGCCGUAAACCAGGACAAGAGUAUUUAGAAUGGCCAACGCAAUAAAUCACAGAGGAAUUGGGUAUAUGCAUGAGUAGAUAAUUUAGUUUUUGGCCAUGUGGAUUAAGCUUUGCACACAAGAAAAAAUUAGUCUUCCCAAGCUACUUCUUUUCCUGUAAGAAGGAGAUAAAGCCGAUGUCUAAAAUUUCGUGAAUGGAUGCGUAUGGAACAAUGAUGCCAUAGUAAUAAGAUGUUCUACCGCAUGCUGGCACCCCAAGCUUACUUGAAAGGUUUUGUCACAUAAAUCGCAGUUCGGAGAGAAACUGCAUUCGAUUGUCAAACUGCAAAAACGACGAAAAGUCCAGUGCAAAAGUUCUAAAUCCACAUACUGAGUUUCUACUGGACGACAACAAUCCCACAUUGACAUAGUUCUGAAGUAUCUCAAACACUCGGCUACCGGAACCUAUGAUGCACGGAUACAUUUGUUUGGUCCCGUAUUCUGUAUCCGAUACUUGCAGAUGCGGUACUUGCCCGAUACUCUUGGAUACUCGUCCGACACGUAUCUUGGUUGAUGGACACGAAUUUGACAUGAUGGAUACGCGUAUCCUACCUUUAGGAUACACGUAUCCGGCUUUUAGGAUACAUUUACACUUUCAAAAAAGGUUAUGAGGAGGAGAAAAUUAAUACGAGACAUCUAUAAUUAAAAGUUGCUGAAUACAAAGAGUUCCCUCUAAUUAAAACCAUGAAUACGACUCUCACACUUCUUCUAUUGUACAAAGAGGAUUAGAUUUCGAACUUUUAUUCUCUAACAACUCAAAUGUAUUUGUAUUUGAAUUUGAAUGAUGAAUUAUGUUUUAAAAUGUAUACUUUUGUUGCUAUAUAUAUUUUUAUUUGCCGUAUGCAUAGCGUAUCGUAUUUUAAUUUUUAGAGAUUUUCCGUAUUGUCGUGUUGUGCCGUAUCAUAUCGUCGUAUCUGUAUCCGUAUCCAUGCUUCAUAGACCGGAACUGUAUUUUAAGUACAAAAUUUGUUUUCACAAAAGAAUCCAACUCCAAGAAGUGCAUGCAUGUUGAAGUUCUAAUUAAAUCACAGAAUUAUAAAAUCAAAACAACAAAAUUGAAUGUAAAGCAGCAAUCUUUCAACCCUCAAAUUUUCAUCAAACAACACAACCAAUCACAAGAUUAAUGACAAACAAAACAUGGGUAAGUCGAGAAAUUACAGAAGAUUGAAAUUGAAGAUUCAAAAAACCAUUUUUUUAUCAUCAUAUAAAGGGCAUGCAGGGAAUUACCGUCCAUGAGUUCCAGUGAAGCUUUGAAUCACAGAUGCUAAUGGUACCUGUAAAUUUUCCGAGAAAAUUUCAGCAGAGGAGAAAGAUGAGAGAGAGAGAGAGAGAGAGAGAGAUACCUUCUGCAACAGUCGACUCAUGAAUGUUUCUGUAGACUCUGAAAGGGGAGGCGAUUUUGAACGGUGGGCAGUGAUCAGAUGAUGUAAUAGAAACUCGAAAGUUUGUAUUUUUGCGAAGCUUUCGCGGUUGGACGUGAUUGAGAAAAAGGAUGAGAUUACAGAGGCUGAAAUGAAAAUCGAAUAGAAUUGAUGGCAAAAAUUAUAAAAUUAAAUAACUUUGUGGGUUCUCUAGAAAUAACGUAAAAUUGAGUGGUGGGUUGGGGAAAGUAUAAAUGUGAACAAACGUGUCCGGAAAACAAAAAAUUUCGCUGCGUUUUUGCUUCUUCGUCUGAGAAUUGCUCUCCUCCGCCGAACAAAAUGGUCAGUUUCUUUCUCUCUCUUCCUCUUUCUCUCUCUUAAAAUUCCAAUUGAUUUACCAAAAUUUUAGGGCUAGGAUUUAGGGUUAGGGAUUAGACAUUGUUAUCAGCUUCUUGAUCUGUUUGUGAGUGGAAUAAUUGGGGUCGGAUCCGUGUUCCUUAGAACUGGAUCUCUCAGAUCCUGCUGCAACAACAUAAUUUAAAUGCAUAUUCUCGAUAAAUUUUGAAAAAUGCAGGCAUUUUUUAAUUGGAAGAUAAUAAAUUGUUGUGAAUUUUAUGUUUGUUUGUUCUUGAUAAUUUGAUGCUGUUAAUGACCCAAAAUUAUCAGUGUAUGAAUGGUAUGUAUACAUGGAUGAUGGAUCCCAUUUGAAUUUUUAAGAAAAAAUUGGAUUUGAGCUUGCAACUGAGUUACCGUAGUGGACCGUGUUCUUGGGAAAUUAUUCCACAAGAUUUUUGUGUUUGUUUGAUCUGGUUGAUGCUGCUCAACAAUGUAGUUGAGGUUGUAAAUGGAUCCUGCUUAAGUUUUUAAGAUGUUCAAUAUAAGCUUGCAAAUGAGUUAACAGAACCAACUAUGAUCCCGGGAAAUCAUUUCUGUAAACUUGUAGUCGAACAUAUUCAGCACAAUUGUGCAAGCGCAAUGUUAGAUGUACACACAUAUAUAGUACACGUUAAAUCUCGAGUGCUGAAUGCAAACGUGUUUAUCAAAUUAGAGAAACAAUUCCAUUGACUGGGUAUGAUUACACUCAUGCUUUAGUGUAAGUUGCAAUUGUCAUUACACUAUAUUUAGGCUUACAUGUACAAGUAACGACUAUUAACUUUUGUUAUUGAUGUGGUAAGAGUCGGUAACCAUUUUAAGCUUAUAUCUAAUUGGAAGCAAAACAUUAGUUUUCCCUGAUAAGCAUGAAUGAGUGAGAUAUCUGACCCUUCGGUGGAUGUAGCCACGAUUAUCUCUUUUUAAUGUCAGUGCUGAAAUCAUUUGGUGCAGUGUAUCGUAUAAUGAUUCAAGUUUUGGCAAUCUCUAAUCGGUUAUUGGCUAUGGUUUGUAGGAGUCCUGCCCUUCGAUAAAGAACAUCCUCCUCCUCGAUUCUGAAGGGAAACGUGUGGCUGUCAAGUAUUAUUCAGAGGAGGACUGGCCAACGAAUACUGCCAAAGAAUCUUUUGAGAAAGCUGUAUUUACUAAAACUCAAAAGACAAAUGCGCGGACAGAAGGUAAUUUAAGCUUUAAUUAUUUCUGUACAGGUCAUGUCAUCAAAUUAUUCUAAUCCCUAUCAAAUGCUAUCCCCUCAUAUGAAGCAUUGUGUUGUUUUGAUUCGAACUACUUCCAUAUUAACUUGUUGCGUCUUCAUGUACAGCUGAGAUAGCAAUGUUUGAGGGCACCAUUGUAGUUUACAAGUUUGUUCAGGACCUUCACUUUUUUGUUACUGGUGGUGAAAAUGAAAAUGAGCUCAUUUUAGCCACAGUUCUGCAGGGAUUUUUUGAUGCGGUUGGCAUUCUCCUGAGGUAUUUUAUCCUCCUUAUAAAACUUGAUAAAUUCUCUACUCUCAAGUAGUUAUAUUUCUAUAUUCAUUUUGUCUCACUUUUGUCCAGAGGCAAUGUGGACAAGAAGGAGGCACUUGAAAAUUUGGAUCUCAUUUUACUAUGCCUUGAUGAAAUUGUUGACGGGGGGUAAGAUAUAACCUUCACGCUUAUAAAGUUUGUUAGUGCUAUUCAGUGAGUUCAAUUCCCAACUUUUACAUUUUUCUAAAAGCCUAGAAUGAUAUAAGAACCAACGUUGUUGCAGUUUACUUGCAGAGAAUAAUGAUAACGCGAUUUGCAUGUCUGGACCAUUUGUUCGGUUCAUAUGUACCUUAUUUCUUGUACAAUCACAGUGCCCUUAGGCUUAACCCUUUCUUUUUGGUGCAGUAUUAUUCUUGAGACCGAUUCAAAUGUUAUAGCAAGUAAGGUUGCAAGUCACAGUAUUGAUGCUGGAGCUCCGUUGUCCGAGCAGGUAUAUCCGUUGUCUAGAUAGUUAAACUCGACAUGUAAAAAAUACUAAUUCAACAACCGAAUACUCCCUGCCACCAAAUUUUAUGUUGUUAAUCCAUAUAUAUAUAUUUCUUCUUACAGACAAUAAGUCAAGCAUUGGCAACUGCCCGCGAACAUCUAGCGAGACAACUCCUUAAAUGAUGUGUUGAAAGAGGAAAAGCAAGGAGAGAGGACAUCAGUUUUAUAUGUUUCUGUUUCAUCAGAUGCUGCAAUAUUAUCAAGUUCGAUUACUUCUGCAGAACUUGGUUAAUUUGGACAUCGGAACAGUUGAUGUCAAAGGUUUAGUAUUCGAGAUAUAUACGUUUACAUAUUUUGAUGAAUUGAAUGCCAUAUGAACUCACAGGGAUGUUCGAGAUUCCGUUUGUAAUUAAUUUGUGUACCAUAUGCGAUGUUGUCUUGAUUGAGCUAUAAACUUUCAAUAACACGGAGUUUCCGAGAAUCCGACUGUUGUAUCAUACUCCUUGAAUCACAACAUAAUCUGCAUCACGUAUGAAACCGUCGCCGGCCGUAGGGGAGAGGUUACUGCGAGACACAUCUUUGCGAACCACUUCAUGAUUCUCAGCCUCGUGCUGAAACAUCUUAACCAACUCUUGAAGCUCCAACUUUCUAACUUCAACCUGCUCUUCGGUGACCGGUUGUUUCAGCCCAAGGUAGAGCAGCCCUACUCCGAUUAGCACGGCUCCUAUAAAGGCGAGAACGGCUGAAAAUACACCGAAUGCGUAUGGAGCGUUCUGUGCUCCCGGCAUUCCGUCAACAUUAAUUCCAAAUAGCCCGGUGAUGAUGGAAAGGACAAGGCCGCAGCCACCAAAAACAGUCAGGUUGUGUGUCACUCGAAGGCUUCGAUCCUGUAACCAUGCACGAACAGUGCUCUGCAUCACGUCCUGAAUGGUAAAUAAGCGGCCGCGAACUGCUUCUUGCUCCUCGAUCAUUUCUCUUGUGGCCUUUCGUAUUUGCUCUAACAAGGUUCUUGCUGCAUUUCCUCUCAAAUGUUGGAGAAGCUCGAAUACAAUCUCUUCUCUUGCAUGAAGCGACCACUUCACUCUGAUAACCUGCAAUAAAAUUAUGGAGUUUGCCAAACAAAGUGUGUUAAUUUGAAUGGCAGGGUAACCUCAAUGGACAGUCAAACAAAAAGUUUCUACUGACUGCCUAGAUGCUAAACCUAAAUGUUAGGCAGACUCGAUUUUCCACUUCAACGGGGAAGGGGUAUUCAAGGCCAUAGGAAAUACGACACCACAUACAUAUGGUGGCUACAGGUUAGAUAUCAUGCAUGUACCCAAACACGAAGUAUACAGUUAGAACCGUAGAAAUAACGGGAGUAGGGUAGAUUCAAUAACAUCAUAAGAAAAUAUAUUCUAACGUAAUUCCUGUUGUCCACAAAACAUGAGAAGCUCUCAAAACCAAUACCCCUUUCCGAUUGACUCAGUUUCUUGCUUCCAUUUUGAUGUGCAAGAUCUGUACAUUAGUAUAUCACUCAGUCACUCACACAGCCACACCCCAAUGGCUUGUAGAAGCCAUUUGUCUUACGAGAUUUGGGAUUCAACAGCUCAUAGAAGCCAUUGUCUUACUAAAAGUUCAGGUUAUUCAUCUUUGGUUUAUCCUUUCAACAAGAAUAAAAAGGUCGUACCCAGUGCACAAGGCUCCCGCUUUACGCAGGGUCUGGGAGAGGUGAAUGUCGGCUAGCCUUACCCCCAUUUAUGGAGAGGCUGCUCCCAAGACUCGAACCCGAGACCUACCGCUCAUGGGCGAAGGCACUUGCCAUCGCACCAAGUGCGACCUCUAAACAAGAAUAAACGUAAAAAUAGAAUCGAGCGAUUUUUACAUCAAAUGGAAUUUGCUAGCAAGGAGAUACAGCAUACCUGUCUUGAUAGCUUUCUGAUUUCUUGGUUGAGGAUUACAGUGAAAAGAUUCAUAUCCUCAUGGUUUCUCCUAUUAAACAAAGAAGGUAAAGUCAUAAGUGAAUUACAAACUAAAUAGUAAUCAACGAGGUAAUAUUACUUUACGGGGAAUGGUUGUAUGCAUAUGGAAGAACCUGUUCAUAAAUUUUAAUUCAACCUCAUCAGCUGCUCCAAAUAUGGACUUACGGAAUAACCUGAAACAGCGGAGACAUUGAAGGGAACCACAGGUUAGAGAAUAAGAAAUGACAAAGACGUAACAAUGCAUACAUAAAAUUAUGGACAACGGAAUAGAAUUAGUUGUAGUACAUGCAUGAGCCAACGCCAAUAAUUGAUGUGCCAUUUCCACAGUAAGUAGGCUUUUGUAAUUUUGCUAUAUCAGAACGAUAGUACUGAAGUUACCUGUCAUCCCAUCGAGUAAGGCGGCAAGCUAGAUGUGCUAUGACUUCAUGCACUGUUCUCGGUGCAUUAUAGCCUCCAGUUGAAACAAGUUCCUAACCAAAGCAAAGGAUUAACCUACCAGCCUUUAAAGUUGCAUGCACAAAAAAAAUAACACAGUAAGAAGUUCAAAGCCACUGAAAGGAUCAGUCAAAGAUGAACAACCUGAACUUCUGUGAUACCCAACACAUUUAUACUUGACACAGGCCCCUUAAUAUGCAAAACCGUUACAAGGAAGUUUUGUGCUUGCCACGAUCUAAGUACAAUGGGGAUAUCAUCCUCAUCAACAAAUGGAUUCCCAAUAGACUGUCCCAAAAGCUCAAAUAGCAACCCCCCGGCAACCCUAACUGGGACCUGAAAAGAGGCAUCAAAGCAUGUUCAGAAUCAACUCUUCAACAAAAACCAGAUUCCGAAAAAGUUUAAGCUGAAAGUCAGUCACUUUGUUACACUCCUGCCACUGCAACAGGCUUUACAAACCAAUACUACUAAUUACUUAGCAAUUUCAGAUAUAACAAAUGCAAUGUACCUCGUAUCGCAGGUGCUUCAUCCGGUCACUGAUCAGUCGACUUUCAUCUCUUAAAGCUAAGCUAACUGCAGGGUGAAGCCACUGGGCAUUGCUGAGCCAUGCUUCAACUGUGGGGUGGCCUGCAGAGACAUGGCACCACCAAAUGGGCCCUGCCGGACACUCCCAAUACGGAGCUGCUAAAUCUGCAACAGUGAAGUCAUCUUCACCAUCCAUCCCAAACUGCUGAGAGGCCCAACUAGCGUUAGCUUGCACAGUUUGUACAAUUUCCGAAAUCCUAUCCCACCCAAUUGGAACCCAAUGACCACCCUCAAACCUUUCCAUAUCCUGAACUUGGCCUGAUUGCUGGCUCCUAUCUUCCAUUUGGGAUGGAGAAUCAGAAAAUCCGUAAGAAGGAACACGCACCCUCUCUUGCUCACCAUCUAUUUGUUUGUUUAGUCAGGUUUUUUGAACCAGGUUUUGAACUAAUUAUUUUCUUCCGGCUUCGGAUAAACUCAAAAGCACAAAUAAGCCCAUUUUUCCAAAGGUCACUCCCAAUCCCAGGCAUGGGAUCUCUACUAGGAAAAAUUCUAUGGCUAUCCGGGUUCUUCGUGUUAUUGCAAUGGGAAGAACUGUUCUCCCCCACUCUACUGUUGUUGUGUUCCAUCGAUGCACAGCUAAACCAUGGAAGUUGCAAUUAUCAGACACAGGAUUAAGCUGCAAUUAGUGAUCACAGCUAAAUACUGCAAUGUUUAGAAAAAUAAUCAAAACCUGACUAUAAUUAAAUUAGAAUUUCAGUCCAUGGAUUGCAGUUUGCACUCAUAAAUUGGGAAAAGAUUCAAACUUUCCAUCUCCGAGAGUAUAAAAAGUUUACAGACAACCUCCAAGUUAACAGACAAAACAAUAAAACAAAAGAAGCAGCAAUCGAGCAAAUAAACUCUACCCAUAUAAACAACCGAAUAAGAACAUGACCCAGGAAAAACAAUUAAAAAAUACCCAACAAAUAAAAAUCAAGUGGGAUAGAGAGAAAAUUGUUCCUGAAAAUUUAGAGGGGGAGAAAAAUGAUGAAUUUAAAUGGUAAAUUAUGGGUUCUUGAACGAAUAAAAGAAGAUUUCUAUUACUGUUAAUUAGGAGGAAAUGAAAUGAGAGGAGGAGGACCUUACCCAGGAAAGAAGGCAGAGUGUUGAAAAACCUAAGCUCCACCAAGGCAAUGCCUUUGUUUGAUUUAUGCAGGAGAGAAAAACUUGAACUCUAAGAAAAAACAGAGGGACGUGGAAAGGCUACGAACGUUGGUACAAUUCGACGCUUCCCUUCAUCAGAAAAAAAAAAAUGCGAUGCUUCUAAGUGGCAGAAUCACUAAGGGGACACCAGAAUGGUCUGUUCCCAUCUGCCUUUAUUUUCUUUGUUGGUGGUACUAUUAACAGAUGUUGUUGCUGCAUAUCAAUCUAAUUCUCUUAAAUUUAAGAACGUUUUCAAUUCAAACUCGUUUUUACGUUCCAGGCCAGACCUCAUUUUUCUCUCUAUCCCUCUGGCAUGGAGCAUUUACUUCCCCUCUGCCAUGAAGUUUUAAGAAUUAAGGUAAGACUAUCCAUGGAGAUUCUUGAGGCUAGAGUCCAAUAUGCGUCACUACUGUAUUUUUCAUUUUUUUUUUGUUUCGGCUUAAAUAUUCUAUUAAAUAUACAUUUAUUGCUUAAUAAACCGUAAAUCCACUUCCAAAUGCCUUAUAAAGGUUUCCUUAAUGCUCACAGAAAAUAUUUCGCAAAAAAUAAAUUUUUUUGCAUAUUUUACAAAAAAAAUGUGGGUUAACGGCUAUUUGAAAGAUGCGUAAUAAAGUGAAGUUUGAAAGUAAGCCUAUUUUCUUUUCACACCUUUGUGGUUCUACUUUGGUAUGGAUUAGGCAGGUUGGACUCACUCCUGGUCAUGUAUGUGAUAUUUUGGAUAAGCAACUUUUAGUCUCUCUUGAAUCUUGGCUGAGUCCAGUAGAUCUUGUUGAGCCAACACAUCUUUGACCUCACAUUGCCACAUCCCGAAGUUGUUUGUUCCAUCAAACUUUUCCACUUCGAACUUUGCAUUUUGCACCAUAGUUCUUGCAAACCCGGAGCUGCUUCCAAAAGGAUUCUCAUCUUGUCCGUUUGACAUCUUUGGCAACUAGACAGUACCCAAGAGCAACCUGUGCUCUGAUACCAAUUGUUGUGCUAGGAUAACACCAAACCUUAUGGAACCAACUCUUGAUAACCCACAGAAAAUAUAUCAAAUGAAAUGCAAGAACAAAAUAUUAAAGACACCAAGAUUUUAACGAGGUUCCUCAAUAGUCAGUGGAACUGGAGUACGUUCUCGGAGCAGUAGGAGCUCACCCAAUAAUCCACUAUCAACCAAAUGGGAGUUUACAAAGUGUUGACAAUCUCACAACCCAAAUAACCCAAUACACCCAAUAGCUCUCACACACCAACGAAACAAAUAGAGUAAGAAAUAUAAUGAAUAAUUUCUUCUCUAUACAUAUAGCUCAAAGCUAUUACAACAACACUAUUUUGGUGGAUGAUUACUAACCAAUGAAGCAGCAGUUUCUUUUCUCUGAGGAUCUACGACACCCUUUCUCUGUUGCUCUGCUGCGCUCUACUCUCUGCACUCAGAAUGAAGUUUUCACUCUCUCUUCAAAACCAACUUUAUCCACACAAGAACCAACAACUAUUCUUUUCACCAAAGAAUAAUGCUCCAUCUGAAGCUAACCUUUUUAGAAUUCCACAAAACAAUAAGAAACAUAAUUAUAAUGUCUCCCCACUUUUUAUUUUUUUAUUAGCCAAAAGAUAUCUAAUAAUUUGGCCCUUUUUUUCUUUUGCUUUGUUUAAUAGCUAAAAGGUGAUGCUGAGUUGGCCACUUGGCCACAAUUAAAACAGCCAAUUCCAUAGAACCUAUGGAAAAACAAAAGCAAAAUAAGUAAAGAGCUUCAAAUUCAAAUCAAUUAUACGGUUAUCAGUCAUUGAACACAUUUAACGGAGAGAAACAAACCCAAAUUGCCAAUGUAUGCAGUCUCCAUUAGUUGUGCUAAUGGAUCAAUGGCCUGACCCAGAAUUGCAAGUAAGGAAAGCAUCAAUAGCUCGCGUUUGACAUCCGGAGAAAAUGUUUCACUGAUAGAAAUGUUAUUAAACUCUAACCCAAAACAAACAAAAAACAAUGCUUAACAUAGGUAGCAAAAUUCAUGGAUUAACUAAAAACUAAGAGUAAUAAUAACAAUUUCAGAGAUUCGCUGAAAUAGACAAUUCCCGAAAACUAUUGACAGUAAAAUUUCUUAUAUAAGCUUCAUAAUCAAAAUUAAGUGAAUAAAAACAAAAUUAACUUGCUUGCACUUAUAAACCAAACCACAUACGAAGGGAGGGACUAGAAGAUGAAGGGAUUGGGAGGCUUCCAUCAAAAGUAGAAAAAAUUUAUCUAAAGCUAUCAUGCUUAGUCACCAGCCACUCUACAAACUCAUAAUUUAUUUUUUUUCAAAUGAUAAGUUUCUAACAAAUUAUGAAUCUCGUUGCAAGUAAAAGGCGCAGUUCAACUUAGACAGAUCACUACCAAGCAUUUUAGAGAAAAGCAACAUGCAACUCCAUUAACGCGCCUAUUUUAUGUUCAAUUUUAGGAAGAAUUAUAUAAGACUACAAAAGUAAGAGCAUCAAUCAAGAAAAAGAAAAAAGUUACACAACAAUAAAAGCAGCAUUUCAAGAAACUAAAGCAACCAAAAAUUUAAACAUAACAAGGUAAUGUAGGCUAUAAGGUCACCACUCCCUACACCUAUUAGAGCUCCCUCUUCCUCCAAACCCAACUUUCCUUCCACCGGGUUGCGAUCACUGGCUCCGGCGCUUAAUCCGUUAGAAAGGGCGCCACUUCUGAACUGGGCGGUUAAUCCUCGAUUAGUUGAGGAGAUCACUAUACGAAAUGAAACAAUCCGGGCUGAUAUGGUAUAACCGUUUGAGUGAAUAUUUGACAAGUCAGGGUUAUGUGAACAACGAACUAUGCCCAUGCGUGUUCAUUAAGAAAUCACAUUCCGGAUUUGCGAUCGUUGCAGGUUAUAUCAACGACAUGAACCUCAUCGAAACUCCUGCAGAACUUGAGGAAAUAGACGCGCACUUGAAAUCGGAAUUUAAGAUGAAAGAUCUUGGGAAAACUCGAUAUUGCCUUGGCCUAGAGAUCAAGCAUUGUUUGGAUGGAAUCCUAGUACAUCAAUCGAACUACACCCAAACGGUGAUACAACGUUUUAAUGAGGAUAAAUCGAAGCCUUCGAGUACUCCUAUGGUCGUUCGGACUUUAGAUGCUAAACGAGAUCUCUUCCGUUCGAAGCAGGAUGAGGAAGAGAUUUUAGAGCAUGAAGUUCCAUACCUAAGUGCAAUUGGUGCUUUAUUGUACUUGGCUCAAUGCACUAGACCCGACAUCUCCUUCGUUGUUAAUCUUUUGGCUAGAUAUAGCAACGCCCCUACACGCAGACACUGGAACUGUGUUAAAGACAUUUUCCGCUACCUCAAUGGUACGAUGGAUUUGGGCUUGUUCUACACCUACGAAUCCUUAAGAAGAGUUGCCGCCCCUCUCGGUCCUCGGGUUAAUUCACACCUUACUGGUUACGCAAAUGCUAGCUAUAUGUUUGACCCACAUAAGGCACGUUCUCAAAAGGGUUAUGUCUUUACCGUUGGAGAAACCGCUAUAUCUUGGAUGUCUACCAAGCAAAUGCUAGUUGAGACUUCUUUGAACCAUGUUGAGAUAUCGCCCUGCAUGAAGCCUUGCGAGAGUGCUUUUGGUUAAGAGCAGUCAUGGAACAUAUUCGAAGCACUAAUGGUCUUUCUCCCAUCAUUGACCUUCCUACGAUGAUCUUUGAAGACAAUGCAGCAUGUAUUGAGCAGUUAAAGAAUGGAUACAUCAAGGGAGACAACACCAAGCACAUUGCGCCGAAGUUCUUUUAUUCUCACUAGCAACAAUAGCAUUAGAACAUUGAAGUCAAGCAAAUUCGUUCCUAGGACAACCUGGCCGAUCUCUUCACGAAGUCAUUGCCCAAGUCUACUUUUCAGAAGCUCAUCCAAGGAAUCGGUAUGCGUAAAUUAUCUAAGUUGAAUUGCUUGUAUUUCUCUUAUUUGGAAGUUAUGUCUAACUCAGGGGAAGUAUCCUGAAGCAUACUCACUUGAUCUUAAUGUACUCUUUUUCCUAUAAUUAUGAUCAUUUUUCCCAUCGGCUUUUACUACCUAACGAGAUUUUGAUGAGGCACUCAUCCUGGGAUGAUCACACUUUGUUGAGUUCACUAUUUUCGUCCUGUUUGACGUUUGUUUUAGACAUUAUGCAUACUUCUCACUUUUCUCCUUAGUCUAUGGGGUUUCCCCAUGCCUUGGGUUUUACCAUAGCGAGGUUUUGCGAGUUUUACUAUCAAUACAUACUUACUUUCUUAUAUCUGAGACUCACAUUCACCUGUUCUACCGACAACUUUAUCAACUGUUCUACAUUAUAUGCUAAAUAUCUGAUGAAACAUUGAAUAUCAGAGUGCGCAACGAACGAGACUAACAAAAUAAGAGGAAUAUUAUUAAAAAAACAAGAAUGCCGAAACGACUACAAAACUCCAGAAGGCUACGUUGUGACUAACUUAUUCUCAAAUGAAUGACAAGCAUGCUAUUUAUAAUAAACUAACCCUAAUCCUAAAAAGGUAAGAAACCGAAACCCUAAUGUUAACGGGCUAAGCCCAGAAAACCAAAUAUUCAAAUAAACUAAAAUCCUAAUAUUUUCCAACACCCCGUCAAACUCAUGGCGGUAUACGACAUGGGUUUGCAAACAAGCAGAUGCGGACUAGCUUCGUUAGGCAAACUGGUAGGCAUGCAAACUUGACUUGACUUGACUGGCGAACUUGACUUGACUUGAUUCUUGAUUGCAAACUGGCAAACUAAUUCUUGGUUCUUGACUAGCUAGUGUUGAGAGUAUGGAAAUAACCCGUCACUAAACGGACGAGAUUUCCAUACCUCAAUUGUACCAACAAACGAACAACACCAACAACUUGUGUGGACCAUCAAACCAAAAAAUGGGUGGCAAACAGCCAACAACCCACUUUUCCUCUCUGCCCGUGUGGGCCAAAACAAACUUAACCAAUUUUUUAUUUUUCCAUUUUCUUGUGUUUUUUUUCUCCUUUUUUUUUUCUUUUACAAUGAUACAGACUUGCUGGUUGCUUCUGCAGGUUGCAACAGCAAGCUUCAAGGGUGCAGAAGCAGCGUCAGUGCAACUAGUUUCAUCAAAUCCAGUGCGGAUGGGGAGGUCAGACUAGAGUGGUGGCGGAUGCAGAUUAGCGGAGGAGGAGGAGGACCAAGGCAGCUGCAAGCGGCUGAAGAGGAUGAGGGACCAAGGUCAGAUGGAUUGAUGGUGGUGCGGCAUGCGAGCAGAUGGGAUCCGGGUCUGGUACGAUGCGGGGACGGCGACAACAAGACAGGCAGAUGGCGAGGGAGGAUUUGGAGGAGGAGAAGGUUCAGGGCUAGGUUGCGGGCAGGAUCUAGUGCGUGGACUUGACUGGUCUUACUGCACGAGGUGACUACAACUUCAAUUCUGAUUUUUUUUUUUUUUUUUUUCUUCUGCAAACUAAACCAAAGAUAAAAACAAGAAUACAUACUGACAAACAAAAUACCAACCCGACAAAGCAGAUUAAAUCCCGAAGGAUUGAACCUGCUCUGAUACCAAGUUAAAUAUCAGAGUGUGCAGCGAACGAGACUAACAAAAUAAUAGGAAUAUUAUUAAACAAACAAGAAUGCCGAAACGACUACAAAACUCCAGAAGGCUACGUUGUGACUAACUUAUUCUCAAAUGAAUGACAAGCAUGCUAUUUAUAAUAAACUAACCCUAAUCCUAAAAAGGUAAGAAACCGAAACCCUAAUGUUAACGGGCUAAGCCCAGAAAACCAAAUAUUCAAAUAAACUAAAAUCCUAAUAUUUUCCAACAAUAUUUACACACUCAAGGGGGAGUGUUGCAGUCCUAUCGGAUUAUGAAUGUGAUUGGGUAAAUCCUAGUGUAUUUAGGAGUACCUUGUUUUUUCUCCUUAGUAAUUUAACUCCUAUUAGAGAUGUAAUCCUAUUAGAGUAAGGAUUCUACCUAUCCUACUACUAUGAAUAAAGGCAUAAAGGGAUGAUACAACACACACCUCAUAAUUAAAUCUCUCUCUUCUCUCUCUGUUGCCGCCGGCCUCUCUCCUUCUCUGUCCUUUAUACAGUUCAGUCAAAUAGGCCUACAACACACACUUAAUUUUUAUACACCUUUGUCUUUAUACAUCCUCACUUGAAUUUUUAACUUUCUUCCGACAUCCAACUAAAAUUUAAAAUAUUCCUAGAUAAAUCCUAAACUACAAAUUAUUUAUGUAGAAUAAAAAGUUAUAAUAAAAUAUAAAUCAAAUAAAAAGGUGCAGCACAGUUGCAGUGCAUUUCGCAGAAUGAGCAGAUUAUUUCAAUGCAUGUUGUUUUAUGUAGAAAUUGAAAUAGGUAUGAGUAGGUGGUAUUGAGUCAAAUAUUACUUGUACUGCUAUAAAAUAGUUUGUUACAGUUGUAACAAACUACUUGUGUUAGUUAGGGACUUGUCUGUAAUUAGCUAGGUUAACUAAGGGUAGAAGGGUCAUCAGAUUUGUGUCUCUAUAUAUACCAAAACGUACACUGAAAUUAUUUAUGAAAUGAAAUCAAGAUAUUUUCUUGCAAAUGCAGUUUUCUUAUAAGCUAAGCUUUCUAUAUGGUAUCACUCACCAACUGCCUCACGGCUUGUUAACAUCUUAAUCCUUUUCCGCUUUGGUGUUCAUUGAAUUCUUGCUGGAAUUCAUCUCUGAAUUCCUAAUUUCUCAUUGAUGGUGUGUAUUUCUUCAUCUUAAUUUCUCAUAUUCAUCUAUGAGAAAAAUAGUCAUGACAGAUUCUGCCACAAAAAUCUAAAAAUGUGAAUAAUUAAUAUAUGCAAGACAAAAAAGAGUGAUUAUCAUUUCUCAAGAAAAUAUAUCAAAAAUUCUUCUUCUCGAAUAUAUUAAAUAGUAGCGCACAACUGGUGUAACCUUUUAAGUUACACAUAUUUGAAAGGAAAGGAAGGGAAAUGUAGAUUUAUAUUUUAAGUCAACGCACUAUUGAACAUUUUAAGAUGGAGCGUAAUCCAAUGGUCCAUAAGGCUCAAAUAAUUCAGCAAAUAGUCCCUUCUUUCUUUUAGGGUUCCAUCCCAUGUCCUUGCACAACUGGUCAUUGUACCAUAUAUGAACGGUACCGUUGCAUGAUCUCCGAUAGUAUUUGCCCGCGUAUCGCUUUGCGAAUCCGUCCCAUUCGUUCACAUCUUUCUCCAUCUCUUUUAUGCUUGGUAACGUAAAUGUGCCUCCAAGAAGCUCAGCUACCCACCUGCAUCUCAUCUCGGAGGUGCACAAGUUUGAAAGACUCUCGGAAAAUCCAAUUACGGCUAGUUGUGGAAUUCGUCCAUGUAUGCAUUCCCUGAUUGAAAUAGAAGCAUAAUGAGUCAUCAGAUUAAUAAAACGACCAAAUAUAUCUACGUGUGCACGCCACAUUUACUGAUCACUUGUCUCACAAAAUUAAGACCUAGCUAGAUAUAGAUGGGACUCGGACUAGAGUUAUGUGAGAGAUGUGAUCAACAAAUGUGGUAUAUUUGGCAUAAACUUGCCGCAAUGUGCUUUCAGAGGAGCUAACCUGUAGAGGGGUAAUAUGGCCUCCGGCGAACCAGCUAUAUAAUCCUGAAAGGUAGGAGACGCAAAGAUGUCUUUGAGCUUUUUAUCACCUCUAAACCCAGUAGCGAGUAUCACCAAAUCUGUCUUCACAGGGGAUACUUCCCCUUCAACCAAAACGCCUUCCUGGCAAAAGCUGAAGCUGCUGGGGGAUUUUUUCAGUAUGAUGCUUCCCUCUUGGACUCGAUCGUAGAACUUUUCCGGUAUUGUUGAGAUCAGACAAGAACUAAUUUCUUGAAGAAAACAAUGCUUAGGUACCAUUCCGUACUUGGCCAACCCAAGCUUCUUAGUUACGUAGCUUUCAACAAAUUUUGAAAAUCCCCAUCUCUGUUAUAAUUCACAAAAUAUAUUCUUAAUAAACUCCCUCUUUUUACAAAUAGAUUAAUACUAAGUUCAUAAAAGAUAAGUUGAUGACGCUUUACCGCAGUGUUGGCAAGUAAGCAACUCAUACCGUGAGGGUUUGAACCUCACUGAUUCCCCUUCCCUAACAACUAAUUAUUUAACCUACAACAUUAUUGCUUAUAAAAAAAUUCAUGAAAAAUAAAUAUAAAAAAGUUUACCAGAGGUGAAAGAAUUGUUGCAAGGAGACCAAGUAGGAUGCCUUCACCAGGCUUAUGAAUCAACAGCUCCGAGAAGCGAUUAACGUAUAGGUAUGUCAGGGGAACACCCCAUGGAAGAUAGUCAGGAAGAGUCCAAUGCUCUGUCUUGUAAAUUACUGUGCAUGGAUGUUCAAUCCCUGCAAACCAACCAAUUAAUCAAGAAGAAUAGGUAAUACAAACUAUGAACAAAAUGAUCACAAUAUUCUGGGCACAUGCCAUGUGACAAUCAAUUAAUUUUCACCAAACUAGCUACCAUUUGCGUUCGAACACUCCAUUGCAAUGUCCAGUGCAGAUUUCUGAAAUCCAACAACUGUUACACGCUUUCCUUUCACGAAGUUACGCGCUCUUUCGUAAUCCAUUGCGGCGUAAUCCUUUGAGUGUAUAACCUCCCCAUGAAAUGCUUCUGGCCCCUUGUUGAAAGGGAAUUCAGGAAUGUUUGGAACAUCACUAAACCGUCCGAUGCAGAGGAUCACAAAGUCCACAAGGUACACCUGCUUAUGCAUAAUCAGAUCAGUAUGACUUUAAAAUUGACAGUAUGAAAGCAUAACAUAAUUAAAUUCGAAAGGAUAUAUACAUAUAUCUAUGCAUGUAAAAAUGAGAAAGCACCUCCGUUGAACGGCUAUGUUUGUCUUCUACUGCAACUUUCCAUUUCCCUUUGGAGCUGAAAGGCUCUCCAGUUCCACCCCAGUGACUCCAAGCCUGCAUCUCAUCCUCAGAUGCACCUUCAUACUCGAUCCCACACACUUUGGUGUCGAAUUUGAUGUGCUUAAGCAAGUCAAAAUGUUGAGCAUAUGAUUGGAUGUAAUCCAAACUUGAUGCUGGCUAGGAAAGUCCUCUUCCACGGAAGAUGGCCAUGGAAAAUCUGAGAAUUGGUAAAGCGGUUUAGGAGUUUGGAGCUUGGUAGACUCAACAGUUUUAAUCCACACUCCUCCAAUGCUGCUCGUAGAUUCAAACACAAUAGGUUGAAAUCGCUUUGAAAGUGUGUACUUACAGGCAAGGAGGCCACUAAUCCCAGCUCCUACAAUGGCCACCUGCUUUCCCAUUUCUGAAAGUGUUGGAUAUCAGUCACUGUAUGCUUUUGAUUUUAUACCGUAUUCAUUAAUAAAUGGGAGGAUGUAAUUAAAAAUAAUUUCGUGCCGACGUGAAUUUUAGAUGUGUGCACUUUCAAAAUGACACGUGUCGUUUUUUAUAGGAUUAGUUAGUAUAUUAGGUACUCCUAGUGUGACCAAGUAUUGUCCAAAAAAUAAUGAACAUGCUAUGUAAUUUUUUUGGACUUUAAAAAAUAAGAAACACGUAGUAUUUUUUGAUUGGGUUAAGUUAAAAAGUGGGUACAUAGAGUACUUACUAGUUAGUAUCUAAGGUAUUAUUCUUGUUCUUUCUUAAUAUACACAAUAUUAUCGACAUUUACAGGUGUGUGAGUAAAUUAAGCCUCAUAAUGAGCUAGCCAUAAUAAUUUGGUUCACAUUCGUCUUUGGGAGAAUCGAACUUAACUAAGACCUUUUGUUUACAAAUAAAAAAAAAUUCAUUAUACACUAAUACUAAGUAGCUAUCCUCAUUCUUUUAACAAACUAACUUAAACACACUUAAGCCAAACAAAAUACAAUUAACUUAACAAGCAGUUUGUGAUUUAAUUCCAACACAAUAAGGUUUGGCGCCGAGCCCAAUCUGAGACAAGAGUUGGCGGCUAGGAUUUUCUACUUUAAGAGCGCGUUUACUAAUCCGUAAUCAAAUUGAGAGGAAUUGAAUUGACGAGGAAUUUGAUUGAGAAGGAAUUGAAAUGAGGUGGAAUCAGAAUCAGAUUCAUGUUGAAGUUGUUUACUAAAACUGUCUGGAAUCGAAGUAGGAAUAAUGUUGAGUCCAUAUAAGCUGUUUACUAAUUCACUUCAAUUGGAAUGAAAACUAAUUUGAUUACUAUAUUGCCCUUACAUAAAUAAAUUAUUUUCAUACUAAUUAAUUAAAUUAAAUUUAUAUAAUAAGAUAAAUAACAAAAACGUAAAAAACAAAAAAGAGAGGAAAUAAAAUCAUUAAAGCCAUCAUCAUCUUCCCCAUAUCUUCACGCUUGAAAUUAAUCUUUCUUCUUUCUCCUCCUCUUCCUCCAUUUUCUAUCUCUAAUUACAGAACCCUCAGUCCACAGUAUUCAGAACCCCUACCCCGCAUCUAGGGUAUUUAUCCAGAACCCCCAUCCAAUCUCAGGAGGAUGCCACAACCCAUCACAUCAAUAGAAAAAUAAAAAAAUAAAAUAGAAAAAACCGGUUUUCAUAGAGCGAAAGUGAUAAGGAGAUCGUUCCUUCCAUUCGGUUUCGGUAGAAUAUGAGAAGUUUUGGCCCGCUGCAAAUCACAAUUUUCCUCUCAAUUGAAUUUGUGAAAUGACGAUUUAGGUGUUCAUUGUUCCAAAUCACAAUCGUCGUUGAGGCAUCGUUCCAGAUCGCGACGGUGGGGUGUAUUUGCUGUGAGAGAAACACACAGGGAGGGGAGGGAGUGCAAAUGAAUAUUUUGGGUAGAAAAUUUUGAUUCCUGAUAUAACCUUCUACCCAACUACCCCUAUAGAGGCAAUCCAAUUCCAAGAUAUUAAGGAAUUGAACUCCUGAUAUUGGGUAGGCCUUACAUAAUUUCUAAUUCCUUACUUGCUGGUAAACGCCAGAAUACUUUGCGAGGAGUGCAAUUCCGUUUCUCCACAUUCCAACUCCGAUUGGUAAACACGCCCUAAGGGUUUUUAUUCCCACGGGAGGGAGCUUUUUUCCAUCUUACAUAUAUUUAAUUAACCUUAAAUAAUGCUGCAAAAUGUUUUUGUUAAAAAUAAAUGAAUAAAUAAUUAGUGUUUUUUGUUUAGUGUACAUUCUAGUAGUAUUCUUCUUCACUUGUAAGCGAGAUGUUUUAGGUUCAAUUUUCGCAAAAUGAAAGCUUAAAUUACAUUAUUGUGUUUAGCCAAGUGUGUGGCUUAAUGCACUCUCCCAUCCUCUUAGUGUAAAUGAUAUAUUUUGUUAAAAAAGUAGUUGAAUGAGUACUUGCAACCAAAAUUUAAAUAUGUUAGCUUGGAUUAUUCCUAGGAACUUGGUUCUCUCGUACAAUUAAAUAUGUAUAUGAAGCCUGUAAAUUUUUAUAUCCACAAAUGAUUCAUAUAAGUAUAAGUGGCGUAUCAUCAAUCUAAGUGUUUUAAGCGUUUACCCAAUGGACAGUUCCUUUUGGACGACGUACGUCAAAUAAGGUGGCAGAUAGAUUGGCGAGGCUGGGUCUCACUCUUGAUACUCCACUUACUUGGUUGAAGAAUCCCCUGUGGCACAUAGAUUGGUGAGGCUGGGUUUCACUCUUGAUACUCCACUUAAUUGGUUGAAGAAUCUCCUGAUGUGAUUUCUAAUCUUCUCAUCAAGGAUAGUAACGUUUUGUAAUCUAUUAUGGUGUAGACUCUUUUUUCCUUAGACCAGGUUGAAAUUCCCGACAAUAUUUUUUUUUUCGAGGCCCAUUGUAUGCACCCUAUUCCCAAUUAUUGUACGUAUUCUAUUACUUAUCACUGAAUAUCGUACUGUUUUCAAAAAAAAAAAAUGAUAAGUACUUGCAACCAUAAGUUGUUUUCAAUGAUUCAUAUAAUUUUCGUUCUCUCCUAUAUAAAAUGUAUUUGAGAUUCUGAAGCCUGCAAAAUUGUUAAAGUGUAUACCCAAAAGUAAUUACUUCCUCCCAUUUAUAUCAAACACAAAGUACUCUAUAUCAAACAAUUAAUUAUCAAAAAUGGGAAAGCUGGUGGCCAUUGUAGGAGCUGGGAUCAGUGGCCUCCUUUCCUGCAAGUACACACUUCAUAGGGAUUUCAGCUCAUUGUGCUUGAAUCUUCAGGCAAGUACAUUGGUGUAGAAUUAUGACUCCUUAAAUUAAUCAUGUACGAUCUCUACAACAUUAUAGGAUUUGAGAAAACUCAUAUGAAGUAGGAAUCCUAAAUUAAGUACAAUUGAUAUUGCAUUCCAUUAAUCACGGAGAUGAUUCCGGAUUAUUUUCUAUUCUUCCAACUCCCCACCACAAACUGAAUGAUCCUUAGUGUACAAGUUUCGAACAAAAUACACCAUGACGUGGCUGAUGAAGAGCUUUUGUAAGAAGGUUGGCAGGCUGAUUGACAGAAGACAUGUAGCAAACGCGAAGACUACCGAGAGCCACAUUUUCACCAACAAAAUGAUAAUCAAGUUCAAAUUGGCAAAUAUGAGCAUGAUGAACUGGAGUAGCAGCAAGAUAGGUGGAACUAAGGUUGUCACACUAAAGUAAAACUAGAAAAUAUAGCUGAACCCCAAGUUCACAAAAAGCAAAAACAAAGUCUUGUAGUCUCGGCACAAGAAUGACCAAGAGACCGGUAUUUAGAUUCACCACUAGAUGGGGUCACUGUCGGUUGAUAUAAAGCACCAAGAGAUAAUAUUUGUGCUAAGAUAAAUGAGGUAACUAGUGGUGGAGCGAUGAGUAUCUUGACAACCCGCCCAAUCAGCAUCAAAAUAAGUAAAUAAUUUUGCAGAAGCAAGCUGGGGAGUCAAAGUGAUGUCAAAAUCCAUAGUACCUUUGAUGUAACGGAGAAUCUAUUUGGCAGCAAUCAUGUGAAUAGUACGAGGUGAACUCAUAAAUUGAGCAACAUUAUUAAUAGCAAAAGAUAUGUCAGGGCGAGUUAAAGUAAGGUAUUGUAAGGAGCCAACUAACUCACGAUAGGAUGUAGGAGAAGCAAGGAGAGACCAAGAUUCUAAACGACGCUAGGCGCUAAUCAGGCGGCGGGCUGGAGUCUAGCGCCUAGGCGGAUUAGGAAGAUUUAAGUGAAUUUAUUAUAUAUUGUAUAAACAAGUGCCUAUUUAUACAUAAUAAAGACAUAAUUGUAUAUAUAAAUUGCAAAAUAAAAUGACAUAUAGAUUAUAAAGUAUCAGAAAUAUUGAAACUAUGGGGAACAAGCAUAUAAUGAGUGUUAAUCCAAGUGUUCAACAAGUCCCUAACAUUUUAUUGAAAAAAUAAAAUGCAAAAUGAAAAUUACAUAUUUUUUUAUCUAAGUGAGAGUAGCUACCUAGACGGGUGCCUAGAUGGGUUUAGGUGGGUUAGGAGGGCGCCUAGGCAGGCUAGGCGGAUACCUAAGCAAGUCUAGGCAUACCUUCUUAAUUGUCAAAUGCCUAGAGACUAAUCGGGAAGGUGACCAGCCGCCUAGCACCACUAGGUGAGGCCUAGGCGGUGCUGGGUGGGAAUUUUUAGAGUAGUGAGAGAGACCCAUUAGACGUUGUGAGAGAUACCUUAGUGAUAAGAGGCUUGGAAGCGGGUUUCAAGGAAACCAUGUCAAAUAUUUGAGAAGGAUCAUGAUCAUACUUUAGUUGAUAGAUGUGAGGACUAGUGGAAUCACUAAUGACCUGAAGGCCAAAAAUAUAAGUAAGAGGACCCAAAUCUUUGAUGUCAAACUACUAUCCAAGAAGAGCGGUGAACUGAGUGAGAAGCUUCGGAGACUUAUUGUAAUCACAAUAUCUUCGACAUACAAUAAUAAAUAAAUGGUGUAGCUAGGAAGCACAUUGAUAAAUAAAAAGGAAAGAAUCAACUCACUGUAACAUCAAUGCAUGCGGAGACAUGUAAUUCACGAGACCAAAUAUAAUCACUAACAUGAAGAUGAUGACAUGUUACUAAGAUUAGAGUUCUUCUGCAACUCUCCUAUUCUGUAUGCGAAGCCUCAAGAAUGGGGUUUGAGUUUUUGUAAGCUUGGGUGUUUAGAGAGAGUACAGGGACCCUAAUAUAUAUACCAUACACAGUGGUAAUCAACUAGGACUCUUCCACUACUAAAUUAAACAAUUUGCAUGACUAGGGACAUUUUGUCGCGCAAAGAAUUAAACUAUGGCGACCAGAAAAUCGUCGCGCAAAGCUCGUGAAAAAAGACAUUGCAUGACGAACAUCUUCAAAUUUGUUGCGCAUCUUAACAAUUGCGCGACACUUUACCAAUCGUCGCGCGAAAGUUAUAUGAACAAAGGUUAUCGUCGUACGAUAUAAACGAGUACAAGUGCGUUUGUGGGUAAUUUGUCUCAAAACGUUUUGUGUGAUGAAAUCUAUAGUGGGCGCGUGGUAAUGCGCAACGAAGAAUAAGACGCGCUUAAUUUUCCGCGACGACAUUUCGUUGUUGCGCACAUGUAAAAAAUAGAAUAAAAGGAAAAAAAACUGAUUUCAUAGUAAUGAGAAAGAAAAAAAAAAGCAAAUUAAUGAAUAAUUUUUUAUUUAUUUAUAAUAUAAAUAAAAAUGUACGUACAAAUAUCAAGUUUUUUAAAAAAAGGGAACAAAACUACGAAAAUAAAGAGGCAAAAUCUAUAGGCAUGUCAUUCAGAGAUGCUUGGUAAUCUUGAUGUUGGUUGGGGAUGGGGUCGGAGGUCGACGGGCCUGAUUGCUGUGCUUGCUCGGUGUGGAAGGGCUGUGGGGGCGAUGGUGUAGAAAAAUCGGGGAGAUGUAUUCCAGAGGAAUUGAAGGCUUGUACAAACAUUGACAUUUGAGACUUGUACGAUGCCAGCUUACUCCUUAGUCCAGCGACUUCCUGCAUCAAAUUCGUAACCUUGGUCUUUGACUGCGAGGAUGACGAGGCUCCAGUCUCCUGACGCCUGGCAUUUCCCAUCCCCCGAAAAUAUGUCCCUGGCCUCUGACCGAAAGUCUGGUCCAACGUCUCUAUGAUGAUAUGAAACCCUGCAUCCUAAGGGGGAUCCACAGACUCGAUCGGCGUGUCCGAGGGAAGGUGGGAAGCGGAUUCCUGAAGCACCACCUGUCGCUUCUCCACCAUAGUUGCCUAUGAAAAAAAAACAUGGAUUAUUAAUAGAAAACAAUUUAAAAGAAUUAGUAUAAAUGUUAAAUGCAUAAGAAAUUACUUACAUGAAGGGACUGGGUUAACUCUGUUACACCCACCCCUAAUUUAAAUUGUAUUUUCACUAAGUUUGAGAUUAUCUUGCUUUUAAAAUGGUUUUUGAGUCUUAAAUGGUGUGUCCAAAGGGCCCACCCCCUGUUUUGUCCCCCGGUUCCCUUUCCAUUUUCUUUUAUUUUUCUGAAAGUCUUCCUCUUUUCUCUCCUCUCCCUUACUCUCUGUUUCUUUUUCUCAUUCACCGUGCCACACCCAUAACCCAAAUCCUAAAAUCAUCAUCAAAUCACAAUUCCAACAUCACCAUCGUCUUUAUCUCAUUGCUACGAACUCAACCAUAGUCUUGGCAUCUUGGAAGUCGAACCAUAAAGCCCCGUACACGAGCUCUGACAUAGACCGCCCCUUUCGAGGCAAAUUUCGGCCAAACCACAAAGAGUUGGCCAGCGUGGAAGUUAUCAAUCCCUUCGUCUCGCUGAGAACUACAACUUUCCAUUUGUUUCACCCAAUUUCGUUGAGUAUUGAAGAAGUUAUACUCAUUUGAAUCUUACCCAGUUUCCGGCGACCUCCGAGGCUUUCGAGGCAUUUUUCGGUCAAACCACGGCGAGUUAGAUGUUGUGUGAGGUACCAUUCUAUUGUUCUAUUCAAGGGCUAAAAUUUCUGCAGUUGAAUCACUUGAUUUCGUUAAGUAUUGACAAAGUUAUGAGGGUUUAAAGUUCAUUCCGAUUUCCGGCCGAACUCCGGCCUUCUUCUUCCUUGGGUCCGGCGACCCAUCAAGCACAGGCCUUUUAGGCCACCUCAGAGACCAUUGGGCCUUACGCCCGUUUCAGACCCAAGCCCAAGUCCUUUUCUUUUAUUUAUUAAUUGUUUUGGUUUAAUUAAUUGUUAAAGGCCUUUGGGCCUUAUCUGGAAACCCAAAACCAUUUCCAAAUUAGGCCUUUGGGCCCGUGUAGUUUAAACCCUAACCCAACCCACCUAUUUUUCCUAAACCCUAAACUCUAAUUCUAAAACCCAAAAACCCAAAUUCUAAACAUUUAUCCCUAUUUUUACCUUAAACCCAUUUCCCAUAAACCCUAAACCCUAAAGCCCUAAACCUAAACCCUAACCCUAAACCAGCCAACUAAGUUUGACCAAACCGAUUGACCUAUUGACUUUGACCCGUUGACUUUGACUUUGAUCGGUCAACGGUUAACGUUGACUUUUCAGGUUUUCGUCCAAGACCCUUCCAAGGCUAAUUUCGACGUCCUAGACCCGUUUUUGAGGUCUGUUUUCCCAAAUUCAAUCGUUUGAGUAGAGUUUGACUAAAUAUACCAUUUAUGUGCUUAGGGGCAAUUAUAGUGGUGUUUCUGUCUUCGCAGUUGUGUGGCUCUUCGACAACGAAGUACUGUGAGUGGACCCCUUCUAAAAAUGCAUGUUUUGAUAGUAGAAAUGCAUACAUGAAAAGCAUGAUUUAACAAUUAUAUUUUAUGAGACGCUUUGAGAUAAGAUGCUUAUUGAGGUAAUUUUGAAUUAUUACUAUUUUUCCUAUAACCCAUGUUCUUAUAGAAUAUCCGAUGGAUGACGAUAUGAUAUUUAGAAUAUGUUUCGAACACCUCUUUAUAGUAUAGAUGAUGGAUGACUUUAUACUAUGAAGUUGCUUUUCAAGAUAUAUAUGUUCAGUGGUUUUGUACUUAUCUAGUGGUCAUUUCCGCUACGGGACGUAUGGAUAGAUUCUGGUCCAUCUCGGACGACGGUUUGAUGUUGGCAUAGGGCCUGGAGUGUGUUUCCUCUUGUUAUUUAGCAUAAGGAUGGGGAGCCGGCAUGGGGCUUGAAGUGUAUUUUCUUUUGACUGUCUGCUCAAAGAUGGGGAGCCGGCAUAGGGCCUGGGGUUAUUGGACAAUUCACUAGUGAUUAUUAUAUAUACAAGUUAUGAUUUGAGACAUUGCACGGCAUGCUAGGUUUCGGAAAACCUAUGUUUAUCAUUAUAUAUGUGUUUUUAUAAAAUCUGGGGGUUAGUACGUUGAUAACUGUUUUAUUAUAUCUAUAUCAAAUUGGUCCACUCAUUUUUGUUUUGCGCCCCCUUCAGGACUUAGAAUCGAGGCAUACAAUCCCGGCAUCCAGGCACUUCCACAUCGGUAUCUUCGAGUCCUCUCGGUGUAGGAUCCAUCCUUCGUUUCAUUCUAAUUUUAUAUUAUUUCCUUUAGUGUUCUAGUUAAUUGUAUGCUCUGAACACGUUCCUUAAAUGCAUAUUCUUUAUUCUUUUAUAUUUACAAACCUUAUCUAUUCCUUGGUCCCAGCAUUUGCAUUCAAUAAAUGGCUUUCGUCACCCUUGGGUGUCGGCCAACACGUGCUUAUCCUGGUAUUUAGGGAAUAUCAGGAUCGGGGUAUAUCAGAUUGGUAUCAGAGUGUGGUUUGUUCAGAGCAUACUUAGGAUAUUUUCUUACUCUAGUAGUGUGUUGGUUUUGACAUCAUUUGGAUGUCACGACUUCCGGAUUUGGUGCCAUUUGGCGUAGUUGUGCAAAUCUUCUAAUUUUGAAUUGUCACUUUCUGGUUGAAAUACAAGAACUCGUGUCAGGAUUGUGCCUCAUCGGUGACGUGUUUGAUUUGUUGAACAACUUUCAACUUCAGAUCGAUACUCUGUGACGUGCAUUCCCUAGGAAUGACAGGCAAAGUCGGUGUUACUUGGAAACGGCGUGUUUUAGAAAUCUCAGUUUAAGGAAGUUUGGUCAAGACCAACUGUAGAACCGAAAUGGCGAUACCACUCUGCAACAUGCGUUCCCUAGGAAUUGCGGGCGGAGUCGGCUCUACAUCGAAAUCUUGGGAAACGGAAAAAUCGUGGUGGUACAAAUUGGUUAAGACUAACUGGAGACCUGAAGCGAUGAUAUCACUCUGCAACAUGUGUUCCCUAGGAAUGGCGGGCAGAGUCAUAUCUCUUGGAAAUUGCUUGAAACUUUCGAAAUGCGUGUUAGAAAAAGCGAGUAAGUGCUAGUUGUAACGACGGUUAGUAAGUGGUAGUUGGUGGGAGCAAAUCAAUGUUCUCAGACUCAUUACCACUGAAGAAAUUUGUGUGAAUCUUUAUAACAAUUCUCGAUGAUUGUUUUAUCGAUUACCUUCUUGCUUAUUCCAACGACGAAGUCAAGUUCAUUGACCUUUGACCGUCAGCUUAACACCAAAUUCUUCGAGUGUUGACUUCGUUUACAUUAAUUGUUUUUCUUGGGAAACUCCUCAGUAAUGGACGAUAUCCUCAUCAAUUUCCCAAAAUGGAGUUGCAAUUCUUGUUGUGGUAGUUGGACUUGGAUAAUGAAGAUCCAGUUUUGUUUGGAUAAUCAAACUCCUUGAAUUUCACCUGGAUUUGGUACUCGAUGAUAAACCCUAGCUUCUAGUUCUCGAACUUUUUAUAGAGGUGAACUUAGCCUCUUGCUUGUAGCUCAACUGACUAAUGUUCUUGUCCAUUAAUUGUUCAGCCCUGUAAUUUUCAGUGUAAUGGUUGGAGAUUCCACCAUAUUCAUCAUUGUACGAAGAUCGAGCUUUACUCUGAACUUCUCUGGACUCAUUGAGCUUUGAUUUGCUCAGAGGCAUCACUUUAAGAUAGCCAAUCGUGUCACUGCAUGCAUACGCAGGCUGCUUCGUAUCUUUCUUCUUCAUCAUUUUGUUGAUUAAGAGGUUUUAUGUUUAAUUUUUGAACUUUGAAACAGUUCUCACAAAGUAUUGGGAAUUACGAAAUGUCUUUGGCCUUGUCAAAUCUUAUAAGCAGUUCUUAACUAUUCUUGAGCUUAGACCUAUUUCCUUUUGGCUAAGAAAUCAGUUGACCUUACUAUGAUGAUUUACCAAAUAAUCAGAAACAGUGACUUCUAUUUCUACAUCUUUACCUUCCUUCGCUUGUUUGUUUCUCAAUGUGAAAUGGAUCAUGCUGAAACAUUAUACGGAGGGUGUAAAAAAAAAAAACGUUUGUUCUCGGCAUGGUUCCUGGUUCAAAUCUCAAUAUCUUGUACUCUAGAUUUUAAUGGACUUGUUUUAACCCUUAAAUUCUUGAGUGUUCUUUCAGCCUUCUCGACAUGACUUUUCACUCAAUCAGUGAGAAAUUCACGAUCAAUCUUUUUGGCGAAAGUGUGCACCCAGUUCAUGUCGAUUCGUACAGGAACGUUAGGAGCAUAAUCUUUUGACAAGCUUACCAGACUUACCAGAAAGAGUUCCUCGUGGGUGUGAAGUUUGAGUUGUCUUUUGGUAAGAUACUGGUGAAGAUUAUGGUGCAGAUGAUUAGCAGAUUGCAUCACUAUCUUCACGCUGAAUUGAAUGGUCACCACUCAUUAUCUUGCUACAAUUCAUAACCAUCAUAUCUUACUCUGGUAGACCUUUUCGAUGAUGUGAUGUGUUUGCCUCAAUGCAGCUUUACACUACCUCUCACCAGGAUCUUUCGAUUCAAGAGCACGUGGGCGUGAGGUUUGAGCGGUCUUUUAGUAAGAGUUGGUUGAAGGUUUUAGUACAGAAGGUCAGCAUAUUGUAUCACCAUCUUACUAUAAUUCAUGGGCAUCACAUCGGUUAUUUUCCAACGUUAUUUGUUCGUCUCAACGCAUCUUUUCACUGCUUCACUCCAAGACUCUUUUGUUUGUGAAUACGUGGUUGCCAAAACACUUCUAGCAGAUUUGUUUGGUGCAUUCUAGGAUGGCACUACAGCACGAUCGAGGCGAGAAUUGGAUAAUCUUUACACUUCUCUCGAAAUGUGUGUGCUCUCUUUGGUUGUUAGGAUGAUCAUUUGCAAGUUCUUCUUUCCACCAACUUUGACCUUGGUUGACUACAAAUAUGCAACUAAGCAAAAAUAGAGAGGUGUAUUGAGCACUACAACAGUUCUUAAAAGAUACUGCGUGUUGAGGAAGAUGACUUCUCGUUUUCUGCUUGCUUGGUUCGAGCUUUUGGGUCUACUACUAACAUGAUAGCCACUUCUUUUGAAUCUCAAGGUACAGUUUUCAAAUGGGUUCUUUACUGGUGAAACUUUGGAGUAAUUGGUCACAUUUGGAAGAACUAAGGAGGAUAUGAUGCUUGGUGAUGGAUAAAGUUUUACGACAACAGUUCUUAUUUUGUUCGGUUUGAGUAUGGCACUUGUUACGGCAUGGUACGAGAGUUGCUACAUGCAACAUUGGUUGAUAGAGGAGUAGUGCGAACUUGUAUUUGGAGGAUUGAAUUUUCGACGUGUGAAAUUGUGCACCCUCAAGAAAUUACUGCUUGCUUACCAAGACAACAAAUGUGCGAUAGAUAUCGCGGGCGGUCGACUGUGGUAUUGAAAACUUAUUUGUUGGGUUCGUUGAGCAAGUGAGCAGAAAGAUCUAUCUACAGCAGCUGAUACAGUUUUGGAUUUGUUAUUCUUGGGACUCGAUCCAAAGACACAUCUAUUCUUGGAAUACGUGAGGUUACGAAUUCUUGGGCGACACCUUUUCUCAUUUUUCAAUCUUGGUUUUCAGUAUAAGUAUUUUAACUUCCUUUACUUUAGUUUUUUUUUUUUUCAUUACAAAUGUUUUGGGGAAGUAUUUUUGUUUUCAGUUUUUAAGUUCAACUCGAGUUUUCGACCUAUAUGUUAGUACAUAUCUAUUUUUGACGUUAUAGUAUCUUGCUACUUAUUUUUGACCUUACUUCAAUAUAUGUUUUCGACUUUAUAUCUUAUUAAAGUAUGUUUUCUACUUUUACACUGAUGGGGAAGAAAGUAAGAGCUUUGAGGCAUAAUAGAGGAUUUUGCAACCUGCUCGCGACGGUGUGGCAUAUUCUCUUUGAUGCACCCACUCUGACUUGAUUUCUCUUUAUACAUAUAUUCUCCUUACUAUUUUCGAGUAUUUCAGUUUAGUAAGUGAUUUUAAAUUUCGAGGACGAAAUUCUUUUAAGGGGGAUAGAUGGUUACACCCACCCCUAAUUUAAAUUGUAUUUUCACUAAGUUUGAGAUUAUCUUGCUUUUAAAAUGGUUUUUGAGUCUUAAAUGGUGUGCCCAAGGGGCCCACCCCCUAUUUUGCCCCCCGGUUCCCUUUCCAUUUUCUUUUAUUUUUCUGAAAGUCUUCCUCUUUUCUCUCAUCCCCCUCACUCUCUCUUUCUUCUUCUCCUUCACCGUGCCACACCCAUAACCCAAAUCCUAAAAUCAUCAUCAAAUCACAAUUCCAACAUCACCAUCAUCUUUAUCUCAUUGCUACGAACUCAACCAUAGUCUUGGCAUCUUGGAAGUUGAACCAUAAAGCCCCGUACACGAGCUCCAACGUAAACCGCCCCUUUCGAGGAAAAUUCCGGCCAAACCACAAAGAGUUGGCUGGCGUGCAAGGUAUCAAUCUCUUCGUAUCGCUGAGAACUACAACUUUCCAUUUUGUUUCACCCAAUUUCGUUGAGUAUUAAAUAAGUUAUACUCAUUUGAAUCUUACCCAGUUUCCGACGACCUCUGAGGCUUUUAAGGAAUUUUCCGGUCAAACUAUGGUCAUUUAGACGUUGUGUGAGGUAACAUUCUCUUCGUAUCUUCGAGGGCUACAAUUUCUGUUUUUGAAUCACUUGAUUUCGUUAAGUAUUGACAAAAUUAUGAAGGUUUAAAUUUCGUUCAGAUUUCCGGCCUUCUUCUUCCUUAGGUCCGGCGACCCAUCAAGCACAGGCCUUUUAGGCCACCUCAGAGACCAUCGGGCCUUAGGCCCAUUUCAGACCAAGCCCAAGUCCUUUUCUUUUAUUUAUUAAUUGUUUUGGUUUAAAUUAUUAAGGGUCUUUGGACCUUAUCUGUAAACCUAAAACCAUUUCCAAAUUAGGCCUUCGGGCCGUGAGGAGAUUGGGCCUUUGGGCCCGUGUAGUUUAAACCCUAACCCAGCCCACCUAUUUUUCCUAAACCCUAAACUCUAAUUCUAAAACCCAAAAACCCAAAUUCUAAACCCUUCUCCCUAUUUUUCCCUUAAACCCAUUUCCCAUAAACCCUAAACCCUAAACCUUAAAGCCCUAAACCUAAACCCUAACCCUAAACCAGCCAACUAAGUUUGACCAAACCGAUUGACCUAUUGACUUUGACUUGUUGACUUUGACUUUGAUCGGUCAACGAUCAACGUUGACUUUUCAGGUUUUCGUCCAAGACCCUUCCUAGGCUAAUUUCGACGUCCUAGACCCGUUUUUGAAGUCUGUUUUCCCAAAUUCAAUCGUUUGUGUAGAGUUUGACUAAAUGUACCAUUUAUGUGCUUAGGGGCAAUUAUAGUGGCGUUUCUGUCUUCGCCAGUUGCAUGGCUCUUCGGCGGUGAAGUACUAUGAGUGGACCCCUUCUAAAAAUGCAUGUUUUGAUAGUAGAAAUGCAUACAUGAAAAGCAUGAUUUAACAAUUAUGUUUUAUGAGAUGCUUUGAGAUAAGAUGCUUACUGACGCUAUUUUGAAUUAUUACUAUUUUUCCUAUAAUCCAUGUUCUUAUAGAAUAUCCGAUGGAUGACGAUAUGAUAUUUAGAAUAUGUUUCGAAAACCUCUUUAUAGUAUAGAUGAUGGAUGACUUUAUACUAUGAAGUUUCUUUUCAAGAUAUAUAUGUUCAGUGGUUUUGUACUUAUCUAGUGGUCAUUUCCGCUACGGGACGUAGGGAUAGAUUCCGGUCCAUCCCGGGUGACGGUUUGAUGUUGGCAUAGGGCCUGGAGUGUGUUUCCUCUGGCUAUUUAGCACAGGGACGGGGAGCCGGCAUGUGGCCUGAAGUGUAUUUUCCUCUGACUGUCUGCUCAGAGACGGGGAGCCGGCAUAGGGCCUGGGGGUUAUCGGACAAUUCACUAGUAAUUAUUAUAUAUACAAGUUAUGAUUUGAGACAUUGCACGACAUGCUAGGUUUCGGAAAACAUAUGUUUAUCAUUAUAAAUGUGUUUUCAUAAAAUAUGGGGGUUAAUACGUUGAUAACUAUUUUAUUAUAUCUAUAUCAAAUUGGUCCACUCAUGUUUGUUUUGCGCCCCCUUCAGGACUGAGAAUUGAGGCAUACAAUCCCAGCAUCUAAGCACUUCCGCAUCAGUAUCUUCGAGUCCUCUCGGUGUAGGAUCCAUCCUUUGUUUCAUUCUAAUUUUAUAUUAUUUCCUUUAGUGUUCUAGUUAGGUGUAUGCUCUGAACACGUUCCUUAAAUGCAUAUUCUUUAUUCUUUUAUAUUUAUAAACCUUAUCUAUUCCUUGUUCCCAGCAUUUGCAUUCAAUAAAUGGCUUUCGUCACCCUUGGGUGUCGGCCAGCACGUGCUUAUCCUGGUAUUUGGGGAAUAUCAGGAUCGGGGCGUGUCAAACUCAUUCCCAGGCCGAACAUAAAUGUCACCAAAGAUGUCGAUCUCUGAAAAUUUUGAACCCUCCUAAAAUCGAAAAAGAUAAGAAAAAUGUUAAUAUGAAAAAAAAAAUUUAUUAGCGUCAUUUUAAAAUUGGAAAUGAAAGUUGUAAUAUAUACCUUCCGUCGCGCCACCAUCCUAUAGGAGAAAGACCUCGAACCCAAAUGGUGGAGAAUAGUCUUCUUCUCUCGAUUGAUCUUGUUCGCCUUCGCAUUCUUCUGUUAUACAAAAAAUAAACGUAUUAGUUGUAAUCGUUAAAGAAAAUAAAAAAAUUAAUAAUAAACAUUAUUAAAAAAUAAAAAAAGUAAAAUGAAAGAAGUCGUCAUUAAAAACGCACCACAUAUGUCGGGUCCAUAAAAUGAUCGCAAAGCCAAACCCAACUAUCUUGUCGGUCCUCCAACUCCUUCGGACAUCCCUCCUCAAGAGCGACCUGUGGAUCAUCAAACUCCUCGAACCAUUGGUGCAAGUUACUCUUCCACUGCUUGUAGUGUUCGAAGAAGAGCCGAUUGACAUACGCGAACUUGUCCUCGUCCAUGUGCUCCAAAUUGUAGUUUGUCUGCAAUAUAACAAAUAUUUUGAAAGCAUUAGUAAUAAAAGACACUAAUACAUAUAAAUAUAUAAAUUUUACAUGAAAAGCAUUAAAAAGCCGAUGCUACUUACAGACAAUUGAUUGCGCAUCGUAAUCUUCGUCUCCUCUGGCAUCGUCUUCCAAGACUUCCACAGCAUAGGGCAAAAGUUCCGCACGACAUGCCCAAUGUCGUGGGCCAAUGCACUAUGCUGCUCUGCCGUUGGUGCUGCCCGAUGUCGCUCAUCGUAUUCGAUUGGGAUACGAUCGUUGGUCACCCAGGUGACCUUCCCCGUCUUCAAUUGCCGACAAGGUCCCCGAGUGUUUUUCUUCACUGCAAAGGGAUGAAAAAAAAAUCAUUAACCCAUAACUAAUAACAAAUCCUAGUAAAAUUUUGGCAUGACCUCCCCUAUAAUAAAAACAUUUCCCAAAACCCUUAAAAUAACAUAAACAAUAUACAUAUCCAACACAAUGAUCACAACAAUUUAAUAAAAGGUUCGGAAUGAUAACUUUUUAAUCCUUACAUAACAUAAUAAAUUGAACCUAAAAUAAAAAAACUUAGUAAACAAGGGAAUGAGGGAGUGAAUUAGGAUUGUAUACAUGGCCGUGUACCAGAGGCAUCGGUUGUGGAUCCCGAUGGCGACAUCUGGUCCACAGUGUGGGGGCGUCGGUGAGUUCGUCUAGCGCUAAUAGGUAACGCCACCAAUGAAGUCAACGAUGCCUGCGUUUGUGGGAUUGGAGGACCAUAUGAGUGGACCGGAUUGAUCGGCCUAUGGACCAUCUUUGUCGGAGCAUUGGCGGUAGUAGUAGGUAUAGUCGUCAGACUAGGUGUAGCGGUCAGACUAGGUGUAUAAGUCAUCGACCUCCGGGUUCUGAUGAGGUGAGACAUCUACAAAAUAGGCAAUCAAUUUGUUUAGUACACAAAGGUUUUGAUUUUGUUUUCACAUGCUUACAACUUCAAUGGCUACAAAAGGAUUGCUAAUUGUUGAUUUGAUUUCAAAUUAACUUGUUAACUGAAAUAAACAUAUGGGAAUUCCAGUCCAUUGGCUGGUCAAAAGCAUUUUCUGAAUGCAUAUGGGUAGAUUCAAUGAUUUUGGAGAUGUAGAAAUAUGAAAAUAAUUGAAACAUUCCUAUCAUAACAAAGUUCAUGUGCUCUACGAUUUGCAGCAAAAGAAGUUUGCUAAUACCUCUCAUGAAAAUCUAAUAUAUAUAUAUAUAUAUAUAUAUAUAUAUAUAUAUAUAUAUAUAUAUAUAUAUAUAAUCUAAACUAUAAUGGAGGAAUUCAAAUUACUGCGCAAAAAAAGAAAGAUUAAUAUCAAAACGUAAAUGUAACUUCAAAAUUGGGAGGCCGAAUUCAGCAAGCAACACAAUCGAGUCUAUCAUAUUAAUAAGGCAACAACAAAGGGUAAUACCCCAUUAUAUAUCAACAAAUCGUGGCAGUCAACAAUGCAAAUCCUUAACCCUGUACUUAAAUUAGAAAACCCCUAAUUCGAACCCUGUACUUGAAAUUAAAAAAAAAAAACCCCUAAUUUAAGAACCCUAAUCUAACCCCCAGUGAAGCACCCUAAAUCUAACCCCCAAUUUAAGAAAACCUAAUCUAACCUCACUGCCCAAAAUCGUUCCCCUAAGUUAAGACCUAAAUCUAACCCCAAUUAAGAACCCUAAAAACUCUAAUUUAAGAACCUAAAUGUAACCUCUAAUUUACGAACCCUAAAUCUAACCCCAUGGCCCCCAAUUUGAAAAAAUAAAAACCCUAAUUCUAACCCCCAGUCAAUAAACAAAAUUGAAACUAAAAACUGAAAGGGAAAUUACCUAUUGGAGAAAAAGAGGCGAUGGACUGAGAGAGGGAUGAAGAGACGAGGUGAGUGAAGGAGAGAUGGACGAAGAUAGAAAGGAAGGAAAGAGAUGGUAUCGCGCAGGGAAAAAAGGAAGAAGAGGGAAGUAAGGGAGGAACGAGACGCACGGGGGUUAAUAAUAUAGAAUAUUAUGCGAUGGAGUGUUCGUCUUGCAAGGCUAAACAAUCAUCGCGCAAGUUUUUUAAAAUUUCCCCCAAAAAAGCGCUUUAAUUGAAUUUUCAGACACGUGGGCGACGAAUACAUAUACUUCGUCGCACAAAGUAUAUUUGCACGACCAAAAAAAUUUUAUGCGUCGUGCAAUUGUGUUUUAAAUUUUUUUUAUUUAUUUAUUUUGUUUACAAUUUAUUAUAAAAUACAAACAAAACAACUUUAUUUACAAAGUAAUUCACAUAUAAAAUGGGAAUCAUUCAUACCAUUUUUUCCAUCACUCUAUAUAAUGCAUUAAACAUUUCAUGUGUUUUACAAAAAAAUUACAAAUAAAUUGCCUUAAUCUUAAUCCGAACUAUAAUAACUUUCACUUUCGUCGUUAUCAUCAUUUUCAGUGUCUCAUUCCUUAUCAUCGAUAGGUACGUCACCAUCGUUGUUCGUGCGUACUGGACCAUCGUAUCGUGGAAUAUUACCGAGGUCAAUCGUGAUGGACUGAAUCGGUAUUUCGAUUGAAGAUACUCCAUCUAUCUGAAAUGGUUCUUGGAUAAGAUUAGUAUCUCGAAGUGUUUCCGCACCACUUUCCAUGAAAGAUUCAAGACGUUGGUCAGCAACAUUGUUAAUGUCGUCGUCAGUACGAUCUUUUUCUGGUAUAGCAUACACGUUCCUAUGAUCCAUCUUCUGAACAACUUUCCAACCCUUCCCGGAUUUAAGGCCAUCAAGAUACACAAUUUGUUUUGCCAUGGUUGCUAAUAUGUAAGGGUCAUCAUCGUACCAAGUUUUGGUAGUGUUCACUGAUAGUAAUCCAUGAUCUGUUUUCACACUUCCAUGCCUAUUUGGGUGUAUCAAACCAUCCACACUUAAAUAGGAUCACUUGGCACCGGUCUUUAUAAAGAAAUUGCACGACACUUGUUAGUUUACCAUAGAAUUCAAUGUCUGUACUUUCACCUCCUCCGGGGACAUGAACACUACUGUUUUGUGUACACAACUUGUCAUCUCGUGCACCGCUAAGAACUUGACUCCGUUGACAUGGCAGCCCGAGUACAAUUCAACGCGAAUUGGUCCGAACGCUAAGUUAUAUAACUCUUCACUGUACACAGGGGAAUUCGAUGCUUUCAAUUGGUUUACCUAAUAUUAGACAAACAUUUAAAUUUGUUAGUUUAAGCAACUUAAUUGGUACAAUAUAUAUGUCCAAUACAAAACACUUCAAACUUACAUAUUCGAGAAACAACUGCGGAAACAAUUCACGGUGUUUCUUGGCAUACAAAUGUGAAGGAUGUGUCUGCUUCAUCAUAUUUUCAUGCUCGUCUAAGUGUGAUAGUGUCUCGUCACAAUUUUUGAGUACGAACCAAUGUGCUACAUCCAUGUCCUUCUUGGAAAACGACUCUCCACAAAUCGGAUCUCCGAAUGGUCGAGAGACCUGGGCAAAAACUGAAAGUUUCUCCUUUCUCACACCCCUGUCAUUAUUGCGAGAAGGACGAUUGAAAGUUGUCUCAACGUCUUUUACAUACAUUCCACAAAAUGUCAGUGCCUCGUAUGACACCCAAGCUUGUAUAAUGGAUCCUUCGGGCUUCGCUUUGUUUCGUACACUUUUCUUCAAGUCUCUGAGAAGCCUGCCAAAAGAAAAUGAUACGAUACACAUAUUACUAAUCGUAAUUUAUUUAAUAUCGAUUAAUAAAAAGAUGAGGAAUAUAUACCUUUCUAUUAUAUACAUCCAUUGAAAGUUGACUGGUCCAGCAAGCAAUGCCUCCUCUAGUAAGUGAACCAUCACGUGUAUCAUACUUGUGAAGAAGGCUAGAGGAAAUAUCAUCUCAAACUUGCAUAGAAUUUGCACAAUGUCAUGGCGCAACUGAUUAAUGUCCAUUCUUCGUAAUGUUCUUGACGUCAAUUGCGAAAAAAAACUGGACAACAACAUGAUUGGUUUCACUACAUCAGGUGGCAAGAGAUGUCGAAUACCCACAGGAAGUAGGUGUUGCAGAACCACAUGGCAGUCAUAACUCUUUAAGCCAGCUAAUUUACCCCCGUCAACGUUCACGCAACGCGCGAUAUUUGAAGCAUACCCAUCGGGAAACUUUACAGACGAUAAAAACUUUAAAAAUUCUUUCUUGUCAUUCGGUUUCAUUGAAAAAAAUGCAAGAUCCCUUCUAGCUUUAUCAUUGUCCCUAUUCAUCCAUAAACCCCAUCGCAUUCCCAUUCGUUCCAAAUCAAGAUGAGCUUUGAUCGUGUCCUUUAUCUCGCAUUCAAUGUCUAGAAUUGUGCCGACCAAUGUGUCAAAUACAUUUUUCUCAACAUGCAUAACAUCGAGGUUGUGUCUGAAUUUUAGUUUAGACCAAUACGGGAGCUUAAAAAACAUAGACUUGUGCGUCCAGUUCAUGUGUGUAGCAUGUCUUGUCCUAGUGACAUUGGUCCCGAAAGGAGCAAAAUCCAAACGGUUAAGCUGUUUCAAAAUUUGAGCACCGGACCAUUCUCUGGGUCUGAGGCGAUGCUCUCUCUCCCCGUCAAACUCUUUAUCCUUCUCUCGCCACUCGUGGUCCCAAGGCAACCAUCUUCGAUGACCAAGGUAACAAACUUUUCCAGCGUGCCAACUAGAUGUUACGUCUUCCUUGCAUACAGGGCAUGCCAUAUAACCCCUAGUGCUCCACUCGGAAACCAUUACAUAUGUAAAGAAAUCGUUCACAGUCCACAUCACUGCAGCCCGCAAAGUGAACAUCUUGCCAGUACAUUUAUCGUAUGUGCGCACACCGUGUGUCCAUAAAUCUUUUAGCUCAUCCACCAACGGCCGUAAGUAUAUAUCGAUUAACCUACCAGGAUCCUCAGUUAUCAAUAAAGUCCUCAUCAUGUAUUCUUUUUUCAUACAUUUCCAUGGUGGCAAAUUAUACGGAAAUACGAAAAUCGGCCAAGUACUGUGGUGUUGGUUUAAAACCCCAAACGGAUUAAAUCCGUCAGUGGCAAGUCCCAAUCUAACGUUACGAGAAUCAGCAGCAAACUUGAGGAACGUUCGAUCGAACUCUUUCCAUGCCUCCCCAUCUGCAGGAUGUCGCAUCACAUCGUCAUCUACCCGUUUUUCUUUAUGCCAUCUCAUGUCUGUGGCAGUAUGCGACAACAUAUACAACCGCUGCAACCUAGGUUUCAGGGUCAGAUAACGCAUGACUUUUUGUGAGAUCUUAGUGGUUCUAUUAUGAGAUGUCAUUUUGAACAUCGACUCAUUGCAUAUAGGGCAUUUAUCCAAUGUUUUAUACUCUUCAUAGAAUAAAAUACAAUUGUUUUUGCAAGCAUGAAUUUUUUCAUAACCCAAUCCAAGACCUUUCAACACCUUUUGCGUGUCUCUAUGGUCUUUCGGCAAACAAUUGUCCUUCAGAAGCAUUCUCUUGAAAACCCCCAAAAAGUAAUCAAAACACUGGUUCAACAUACGAUGCUUUAUUUUUCCAUGCAUCGGUUCCACAAUGGCCGUGAAAACGGAAAAGCUUUCGCACCUCGAGUAUAGCUCUUGGUUGGUAUUUUUUAAUAGUUUUUCAUAUUGUUCGAACUCUGCACUGUCCAUUGGUGUAGGCACGUCAUCUUCCCCUUCGUGAUUGGUGUUUGUCGAUGCAAAUGGAAAAGCAUCAUUUAUAAUAUCCAUGACUUGUUCAUUAGGAUCGACAAUAGGUUCAACAUUAUCCAUUCUUGUGGCAUUUGAAGAUGAAGCAUUGUCUAAUUGUUCCCCAUGAUGGUUCCAAGUAUUAUAUGUCUCAAUCAUUCCAUUCCUUACUAAAUGAAAUUGAACAUUUUCUAUUAUCUCCCUUAACAUGUUGUUACACCUCCUACAAGGACAUCGGAUUCUAGUUGCACCCGGGUUGUGUGUACUUGCAAAGUCAAUAAAAUCCUCGAUUCCAUCCAAGUAUUCGUCCACGCAUCUAUUCGGGUUCUGUAUCCACGUCCUGUCCAUAAUUCCUGGAACCACAAUAACAAUAUAACAAUCACAACAACUUCAAACAAACUGAUAAUAUCACCUUAUGCCUUCGGUAGAGGCUCUAUCCCAUUCGGGAAUGCAUAGUUAUGUCACGUAAUUUACAGCUACAUCAGAUUAGAUUUCGACGUGGAUGAAUUUCGACAGGAUCUCGAUACAGUUCUUCAGGUGUACGACCCGAAGAACGUACAGAGAUGAUACCGAAACCUAAUCCUUCAACCAUAAACUACGCGUCAUAACUGUGCAUUCCCAAACUAUCCAAAUAAUGGGACAAUUCAAGAAUUAAUUGGACCGCAGUCAUAUUUUCGCAUCCAUGCGCGAAAUCCAACUAAUCCUUAAACGGGAAACUAAGUUUUACUAAAAAUAAAAAAUAAGUACGAAGUUAAUUUCAAUUAACUUCGUACAUCACAACACAUAUUUGUACGUCAAGUACAAAUUUAACAAUAUAAUUUCAUAGCACAAUAUAAACAUAACACUAAGUUCAACAUAAUUUAAUUAAUGGUGUAUGUUUAAAAAAUAAAACAAAGAAAUUACCUUCUCAAUCGUUAUCCACCAAUCACUAAUCACACACAAUAUCCCUAUAGAGAACGAAAUUAAUGGCGUUAGUAUGAAUUUACAUUAAUACUUUUACCGUAACGACAAAAAACACUUACCGGACACACCGAGAUAGCUCGAUCAACCUAGGGAAGAUGGAGGGAGUAGUUUAGAUGAUGAAAUUGGGAGAAAAUGAAAAUGACGGAUACCAGAUUCAGCUAAAUCGUAGGGAUGAGUGCAGAUGUGACAGCCCGUCCCUGAUUUUAAGAAUUUUAAAGUUUUAAUAAAGGAUUUUACAAAAAUGCCCUUUGAGGCACGCGCAUUAUUCGAGAUUAAUCGUUGUGUCGUGCCAUCUAAGAUUUAUUUUCUUGACAUAUCCUCGUAGUACUCGUCGCUACGGACGUGUGGGCGCUGACGGUUCGUUAUUUGGAGUUAUAACGAAAAAGAUUUCAAGUUUGAAGUUUGAGCAUUUUAUAAAUUUUAUUAUUAAAAUUUGGAUGGCCCAGAUUUAAUGAAGAAUUAAAUGGAUGGCUGGGAUGAGAGAAGAAGGUUUGUUUGUGUGUGCGCGUAAGAAGAAGAAGAAGAAUGAGGAUUGGGCAGUCAGGAAGACAGAAGAAAGGAAAAAAAAAAUGGGAUUGGGCAAAACUGCCCAAUCUGAAAGAAGAAGGAGGGGACGAAUCAAGAAAAGAGAGAUGGAGAGGAUGGCCAAUCGGAAUAGGGGAAAGGAGGAAAGGAGAGAGGGCGAGAAGUGGAGGAAGAACAACAGAAAUGGGUUUUCAACCCAUGACCCGCGCGGCGACCCGCUCCCGCAAUGCCAUUUUCCGACGGUUUUCAGUCCAAAUUUCUGGUCUUCUUCAACCUCCCAUCAACCCCAAACAUCUUCAAGACAUCCUAGAAUCCUAAUUGACCCAACAAUCAAUGAAUUUCGUGGUGAUUUCGCAAAGAACACCCACACGGGUGCCGCGACUUUCUUGUUCAAAAUUUGCCCAAUCCCGAAGCAAUUUCUUUCAAUUGCCACCACCCAUACACUUCUCUUGAGGCCUAGAACAAAGCCCAAGAAUUGGUUGGGACGACGGAGUUGAUUUGAAGACGUAUUGGAACUCACCCAAUUCUAGGGUCCGCACGGAUUUUGGUGAAAUUGAAGUGUUUCCAGGCAAAAUUGGCCUUGGCCUCAGGUAUAAAGUUUACUCUACUAAUUGAGAUCUUCAAUUUUGUAUUUUUUGAGAAUUUUUGGAAAUAGUUGGAUUUUCCGGCGAGCCGGGGCGGCCCGUGCGGCGGCACGUGGCCAAUGGCCCGCCAAUGUCAUUCUUAGCAUGUGUUUAAGGUUCUAGGUUCAGUUUUGAUAUUUGAUGGACGUAAAUUGAGUAAUUGAACCUAAGUUCGUUUCGAUUCGUGGUUAGGUGAAAAUGUGAAUUGACGAUCCGACCGUCGAAUCGUCACCAAACGUUGAUACGUUGUAAUACGUAAUAUUUGAGGAUUAUAGGAACUUACGGAUCGGGAAUCUGACUUACGGAUCUUUCGUAAUUGGAGUUGUAAGUUCAUAAAAUAGAAUGUUAACCAUCACUUGAUUUUGACAAUUGACGGAGAUCCGACCGUUGGAUGGUAAUGAAAUUUUAGGAUGUUGUCCUAGAGGUAUAUUGUGAACCUCUGGAAGUUAUGGAUUUGAAAUCUGAGUUGCAGAUCUUCCGGAUUGAACUACGUAGUGACGUGUUUUAUAUAAGUUAUAUAUUCUAUCGAUAUGAUUUCUGAGGUUGGAUUUGAUUAUUGUUCUAGGCGCCGAUCGUCAUGACACAUUGAUGUGUGGUGCUAGGGAGUUGUUGGGCGAACUCUAGGUGAGUGGGCAGUAUUUCUGUUUAUACCUAUAUACUAUUGAUAUUUUUCCCAGAAAUUGAGUUUAAAUGAAAGUACGUUUUAAAAUGCCAUGCAUGCAUAUUAUGAAUUAUAUGAUUUGGUAUAUGAUGCAUAUAUGUGAAAUGGUGUUGUGGACGCACAUGUGAGUAUCAGGUGAGGUUUAUGUUGUUCAUGUGAUUUAUUGAUGAUGUGAAUUGUGUUGAGAGCUCACAACCUGCACCCCCGGUGUUAGUGCUUAUGUUAUUCACCCUGCAUCACACGCUCACCUUGGAUCCAAGUAGAUGCUAGUCGUACAGACCACUAGAGGUUGUUCCGACAUGCCAGUCGUACAGACCAUUAGAGGGGUUCCGACUUGUAGGUGACUUUAGAUUAUGUGCACAGAUGAUUGAUGAGAGAAGCACUAGAGCGUAUUAUUUCACCAUCUUAGUCGUACAGACUACUAUAGGUUUCCGACUUAUGUGUAGUGUAGUGCCGUACAGGUCACAGUUGGUGACUCCGGCUGGAUGGGAUAUUGAGCUAUAGAAUCAGCCGUACAGGACCACUAUAGGGUCUCCGGUUGAUUUAUUAUUUCACCUGAUUUAUAUUGAUGCAUUCAUAUUAUAUUUUGGCAUAUGGCAUGGCAUGGCAUAUUCUUUCUGAAAAGCGUUGAAGGAUUGUGAUUUGAGCUUUUGAUGAUAUAUAUAUGUUUAUAUACUUUUUUUCUGGGAAAGUAUACAAGUUUUACGGCGAGGGGUUAGAAAUUUUUUAAAGGAGUAAUUAGGUUGUUAUCCUUAUUUUUACUACUCUAUUGAUUAAAACCUUAUUACUUUUCAAUUUUUGAUCAAAGUCCUUUGUAUUAAUAAUAUCAUUAAUUAUUUCAAUAAUAAAAUAUUUUUUAUUUCUAAAUAUAUUGAUUUAAUAUUAAAAAUGUUACAAUUAGUAUAUUUAUAUUUAUGGCUAAAUUUUUUAUCAUAUAUUUUUAUUUUUAGUUUGUACCCAUUUUUAAUUUGCAACCCUUUUUUAAUUUGUACCAAUUUUCCUUUCAAUUUUAAUUUGUACCCAUAUAUUAAUUUCUUUUUGUGCCCAUAUUUUUUACAGUUUUAUUUGUAUUGUACCCAUAUUUUUUUAUUUAUUUGUACCCAUUUUUAUUUUUGCUAAAUGUACCCAUUUUGAAGAAUGUACCCAUGUUUUGAUACAAUCAUUUUUUGGUUAUUUUUUUAUGAAUGUACCCAUGUUUACACACACACACAAUAGUAUAUUUAUAUUUUAAUAUUUUUAAUCCCACAAAUUAUGUUUUUUAUUUAAAAUCUCAUUACUAUAAACAACUAUAAAUUUUAAUUUUUAAUUUAAAAAAUAUAGUAACGUACAUAGAAAUAAAUUAUCAAUUAAUUUUAGGGACUUGGAUCAAAAAUUGAAAAUCAACAAAGUUUCAGUCAAAGAUUGUUCAUAACUAGGGACCGCAUCCAAAGUCUCCCUUUUUUAAAUGAAAUGUUUUCGAAAAACUUUGUUUUAUUGACCCACUCAAUUUUGUUUUGUGCCCCUCCAGGUUCUAGAUAGCAGAGCUUUGGUGGCCACGAGGAAUCCAAUGGUGUUCUGACAGAAUUCACAAAAGUAUGACUCACCCUCGGGUGUUUCAUCUUAAUAAUUGUAUUUUUAAAGCUUCUGAACUAUGUAAAUGGUUACGUCACUCUCACGUGACGGCCAGCAUACCCUCCUUCGGGGCGGGGUGUGUCAGUUGGUAUCAGAGCCUAGGUUGCAAUUUUGGACAUCUUGCGAAUUUCCUAGUGUCUUCUGUCAGAACUAUAUCGCCUCGUAGCGAGCCACGUAGUUCGGAUGAGCCUAAUUUCCCUGAUAUAGUAGUUUGGGGUGAAACUAUUGCCAUUGUGAUUCAGUCUAUUAUCUAAAGGAACCUUUUGAGACUGGUUAUAAGUUAAAUUUGAAUCACUUUAGGGAAAUGAAGAACCUAAGGGAGCAGAUCGAUGGCUUAAUCAUUUGGGAAAAGACGUUUCGGAUUAUGCAAAGUCAAGGGAAUCUUCCUCCCGACAGGUGGGUUGAGAUGACUACCUAGUUUCUAAGUGUUGAAUCUGUAUUCUGAUGGAGAUAGGAAUGUUAUCCGAUGUUAUCAGAAGAACAACCGUUUGGAAGUCGUUUAAAGAAUUGUUUAAGGAAAAGUUCAUUCCUCCGGCAUAUUAUUAUAGAGAGUUUACAGACUUGCCUUGUUUCCAUUCGGAUGUUGUUGCUAAUCCGGUCGAAGUGUUAUGUCAUUUUUGGCUGGAUAAUAAGAAGAAGUUGCGUUCUUUGGCGACCACUAUUCAUUGUACUUUUUACCAGGAGUUUACGAGAUGUUGUUGAGCAUUGAAGACUCUGAGAACAUGAUCAGCGAGAGUAAAGAGGAAUAAGAAAAGAAUGAGAAUCAGAAGAAAGACGAUGAAGUUAAAGAUCCGUCAUAUUAAAGACCUCGGAUGACUCAGAGCUUCAAAAGAAGUGAAACUAGAGCUAAUUUUCCCAGCUGAGGUUUUAGUGCCACUGGUCAGAGGCGAAAUGAUAGAUUUACUAGUGAUUCCAUAUCUCAGAGACAAGGUGACUCUGGUAGAGGAAAUGUAUCUUUGUACCGUAGGUACAAUAUUAGGCACCUUAGAGAGUGUGGGAAGUUGUGAAUGUGUUCAUGUGGUUAGAUGAGACAUAGAGGUAUGAAUUGUCCCUAGGAUCAGUUGUUACCCAUCAGUCUUCCUUGACAUAUUACUUGGAAAAUUGAUGAGUAAGUCGUACAGGUCACUAUAGGUGACUCCGACUUAUGUGCUAACAUGGAUGGUCGAGCUGUAGACUCAGCCGUACAGGUCAUUCUGGCUGACUCUGGCUGAUAUAAUUCUUAUUAUUGACGAUGUUGCUAAAGGAAGUAGUGAAUGAGCACGAUCGAGGCGUAUAUGUCUUUCCCUAUGAGGAGUAAAAUGAUAAUAUUGCACCCUUAAGAAUGGUUGCUUACUUAUCGAGACGACAAUGAGUUAUCGUUAUUGCGGGCUGCAGACCGUAAUACCCAUAACUUACUUGUUGGAUUCGUUAAGCAAGUAAACAGGUAGGUCAUUCUAUGUUGGUUAUGACUAUUCGGGGUGUCCAAUGAUGGUGGAAGAAGUAGUUAUGCCAGCGAAUCGUAUCCCGUUAGACAUUGUGGAUUUCGAUGUGAUUUUAAACACAGAUUGGUUAUAUUAUAAUCGUGCCAAUAUGGAUUGUUACGGGAAAUCAGUUACUUUCUAUUGUCUUGGAUUAUCAGAGGUUACUUUUGUGAUUGAGCAAAGUGGAGUGAGACAUGCCGUUAUUUCUGUUGUGAGAGCAAAGAGAUUGUUAUCAAAAGGUUGCCAAGGAUACCUAGCUUAUGUGGUGUUGCAGGAUUGUACUCCUAGUAUUUUGGAUGACGUACGAGUGGUAGACAUUUUCCUAAUGUGUUUCCGGAAUGAUUUACAUGGAUUGCCACCAGACAGAGAUGUGGUGUUCACUAUUGAAUUGUCUCCAAGUACAGACUUUAUGCUAUAGAUUGGUUCCUACAGAGUUAAAGGAAUUGAAAAUUCAGUCACAGGAAUUGGUUGAUAAAGGUUUCAGUCAACCUAGUACGUUACUUUGGAAAACCCCAGCUUUGUUUAUAAGGAAGAAAGACGGGACCUUAAGAAUAUGUAUGGAUAUUAGGUAAUUGAAUCGGGUAACGAGUAACAACCGUUAUCCAUUGCCGCGCAUUGAUGAUUGUUUGAUCAGCUUAGAGGUGCCUAUGUGAUUUCAAGGAAAGAGUUGAGGUCUGGUAUACUCUUAAGUGAAGGUAAAGCAUACGAGUCAUUUUGAGUUGGUAUUAAAAUGUUUGAGAGAACAUCGGUUGUAUGCUAAGUUUAGCAAAUGUCAAUUUUGGACAAAUCAAGUGGCAUUUUUGGGACAUGUGAUAUCUACACAAGGUAUUCAAGUAGAUCCUCAAUGAGUGACAACUGGGGAGAAUUUGGAACAACCUCAAACCGUCACUGAGGUACUGAGUUUCUUGGUCUAGUAGGUUACUAUAGACGUUUGUAAAGGAUUUUUCAGUCAUUGCUUUGCCAUUGACGGGAUCGACUAGAAAAGAGGUCAGGUUUGAGUGGAUGAAAAUUGUGAACAAAGUUUCAGCAAUUGAAGCAUUAUCUCACUCAUACACCUGUUUUAGCACUCCCAGAUGAUAAAGGUAAUUAUGAGGUCUACAGUGAUGCAUCUUUGAAUGGGAUAGAGUGAUUGCUACAUUUCACGACAAUUGAAACCUCAUGAGAUGAAUUACCCUACUCAUGAUUUAGAAUUAGUAACUAUCAUCUUUGCUUUGAAGAUUUGGAGACAUUGUCUUUAUGGGAAGAAAAGUGCAAGAUUUUUAUGAAUCAAAAGAGUAUCCAAUAUCUGUUUAUUCAGAGGUUUCUUAAUCUUAGGCAACGAAGGUGGAUUGUGUUGCUUAGUGAUUAUGAUUGCACGACCAGGGUGAUCGUGCAAAUGUUGUGGCCAAUGCUUUUAGUAGGAAGACCCUAGUGAAAAUUAAUGCUUGGUACGAUUGUCAUGUUCAUCUUCUUGUGGAUUUGAGAUCUACUAGAGUAAAGUUGGGAAUGGAAGAUCAAAAAGAAAACUUACUUGCUAAUUUUCAAGUUAGGCCUAUUUGGUAGGUCGUACUCGAGAUUCAAGCGUUUGAUGAAGAAAUUCAAGAAUUUAUUUAAAGCAAGGAAUAACGGGAAAAAGAAAGACCUCAGAGUUAGAGAAUUAGAUGGCAAGCUUAUGCAAGAGAACAAAGUGUUUAUACCUAAUGUUAUGGAAUUAAAGGAAGCAAUUUUGGAGUUUGCGUAUUGUUCAACUUAUACAAUGCAUCCUGGAGGUACUAAGAUGUAUUAUACCAUUCGAUCAUUUUACUAUUGGUCAGGUAUGAAAAGAGAAAUGUUUGUAUAUAUAAAUAGAUGUAAACAUCUGUCAGCAGGUUAAAACGGAAAGAAAGAAGUCUUUUGGAUUAAUGUAGUUACUUCCUGUUCCACAGUGGAAAUGAGAAAAUAUUAAUAUAGAUUAUGUGUGCAAGUUUCCUUGUUCACGAGAUGGUUAUGAUGAAAUUGAGGUGAUAAUUAAUUGGCUUACUAAAUCAGCGCAGUAUUCUUCAAUGAAAGAGCAGUAACCUUUCCAGAAGUGCAACAGUUAUUUAUCUGUCUUAUGGAAAAGAGAUUUGGGCUUACGGAUCUGUUGAACUUCUUGGGUAUGUUGGUCCUUUCAGUUUGUUCCCUAAAGCAACGCCAUAAGGCCGUGGAAAACUGUGUCUUGUGUUUCGAAAUUGUUAGAAUUGUGGACGGAUGGUAUUCAAGGCCCUGAGUUAGUGGAGGAGACUACUCGGAAUAUUCAAGUAAUUAAGUCUAACCUGGAAGUGAACCAGGAUCGACUGAAGAGCUUAGCAGACAAACAUGCCACUGACCGGACGUGUAAUGCAGGAGAUUGGAUGUUUUUGAAAUUACCACCUUGGAAAGGUGCGGUUCAGGUCAAAAUGGAAGACAAGUUAAAUCCUAAGUACAUCAGGCCGUCUUUGACUAUUGAAGGAAUCAGUGAAAUACUUUCAAGUUUGAGUACCUUCGGGAUUGGAUAAGGUGUAUAGUGUAGUUCAUGUUUUGAUGCUUCGUUACAAAGUAGCAGAUUUGUCGUGUAUGAUUCCGGUUCAGCCCUUAGAGAUUAAUCCGGAUUUGACUUAUAAUGAGGAACCCAUGAUUAUUUUGGAAUAGAAAGAGGAAGUCCUCAGAAAUAAAACAGUGUACUUGGUAAAAGUUUUAUUGAGGAAUCAUUCAGCAGAAGAAACUACUUGGGAGACAAAAGAUCGAAUGAGAGGGAUGUGUUCCAGAUUGUUUUAUGGAUAUCGAUGGACUGUAAAGAUUGUGUAAAUUUCGAGGAUGAAAUUUUUUAAGGUGGGUAGAUUGUGACAGCCCGUCCCUGAUUUUAAGAAUUUUAAAGUUUUAAUAAAGGAUUUUACAAAAAUGCCCUUUGAGGCACGCGCAUUAUUCGAGGUUAAUUGUUGUGUCGUGCCAUCUAAGAUUUAUUUUCUUGACAUAUCCUCGUAGUACUCGUCGCUACGGACGUGUGGGCGCUGACGGUUCGUUAUUUGGAGUUAUAACGAAAAAGAUUUUCAAGUUUGAAGUUUGAGCAUUUUAUAAAUUUUAUUAUUAAAAUUUGGAUUGCCCAGAUUUAAUGAAGAAUUAAAUGGAUGGCUGGGAUGAGAGAAGAAGGUUUGCGUGUGUGUGUGUGCGUAAGAAGAAGAAGAAGAAGAAUGACGAUUGGGCAGUUGGGAAGAAAAAAGAAAGCAAAAAAAAAAAAGGGAUUAGGCAAAACUGCCCAAUCUGAAAGAAGAAGGAGGGGACGAAUCAGGAGAAGAGAGAUGGAGAGGAUGGCCAAUCGGAACAGGGGAAAGGAGGAAAGGAGAGAGAGCGAGAAGCGGAGGAAAAAGAACAGAGAUGGGUUUUCAACCCAUGACCCGCGCGGCUACCCGCUCCCGCAAUGCCAUUUUCCGACGGUUUUCCGUCCAAAUUUCUGGUCUUCUUCAACCUCCCAUCAACCCCAAACACCUGCAAGAGAUCCUAGCAUCCUAAUUGGCCCAACAAUCAAUGAAUUUCGUGGUGAUUUCGCGAAGAACACCCACACGGGUGCCGCGACUUUCUUGUUCAAAAUUUGCCCAAUCCCGAAGCAAUUUCUUUCAAUUGCCACCACCCAUACACUUCUCUUGAGGCCUAGAACAAAGCCCAAGCAUUGGUUGGGAAGACGGAGUUGAUUUGAAGACGAAUUGGAACUCACCCAAUUCUAGGGUCCGCACGGAGUUUGGUGAAAUUGAAGUGUUUCCAGGAAAAAUUGGCGUUGGCCUCAGGUAUAAAGUUUACUCUACUAAUUGAGAUCUUCAAUUCUGUAUUUUUUGAGAAUUUUUGGAAAUAAUUGGAUUUUCCGGCGAGCCGGGGCGGCCCGUGCGACGGCGCGUGGCCAAUGGCCCGCCAAUGUCAUUCUUAGCAUCUGUUUAAGGUUCUAGGUUCAGUUUUGAUAUUUGAUGGACGUAAAUUGAGUAAUUGAACCUAAGUUCGUUUCGAUUCGUGGUUAGGUGAAAAUGUGAAUUGACGAUCCGACCGUCGGAUUGUCACCAAACUUUGAUACGUUGUAAUACGUAAUAUUUGAGGAUUAUAGGAACUUACGGAUUGGGAAUCCGAUUUACGGAUCUUUCGGAAUUGGAGUUGUAAGUUCAUAAAAUAGAAUGUUAACCGUCACUUGAUUUUGACAAUUGACGGAGAUCCGACCGUUGGAUGGUAAUGAAAUUUUAGGAUGUUGUCCUAGAGGUAUAUUGUGAACCUCUAGAAGUUAUGGAUUUGAAAUCUGAGUUGCAGAUCUUCCGGAUCGAACUACGUAGUGACGUGUUUUAUAUAAGUUAUAUAUUCUAUCGAUAUGAUUUCUGAGGUUGGAUUUGAUUAUUGUUCUAGGCGCCGAUCGUCAUGACACAUUGAUGUGUGGUGCUAGGGAGUUGUUGGGCGAACUCCAGGUGAGUGGGCAGUAUUUCUGUUUAUACCUAUAUACUAUUGAUAUUUUUCCCAGAAAUUGAGUUUAAAUGAAAGUACGUUUUAAAAUGCCAUGCAUGCAUAUUAUGAAUUAUAUGAUUUGGUAUAUGAUGCAUAUAUGUGAAAUGGUGCUGUGGACGCACAUGUGAGUAUCAGGUGAGGUUUAUGUUGUUCAUGUGAUUUAUUGAUGAUGUGAAUUGUGUUGAGAGCUCACAACCUGCACCCCCGGUGUUAGUGCUUAUGUUAUUCACCCUGCAUCACACGCUCACCUUGGAUCCAAGUAUAUGCUAGUCGUACAGACCACUAGAGGUGGUUCCGACAUGCCAGUCGUACAGACCAUUAUAGGGGUUCCGACUGGUAGGUGACUUUAGAUUAUGUGCACAGAUGAUUGAUGAGAGAAUCACUAGAGCGUAUUAUUUCACCAUCUUAGUCGUACAGACUACUAUAGGUAGUUCCGACUUAUGUGCAGUGUAGUGUUGUACAGGUCACAGUUGGUGACUCCGGCAGGGUCGUACAGGUCAUAGUUGGUGACUCCGGCUGGAUGGGAUAUUGAGCUAUAGAAUCAGCCGUACAGGACCACUAUAGGGUCUCCGGUUGAUUGAUUAUUUCACCUGAUUUAUAUUGAUGCAUUCAUAUUAUAUUUUGGCAUAUGGCAUGGCAUGGCAUAUUCUUUCUGAAAAGCGUUGAAGGAUUGUGAUUUGAGCUUUUGAUGAUAUAUAUAUGCUUAUAUACUUUUUUUCUGGGAAAGUAUACAGGUUUUACGGCGAGGGGUUAGAAAUAUUUUAAAUGAAAUGUUUUCGAAAAACUUUGUUUUACUGACCCACUCAAUUUUGUUUUGCGCCCCUCCAGGUUCUAGAUAGCAAAGCUUUGGUGGCCACGAGGAAUCCAACAGUGUUCUGACAGAAUUCACAAAAGUAGGACUCACCCUCGAGUGUUUCAUCUUAAUAAUUGUAUUUUUAAAGCUUCCGAACUGUGUAAAUGGUUACGUCACUCUCACGUGACGGCCAGCAUGCCCUCCUUCGGGACGGGGUGUGUCAGCAGAGGCACAAUCUGCAAAAAUUUUGCAGUUUGCCUCUGCACAAGGCUGAUUUCAGAUAAAAAAGACGAACGAUUUUGCGCGACGAAUAAUAUGUUAGUCGCACAAUGAACCUUUGAGCGACGAAGAAAACUUUUUCAUCGUGUAAAUAUUUCUUGUGCAAUGAACAUAUGUAUUUGUCGCUCAAAUGUUAUUUGCGCGACGAAAGAAGACGUUCGUCGUGCUAGAAAUAUAUAUAUAUAUAUAUAUAUAUAUAUUUUUUUUUUUUUUAUGUUUUCCUUCUUUAUUUGUAUGUACUGUAAAUUUUUAUUUUAUUAUAAAUAAAAAACUCAAAGCUAAUUAAACAUUAAAUUAAUUAACAAAACUAAUUUACGAUCCCAAAUAAAAAUUAUAAUUACUGCAAAUAUUAAUACUCAUCCACAUAACAUAUACUUAUUCAUUAAAUUCAACAUAAAGUCCACAAAAUCUUAUUUAAAAAAAAAUAAAAAUAAAAAAAACAACCCUCAUCAACUUCAAUCCUCCCUCGUCUACAACACAUCAAACUUCCACUUCCGGAAUCUCUGCUUGAAAAGCCCAUCCACAUAAAUCCGUUGCUUCUCAUCGGUUUCAUCAAUAUCCCAAUGAACCUACAUUAAUGCCAAUAACAAUAAAUUAGUAAUUUAAAAAAUAUUAUGUUUUAUCAAAAAUAAUUUUUCAUUAUUUUUCCAUAAACUUACCGAUAACUCUCCCAGCAUGGACUUCUUCAGCUCCUUAAGGACCUUUGUCCAAGACUCAAACUCAGCAGAACAAUCCCUCUGCACCAAAUUCCCAAUGUCAUAAUUGAAUUCGGCAUACACCUCAGCCAAAAUUUUGCCUUCAAAGUACGGCACUUGCUUCCGUCGGUACCUCUCUACUCGCACUACAACUUUCUUUUUCCCAUAACCUUCCCCAGAAUCGGCCAUUCUUUUUUAAACAAAAAAAUUUGAAAACUUCGACUCUGAAACUGUGUUUAUAUAGCACUAGGACAACUUUGCGCGACGAAAUAGUCGUCGCGCAAAACUAUAAGCCGUCGCUCAAAAUGCGUCAUUAAUGAGCAAUAAAUUGAAAGGUUUGAACGCAUUCAGAUAGCGAACUGCGCGACAAACACAUGUAUUCGUCGCGCAAGGUGUAUUUGCGCGACGAAUUAUCGUCACGCAAUAUAUUGAGCGACGAAUAGAAUAAAAUAAUUGUAAUUACAAAGUUUACGUAAACAUAGAUAUCUAUGUUUACGUAAACUUUGUAAUUACAAACAAAUAUUCACAAACGAUUUAAUACCUUAAAUAUUUAUUGUUAAAUUAAUUAAUACUUUAAAUAUUUAUUCUAUAAAUAAUUAAUACUUUAAAUAUUUAUUCUAUAAAUAAUUAAUACCUAAUAUAUUAUUCUAAAAAUAGUAAAUACCUUAAAUAUUUAUUCUACAAAUAAUUUAUGUCUUCAUCCAUACAAUUAUUUUCAGCAUAAGUACGAUAUUCAUUAAAGAUUAAAAACACAUAUAAACCAUAGCCAGGGUACUUACUUUAGUCUCAGAAAAAAAAAAAAAAAAAAAAAAAAAACCGAACAAGAAUUCAAACCUAAUUAAGUCCAAAACAUAAAUUAGAAAAAAAAAACCUUAAAUUUAAAAUUGUCGUACAAAACAUAAACUUUAAACUACUAUUUGGAUGAUCCUGCUCCAUUCCGCAAAACCUCAUAACACCACAUAUUGUAACCUUCCUCCAACGCAUCCUCCAGCAACUUCAUUAAUUGUUCUUUCGGUUCAUCAUCAAAAACAUACUUAUGCUGUUACACAUAUAUACAUAUAAUUAAUUCCAACAUAUAACUAAAAAUUUCGCAAACUAAAUAAUUGAUCCAUCAACAAUAUACUUACUAAUAAUUCAUCCAUCACAAGCUUUUUCACAUUUCUCGACACAUCUUUCCAAGAACGCCACUCAGCAGUGGGGCAAUUAUUCCUCAUAGCUGCAGCAAUUGCACGAGCAAACGCAAAAUGUUCUCUCAUAUCAUGCGCGUCAGCCUUGCGCACACUCUCGUUGUUGUUUUUAUCCGCCAUCUCAGCAUGAACAAAAUUGUGAAGAAAAUGACAGUAGAAGCGCCUAUUUAUAGCAAAGUUAGGAUCUUUGCGUGACGAAUUCUUUGUCGCGCAAACAUCUGCAUUAAAUAGCCUUUGAUUUACCUGAUUUAGAAGUAUUGGAAGGUGAAAAGUUGGUGGAACUUGCGCGACAAAUAUUUGUCACACAAAAGUAACAUUUCGUCGCGAAAGUUUUUCCCGCCAAAUUAAAUUAUCCACGUUUUCUUGCUGACUUUAAGCGAUGACAAAAAAUAUUCGUCGCACAAGAAUACUUAGCGCGACGAAAUUUUCAUCGCACAAGUUUAUUUUAUUUAUUUUCUCUAUUUUUCUAUUUUGCGCAACGAAGUUUUUUUUUUGUCCCGCAAGUGCGUCUUGUGCAACGAAUGUUUGUUCGUCGUGCAACGAAGUUUUUUUUUGUUGCACAAGUGCAUCUUGUGUGACGAAUGUUUGUUCAUCGUGCAAAAUGUUGUCGCGCAACGUAUUUUUUUUUACUAGUGUUCCCAUUGAGUAAUCCUGAUUGAUCUUAACCUCAUCACCGUGAAUUCCUUUAUUCAUAUUAGCUAGAAAGACUUCUAGAAAUAUCAUGAGUGUUCAAGCUAAUGAAUCCUAAUAUACAUAUUCCUUAUCAACUCACAAACAUUGUCAAUGUAGAUCUCUAAUAUUCCCACAUGAAUAACAAGUGCUAACCAAGUGUAUAGAUCUCUUCAAAACUUACAUUCUCUCACUAGAGCUACACUUGGUUAACUAUUGCUAACCUUAAAGCGAGAUUCUUCUUAAAUGGCCACGAGAUCAAUAUUGACACAAAUCAUGAUUCCAGGCUUAGGUCAUUAACCAACAUCUGUAAAGGACUAAAGGGUAACAUAUUCUUUAACUUGAAUAAUAUCCCAAUAAUCGCAUUUACAAAGUUGGCCAACUCAUUAAACCCCAACAAGAUAUGAAAAUUAUUGUAUUGAAAAAAGUCUACAUAUGUAUUCAUCAUCAUCUCAAUACAUGGUCCUCUUUCGAAUUGAAAAAACAAUUCAUCUUAAUGGUUGUUAAUCUAGAUAACAAUUGCACAGAUUGUCAUACCAUUAUGCAUAUAAAACAUAUACAAACAUUCUCAACUAAACUGCAUAUUUAAGGGAAAACUUUGACAACCUCACAGUUUCAACUUUGUUAGUCAAGAAUCCUUAGAAAUCUUUGAAUACGAUAAAUAAACAAACUUGGCAACUAGAAAACAAGAAAAUUCUUUAAAUAAUACUUAGCUUCCACUAGUCAGCUGCAUCGAAACUUGCCAAAACUCUCAUCUUUGUGGCAUGCUUCUUGAAAACUAAAACUGGUAUAGUCCUGUACAAGUGUUCAGUAAACAUAGCCCUAGUAUCUUUUGUUAUUCUUGGUGAAGAAUAUGGCUGCAUUAUUGUCACAGAAAAGAUAAAUCGGUCUUGAAAUUGAAUCAACCACUUUUAGACCUGAGAUGAAAUUUUUCAAUCAAAUAGCUUGAUCAGUGGCUUCACAAACAAGAAAGAUACUCAACCACCAUGGUUGAAGCUACCAUUGUUGCUUGCUUUAUACUUCUCUAUGAAAUAGCACCACCUGAAAUUGUGAAAACAAACCCUGAUGUGGACUUAAGAUCAUCUGGACACCCAGCGAAAGUUUGAGUCAUUGUAACCUUCCAAUAUAAGAUUAUAUGCGCUUCUAUAAACCAAUAUGUGCUUUGGUCUUCUAAAGAUAUCUUAAAACUUUUUGUGCUACGUUCCAGUAAGCAUCACCUGCGCAAGAUUGAAAUCUACCAAGUACACUCAUCGUGAAGGCAAGAUCAAGUCGUGUGCACAAUUGUGCAUACAUCAAGCUUCCAACAAGAGAAGCAUAUGGUCUUUCCUCCAUGUUUUUCUUCUCUAAAUCAGUUUUAGGGCACUACGACUUGCUUAGUUUAUCACCCUUUGAGACCGGCAUUUCUGUGGUCCCACAAGAAGACAUGUUGAACCUUUUAAGAACCUUUUUGAUAUAUCCUUUUUGUGAUAACCCUAGUAAUCCUCUCCUUCUAUCUCCUUUAAUUCAAUUCCAAGGACAUAUGUUGCUUCCCCAAGGUCCUUCAUUUCGAAAUUCUUCUGCAGGAAUGACUUAGUUUCAUCUAACAAACAUGCAAUAUUUGUGGCAAGGAGAAUGUCGUCCACAUAAAGAACAAGUAUAAUAAAAUUGCUCCCACUAAUCUUCAUGUAAAUGCAAGCAUCAGAGGGAUUUUCAAUGAAACCAUACUCUUUCACCACCCUCUGAAACUUUAAAUACCACUAUCUCGAUGCUUGCUUGAGACCGUAGAUAGAUUUCUUCAAUUUUCACAUUAGUUUCUCCUUUCCUUCUUCUAUAAACUCUUCCAGCUGUCUUAUAUAUAUAUUUUCUUCUAAAUCACCAUUUAAUAAUGCAGUUUUAACGUCUAUUUGGUGUAAAAUUAAAUCGUAAUGAGCACCAAUCGCCAUGAUCACCCUACAUGCAUCAUUGGUAGACACAUGGCUGAAUGUUUCCUUGUAAUCGACAUUUCCAUUCGAAUCCUUCUUCUUGAAUACCCACUUACACCUUAUUGGUUUCUUUCCUUCCUUUUGUUCUACUAAUUCCUGUACUUUAUUGUCCUUCAUCGAAGUUAGCUCAGAUUGCAUGGCUUUUAUCCACUUUUCAGAGACAACUUGAAUUAGCUUUUUUAAAGGAUUUGUCUUAUAAGACAAGUCUAUAUCAUUCUCCUAUUUGAUUUCCUCAAAAAUGGUGGAACCACACCGACUGAUAUGGCUGGUGAAUCUAGUCGGUGGUCAUUCAAAAUGGCUAACUCCACGUGCCCAGAAUUUAUUUCUGUUUGCCGCUGCAGUCUGUCAUCGCUGCCAUGAGGGUGCCAAUUUUAUCAAGUGCCAAUUCCACGUACCCCGCAUGUUGUUGCAAUCGGUGCAGUCGAUGCUCACUGCUACUGGCCACGUUUGUUGCUGGUUGUCGGUGAUCGCAGCUGCCACUCACAAUUCCUGACUCAUCAUGGCUUGCAUGAUCAUAAGUAUGUUGCUCACUGAGCGUCAGCACAUCAUCGGUGCUUUGGUGUAACAGUUACAUCCCCAGGCAUUUGAUGGACAUUCCACUAAACAAAUACAAAAUAUUAGAUCUUCGUUAUGUAGUUAUCCUCUCGUUUGUUAGACAAAUAAAAAAUCUCUCAAUAAUCACUUCCUCUCAUACAGCCAAUCCUUACAAGCUUAAAAACUCACAAAGAAUCAAACCUCAAAUUCUCUAAUCUUUGAAGAAAGGAUGCUCCAACACACACGGUGAAAAACUCUCAAUUUGACCACAGGAGCAAGCCCUUAAAUAAAUAGUUUAUUUAAAGGCUCACAAAAAAAACAUAAUGAUACCAAGUAUAUUUAAGUUACCAAAAACAUUGAAGGAAAACCAAAAUUUUCCUUACAACACAGGACUAAAAUCAAUUGUUUUGACCUAUUCUUCAAUGUAAUCUAGUGAUUCUAAUAUUCAUUAAUUUAGUUUCUAAUUCAAGCAUCAUUUCUACAAAAAUUAAAAUAAUUAAAUGAAUUUGCGUAUGAAUGGUUUUUCAAUGAAAAUAUAAAAAUGAACCGUGUAUAUCGUAAGAUACAAUGUAGAGUAAAAACGAAUAGUUAAUACUGUAUUAACUUAGUGCCUGAGCGCUUAAAAUGCAAGUAUUAUUAGGUGAAAAUUAAUUAUGUGUUUGUCUCAAGACGAUGGACUGAAUGGGCUAUAAUAGCCUCACUGUGUUUGUCUUUCGAUCCGAAAACAGGAUUUCCACUUAGCAAUGCGCUUUCACUGUUGAUAAGUUUUCAGAGUUGCCAUAUGUCAGAGCUUACAGAUGUCACAAUCUGACAGAUAAACACAUAGUGCUGAGGAAUGAAGAUGAAGUGGCCUGAGGGAUGACGAUGAAGCGACUCAUAAAAAACAAUCUUAUCUCCGAGCUGUACAAAUUUGACCGGAGAAAUGAUUAAAAAUUCAAAAAUCAAUUUAAAACAAUAAAAAUGCAUAAACUAGGGAUUUAAUUAAUUCUUCUUUUAAUUCACAUAGUAUUAUGGUCUAAUAAUAUUCCGCUUCAUUUGUAAGUAAAAUGUUUUAGGUUUGAUUAUAACCAAAGGGAAAGUUGUACUGCAUUAUUAUGGGCAAGCUCAUUGUAAGGCUUAGUUCAUUUUUCCAUCCUCUUAAUGUAAAUACUAUCAUUUGUUUAAAAAAAAAAAUUAUUCUUUUAAUUUAAGGGUAAAUUACAUAAAAUUAUCUCAACUAUUGGGUCAACCACAGUUUCAUACCCCAUUUUUAAAACAUUUCAAUGUCAUAACUUAUCUUACAAAUUUAUUGCAGUGUCAUACCUUCCGUCAGUUUGUCUGUCAAUUCCUCCAUUAAAUACUGACGUGGCUUGAGACGGGACCCACUAUCUAUUAACAAAUUAAUUAAAUAUUAAAAAUAAAAAAUAAAAUUAUCUAAUAUUUUUUUUUAAACGGGGAUCCCUCCCACCCCUAACCUUCCUUUACCACCCCACCACCGCCCUCUCUUCCUCCAUCUCCACGCCUACAACCCAUCCAAACAGUCCCUUAAACCCACCAAUCCACCCAAACAGUCCUUUAACUCCAUCACUCAGACCCAUUCUCAAACCUCUCCACCUUCUCAUCCUUCAAAUUCAACCCGACCAUCGCCUCCCCCAACCCGCAGCUCACCUCCGCCAGCACAUCCGAGUCCCGAUAGUGCAUCACCGCCUGCACAAUUCAUUCCUUCCCCACAUUCCUCCCACCUCCCCAUUUCAAUUCAUUCCACAAUUAAUUUAUUUUAUUUUCUUUUCUUUUUCUUUUUUUCGAAUUUAAUUUUUCCAAAUUUUGAUUCGAUUUUUCGUACAAUUCGAUUUAGAUCGGACCUAGAUCGGACUUAGAGAAAAAAAUGGCAACAUCUUGAUAGCUCUGGGACCUGCAAUCGCAGCUGGGGAACAAGAUAUGCGUGGACGGCUCCUAAAAGAACCUGUAGUGGGCUUCGGUUUCGUACGACGUCUUCAUGUGCUUAGAGUGCUUCGGCAAGCACCGGUACCGCGGGUUCGACGUCCACAUCUUGUUCGUCCGAUCCGUGACCAUAGACUUGUGGUCUUAGAUCCAGAUCAAGAAAAUGGAGGCCAGCGACAAUGAGCAGCUCAAUGCCUUCAUCACCAGCUACGACGUUCCUAAGGAGACAUAUAUCGUCACCAAGUACAACACCAACGCCGCCAACAUGUAUUGGGGUUGGAUUCAAGCCCUAGCCGAGGGGCGUCCUUGGAGGGACCCACUCGUCGUGAAGGAGGCCCUAGGGUUUGAGAAAAAGAAGCUGCCUUUGGCCUAAGGUGACGGCGGUGGAAACGGCAAGGGAAAUGGUUCUGGGAAUAAUAGGGGGUGGGAUAGUUAGGAUGACGACGGUUUUAGAUCGUCGAACGAUAUGAGGAGGAAUCAGUCAACCCAACAAACAUCCCGUAGCACCCCAGUUGCAUCAUCAGCGCCGUAUCCACCGGCAUCACCACUCUUCCCGCCGCAAAGUGCACCACCGGAAGCCUCCUUGGUUGGGAAGGGAAGAAAAGUUUAAGGGUGGGAAGAAAGGGAAAAAGGAUUAAUUUUAAGGGUUAUUAAAUUUAUUUUUUUAGUUUUUAAUAAUUAAUUAAUUUUUUAAUAAAGAGUGGGUCGAGCUUUAAGCCUCGUCAGCAUUUAACGGAGGAAUUGAGAGACAAACUGACGAAAGGUAUGACAUUGAACAAUUUUGUAAAAUAAGGUAUGACAAUGAAAUGUUUUAAAGAUGAGAUAUGAAACUGUGGUUGACUCAAUAGUUGAGGUAGUUUUAUGUAAUUUACUCUUUUAAUUUAAUUUAGGGGCAAAAUGCGCAUAAACAUCACAAUUCAAUAACUAGGUUUUUAUAUUAUUUUGCACCAUUAACUGGUCUAUAUCAAAAGAUCCAUAUAAAUAACUCACAAUUCAAUAACUAGGUUUUUAUAUUAUUUUGCAUCGUUAACUGGUCUAUAUCAAAAGAUCCAUAUAGAGUUUCAUGGGGCUGCACACUAAUACAUAGCUUCUUGCUCUAAUUAAACAAUACAAAAACUCAUAUUGAAAAUUUGACAAUAUGAAAUAUAAUUUACAGGAUCAACUGUCAAUUUAGUCUUUGAAUUAUCACUUCAGUAAAAAUUAGAAACCUAAAUUAAUUUUCGGUAACAUAAGUCCUCAAAUUAAUAAAAAUAAAAAGAAACUGAUAAUUACAUCCUUAAUAUUAGAUUUGAAGCUAUUUUAUUUAAUUUUCGUCAAUUUAAGUCACAUGACUUGCAUGUAAUACACUUUGGAGCGUAAAUUGGUAGUUCAUAAAUUUAAGGACUUAUUUUUUAUUAAGAAGUAGGGUAUGGAGUUAACUUUGGAGGGUUAAUUAGACGUUAGAUUUGCAAUCUAUAUGGAACGUUAAGGGUUUAUAUAUGGAAAAUGACGGUAUUACCCUCUAAAAUGUGUCAUUUGACUUAAGUUGACGAAAAGUUGGAUAAAAUAGCUUUGAAUAUAUAGUAGGGAUGAAAUUAGCAAUUUUUAAUGAAUUUAAGGACUUAUUUUACAUAAAAAAUUGUUAGGACAUAAUUUUUUAUGAGGUAAUAAUUCAAGGACUACAUGAGCAAUUCACCCUAACUUAUAAUAUGUGGUUCUACUUCUUGUUAUACUAAGAACUUUUGUGUAAAAUACUCACACAAGGAUCCCGUAGAAAAUGUUUACUUAAUGCCCAGGGUUUUAGCUACAUGAUGUGUUGUGCAUGUAGUAAGAUGCAAGUUAGAGGACAUUAUCGGUGUGGUUAGUUGUGAGAUUGGGUUGGAAUUGGUCUUUAUCUUGUCUUGCCUAAAGUACCAAGUUUACUACAUUGCCUUGAGUGUGCUUUUGUUUGACCGAUGUAGAAUUGGUUGCACAUUUGGCCGAUUAUGUAGUGGUCCCAUAUGAAGGACGUGUAAAUGAUAGGAGCACAUUUAUGCGACUUAGUUGGCUUGUUCUUGUGCAUUUAUGUCGUGUUUCCUUAGUUAUUUUAAUGUUUAAAGUCAUUUUCGUGUGUUUUCAGAUUUUAUGGACAAAGUAUGCAAGAAGAUGCAUUUUGGAGGCCUUUGGAGCAUGUUUCGGGCUUGGAAUGGAUAGCAAAUGCAUGGGCCAAGUGGAUGGACGAAUUUGAGAACUAAAGAGGCCAAGAAUAUGAAGAAUUAUGGUCCAAAAGAUGAAGAAAACAGUCCAAAAAUCUGUCACCCCAACUUGCAUUCCUUGCCAUGCAAACCACAUAGAAUUCCCUUUGGAUUCCAUGCCAUGCUUGAUCACUCUUGUCCCCUACAUAAUUUCUAAUUUCAUGCUUCAAUUCAUUUAAUUAUUACACUCAAUUGCUUGAUACCUCUUGUUCCUUUCACUCAUUAGAUUUUAGACAACAUUUACAUCCAUUGCAUGCACCAAUUGAUGCUCCAUCAUUCACAUUUGGAAUCCAAUGCCAUGUGCAACACAUGUUGUUGCACCUUUGACCCAUUUGUUGACACAUUUCACCUCCCUUUCCAUCUCUAUGCAAUGUACACAAUCAUUCAUGCUCCCUAGCCACAACACCACUCCAUUUUACCCUUCACACUUUGCAUCAUUACUUCAUUUUCACCCUUGGACCAUUGCACACCACACACACAAAUUGCCAUGCAUUUCAUCCUUAACCUAACAUGAUUUUCUAAGGUUUUUGGGGCCUAUAAAUACAUGUUUACACCCCUUGGCCAAAGGACAUUCCCCCAUAUUCAUCAUUUUAUCACAAAAAUUCGUCCAUACACACCCUAGGAAGCAAAACACCCCAAAAACACCAUUCUAGUGCCUAGAAAACAUAACAGCCACUCCACCUUCUUCCACCCUCUUUGCCUAGUUCUCCACCACCCUCCAACCAUCAAACACUCCUCCACACUCACCCUAAACCCUUCCAUACCAUUCCCCAUCCAUUCUACAUCAUAAAACUACCCAAAAAUCUGUCCAUAACCCAAUCUGCCGCAAGCAAGGGAAAGGAGGAAUUCUUGGAUGCACUUGCUACCAAGUUGGAGCAUUUUAGGUGUUUUCUUUCCUUUGAUUUUAAUGUCUAAUUUUAUGUAUCUUUGCUUUGUGAGUAUGAGGAACUAAACCCCUCUUAGUUAGGGGGUGAUUCGAAACUAUGUUCAUACUUGCAAUAUGAUUUGAUUACAUCCAGUUGUGAUUCAUAAGUUGUGAAUUCAAUUUACUUAUCCGUUCAUAUAAAAACUAAUUUGUGUAUGUUGGUUAAGAGUGCACGCUUAAUUUUCAUGCAUGAAUUUGACGCUAGAAUAUAAGGGAGUUUCACCUAAUCGUUAUGAAACUUAUAUUCACAAGUAGUGAAGGUUGCUAGUCACAAUCACGUUAAGUAAACUUCUUGGCAUAAGUUUCAUGCAAAUCAUAGUAACGAGUGCCUCGUCAAUGCUUAUGUUUUUUCAUAGAACUUAAUGAUUCUUGCUUGUAUCUCUAUUAUGCAAUUCAUGUAGGGAACUUGUAGGGAAUGUUUUGGGUUGUCGUAUGCAAUCAUCCAACCUAAUAACUUGUGGAAAAAACUGAGGGUUAAUUAGUGCAAUUCACGGUUAAUUUGGGGCGUUGAGUAUUCAUAGCUUAUCGAAAAGCAACUGGAAAUCGUUUUGUAUGCAAGUGUGACAUAUGUGGAGAAGAACCUCCUAGCUAAUCUUCCAUCCAUAAGUUUCAUUCAAAUUCACUUACAAUCUGUUUUGUUUUACAAAGUUUGUUUUGUUUUCAAAUUCAUUAAAACCAAAAAUCCCCCUUUUACUUUAUUGUUUCAAAGUGUUUAAUUUCUGUUUUGGUUGUGUGUUAGAGUGUUUUGAUUCACCCAAAUUUGUCUAAGAAUUUGUUUACUUUGUUCUUGUCUUAAUUUAAUUAUUUUCGUCAAAAUCAACCCCAUCUUAUUUCUUUGAGUCAUAUUAAUUAGAACUUGUCUUAGAUUAUGUUUUUAAGUGUUUUAGUUCAUUAGAAAACCAAAAUUUGUCCAAGUUUGUGUGAGAGUCCCAAAAUUGCCCAGAUUGUGUUUUUAAGGUAGUUUUGAGUGUUUAGGGGCUGUUUUGAGUCUUUUGGUUUGUUUUAGUGUUUUAAAGUAUAGUUUUGCAUUCUUUGAGUCUAGUUAGUGUUUUAAACUUUGUUUUCACGUUUUCAAGUCAGUUUCCAAGUGAUUUAGCAAUCCCUCCUAAUCCCCGGCCUAGAACGAUCCCUACUUACAUACUUUACUACAAUUGAUAAAAAGAGGGUUUAAUUUGUGUGUUUAGUUAUUUUACGCAUCAGUAAACAACACAAAAAUCUCAUAUAAAGAAAAAUUAACCAAAUUAAAUAUGACUUAUGUUGCUUGGUUCAACUUCUAGUCACAUCGAAGUUUUAUAUAUCGAUAUGAUUGAGUGAAAGACGUUAACCCAUUUAUGUUAAAAUUUCCUCUAAAAUCUUAAUACAUAAGAACAAUAAUAAGUAAAUAAGUAGUGUGGUUUUGUUGAGAAUUUUAAAAUCUUUGGUGUUUUGAACAAGUGAUAUUAUCUACAUUAAGAGAAUGGGGUGAACUUAGCCUCACAAUAAGCUAGCAAUAAUAUGGUUUAAACUCGCAUUUAGAGAGAUCCGAACCUAAAACCUCUCACUUACGAGUGAAGGUGAAAUUUUAAAAUCGUUGGUGUUAGAUUGGAUGGAUUCCUAGAAAAUUGAUUCCCCCUACGUAAUUAAAUGUAUAUCUUAAUUAAGGCCAAAGAUAAUUAGGUAUAUAGCCUCAAAAGUUCAUGUGGGCAAAGACAUGAAUACUUAAUUAUUUCCUCCCUUUGAUAUAUACACGCAUUAUAGGACUUUAUUCAUAGAAACAGAAGAUCAAAACACUUGCAUCUAAAUGGGAAAGCAGGUAGCUAUUAUAGGAGCUAGAAUUAGCGGCCUCCUUGCUUGCUAGUACACACUUUCAAAGGGCUUUCAUCCUAUUGUUUUUGAAAAUUCAAGUUCCAUUGGGGGAGUGUGGACCAAAACUGCUGAGACUACCAAGAUCUAAACCCACAAUUCUCAGAUUUCCUUGGCCAUCUUCAGUGACAAAAGGCCACCCAGACCAGAAUCAGGUUUUGAAUUACAUCCAAUCAUAUGCUCAACAUUUUGACUUGCUCAAGCACAUCAAAUUCAACAGCAAAGUGAGCGGGAUUGAGUAUGAAGGCCAAUCCGGCGAUGAGAUGCAAGCUUGGAGUCACUAGGGUGGCAUCGGAGAACCAUUCAACUCCGGAGGGAAAUGGAAGGUUGUUGUAGAAGACAAACAAAGCCUUUCAACUAAGGUACAUAAUUGUUGGAACGUCAACUAUCCCACAAAUUUAGGGAUAGAUUAGCAACCAAGUAUAUACUUUGACUGUAAUUGAUUACAGUUGACUUUGUAUAGAAUAAUUUACUUGAUUGUAUUCCUUGAUUAUAGGAUCACAGUUGUAUAUAUUUUUCAACUCAAUGAAUGAAAGAAUUAUUUUGGCAAACAUCCUUUUGUCAUUCUUUACAUGGUAUCAAAGCUAGGGCAAACAACAAACCUUAGUUUUUCUUUCCGUUGCCUUUUUUCUCUGUCAUUGCCAACCUUCAGCCAUGGCCAAUGAGCAGACCUCUACUGGAAGUAAGCCUGAUGCUUCCAAUCCCGUCCAUUAUGCCGACCAUCCUGCGAUGGUUCUCGUCUCCAAACUUCUCAAUGGAGACAACUAUGCCACUUGGUGUUCUUUUGUGAAACUUUCCCUGCACGCGAAGAACAAGUUGGGUUUUAUGGAUGGCACACUGAAGGUUCCUAAUGAGAAGAAGAACCCAGAUGAUUAUGCUUUCUGGAAGUGAUGCAACGACAUGAUCAUUUUCUGGAUCUUGAAUUUCGUCGACCAAUCCAUACAAGAUAGUGUGGUUUAUUAUACCAUAGCCUAAGCAAUUUGGCAAGACCUUGAAAAUCAUUUUAGUCAAGGUAAUGUGCUUAGAAUUUUUCAAAUCCAACGGGAGAUAACUUUUAUCUCUCAAGACAAGUUAUAUGUUGCUACUUAUUAUACCAAGUUGAAUGGUCUGCGGGAUGAGCUUGCAUCCUAUGAUGACCAUGAGUCUUGUACCUGUGGUGUUUUGCAGAAACAAGGUGAACAAAUGGAGUGCACCAGAUUAAUGCAAUUCCUCAUGGGGCUCAAUGAGGCUUAUAGUGCUGCACAAGGCAAUAUUCUAAUGAUGAGUCCAUUACCUACGGUACGUUUAGUGUACUAUAUGAUUGUUCAGCUGGAAAAACAGCGUGAUGUGAAUGAUUCACUCGAAGUUGCCGAAGUUGCUGCAAUGGCAGUUCGCUAAAGGUAGAAACAAAAGAGUGGCAGUAACUCUUCCUCCCGUAAACCACUCCACUGCACCCAUUGUGACAUCAAUCACCACACCAUUGACACAUGCUACUAGCUGCACGGUUAUCCCCCGGACCAUGGCCUUCAUAAGUCCAACAAAGGUGGUAGACACAGCAAUAAUGGUGGAGGGCACAACAAGUGCAAUGGAAGCCCUUCUUCUGCAAACAACACUAUCACUGGCGAGGUUCCCCUACAAGAACUGCACUCAGCAGUCCCUGGCCUUUCUAAUGCACAGUUUCAGCAAAUUCUUUCCAUCAUGAACGACAACGGCACCACACCGAACACUUCCCAAACCACUGCCCCUCAAGCCAAUGUUGUUGGCACUUCAUCAGGUUUGCCAAAUGUCUCACAGCGCUUCUGUCGAUGGAUAAUCAAUAAUGGUGCUACGGACCAUAUUACGUCUUCUCCAAAUUCACUUACUCAUUGCACCAAAAAUAUCACUCUACCACCUGUUCAACUACCUAGUGGUGAACAAGCUCCCAUCCUUUCCAUUGAGAGUUUGUCUUUAACUUCUUCAAUCCAUUUACAAAAUGUCUUAUGUGUGCCCACUUUCAAAGUUGAUUUAAUGUCUGUAACUCGAGUAACCAACAAAAUGGCCUGUUCCAUAACCUUUUACCCUACUUGGUGUAUUUUGCGGGACUUGGCUAUGAAGAAAACGAUUAGUUUAGGUAAACGGUGUGGAGGACUCUAUUAUUUGGUGGCCUUAGUUUUAGCAACACCGCAACCCUCUGUCUAACCUUCCUGCCACCUUGUCACCUUCUCCACCGAGUUAUGGCACCGUCAUUUAGGUCACCUAUCACCCUCUAGAUUGAAGUUUAUGGCCACACAUCUGUUACAUUUUCCUUUUGAUUUGAAUAAGGCUUGUGAUGUAUGCCCUUUGGCCAAGCAACAUCGGCUUUCUUUUGGCACUAGUUCAAUUAAUACUAAGAACUCUUUUGAACUUAUUCAUUGUGACAUUUGGGGUCCUUACAAAAUCAAAUCCCUUUCCAGUGCUAAAUAUUUUUUAACUGUGGUGGAUGAUUAUUCUAGGUCUACAUGGGUUUUUCUUAGGCACUAGAAAAGUGAAACACAACCUUUACUUAAACAAUUCCCUUCCUUUAUGCAAACCCAAUUCCACACACAAGUAAAAACCAUUCGAACUAAUAAUGGGGAGUUCCUUUCUUUACAUUCUUUUUUCAAAGAUCUUGGCAUUGUUUUCCAACAUUCAUGUGUCUAUACGCCUAAAUAAAAUGGUGUUGUCGAAUGCAAGUACUGCCACAUUCUUAAAAUGGCGCGUACCUUGCGUUUUCAAGGUCACUUCCCCUUACAUUUCUGGGGUGAUUGUGUUCUCACUGCUGUCCACAUCAUCAACAGGUUUCCAACCCUUCUUCUCCACUACAAAACACCCUACGAACUCCUUCAUGGUAGAUGUCUUACUUUUUCUCAUCUCCGGGUUUUUGGCUUCCUUGCCUAUGCAACCAAUACCCAUAUUUCUCAUAAAUUUGAUUCCCAAGCAAAGCGUUGUGUUAUUUUGGGUUACCCCGUUGGUCAAAAAGCCUACAAACUAUAUGACUUGGACUCCAAACAAAUAUUCACAAGCCGAGAAGUUAUUUUUCAUGAAACUACCUAUCCUUUUCAAACCUUGCUUCCUUCACACACGUUACCCCUCCCUACUUCUCAUCACACUCUACCUCUCACCCUUACUCCUACCUUACCAACCUCAGACGAGUCCCACUCUUCCUCACCUUCCUCACCAUCUUCUUCAUCUCCUCCUACACCUCAUAGCACGGAUACUGAUCAUUCUCCACAUCCCCAUGCUGCUGAGCCUAAUCCCACUACUCUUGAUCAUUCUCCUAUCCUCCCCAUCGAUCCCAACCCCACUCCACCAGUCCUUGAACCACCCUCCUCCCCCAUUGGGCAUCCUUUGUGCCACCGCACCAUACCUGCCUACCUCAAUGAUUAUGUUUGCUUGUAGGUUAUGUUGCCUACACCCAAGCCGUUGCUUUCUUCAUUGUCAAGCUCCACUAAAGGUACCAGGUAUCCCUUGGACCAUUUUCUUUCCUAUCAUCGUUACUCACCCACACAUUUUUAUAUUAACCAUGUUAGCUAUGAUGUGGAACCUCGUACAUGUUGUUUAUCACCCUCACUGGCAAGUUGCUAUGCAAUCUGAGUUGUAAGCGUUGGCUGAGAAUCACACUUGGACUCUUACUCUUUUUCCUCCUGGCAAGUUUCUCAUUGGUUGCAAAUGGGUCUACAAGAUCAAACAUCGUUCUAAUGGAACCAUUGAGCGCUACAAAGCUCGUUUGGUCGCCAAGGGUUACACUCAGAUGGAGGGUGUUGAUUACCAUGACUCUUUUCUCGCCCACUGCUAAAAUGACCAUUGUCUGUUGCUUAUUGUCCAUUGCCUCCACCCUUAAUUGGUCCAUUCAUCAGCUUGAUGUUAAUAACGCAUUCUUACAUGGUGAUCUUCAUAAGGAAAUCUAUAUGUCCCCACCUUUUGGUCUUCUACGACAGGGGGAGCAUUUGGUACGACGCUUUCACAAGUCGUUGUAUGGUUUGAAGCAAGCUUCUUGCCAAUGGUUUGCUAAGUUCUCUCCUGCCAUUAGUGCUACUAGUUUUGUACAAUCUAAAGCCGAUUAUUCACUCUUCACUCAUCGCAGAGAGACCUCUUUCACAGUUCUUUUGAUUUACAUGGAUGACAUCGUUAUCACUGGAAAUAAUUUGGCUGCUAGUUCUUCCCUUAAAGCUUUUUCGCACAGUUAUUUUCGAAUCAAGGAUCUUGGAGACUUAAUAUUUUCUGGGAAUUGAAGUGUCAUGUUCCCAUAAAGGUAUUUCCAUUUCACAAAGGAAAUACAAUUUGGAGAUCUUGAAAGAUGUUGGCCUCUUGAGAGCACAACCAAUUGACUUUCCCAUGGAACAAAACUUGAAGCUUUUAGAUAAAGGGGAACUACUCAAAGACAUAUCACAGUAUAGAGAAUUGUGGGGCACUUGAUUUACUUGACGAUAACUCGUCCUAACAUCAUUUAUUCAGCGCAUGUCUUGAGUUGCUUCAUGCAUGAGCCACGUAAACCUCAUAUGGAAGCAGUACUUCGUGUUCUAAGGUACCUCAAAGGCACACCAGGUCAAGGUCUUUUCUUUUCCUCACAAAACAAAAUAGUUUUGAGAGCUUACUAUGGCUUGGACUGGGCAGGUUGCCCGAUUACUCGAAGGUCUGCUACAGGAUAUUGCAUAUUCUUGGGAUCCUCCUUAAUUUCUUGGAGAUCAAAGAGACAGAAGACAGUGUCAUUAUCUUCAACUGAAACUGAGUAUAAAGCUAUGACAAGUGCUUGUUGUGAGCUUUCAUGGCUUCAAUACCUUCUUAGAGACCUAAAUUUAGCACAUAUAGGGGCUGCAACCCUACAUUGCGACAACCAAGCAGCUUUACACAUAGUUGCUAACCCAAUCUUCCAUGAACAAACUUGACACAUAGAGAUUGAUUGCCAUUUUAUCAAAGACAAAAUUCAAGAUGGUUCAGUAUAACAAAAACAUGUCUCUUCAUCACAACAACUUGCAAAUGUGUUCACAAAGGCGUUGGGAAAUGAUGCUUUCUCAGCUGUGUUAUGCAAGUUGGGAGUUCUAGAUAUACACUCUCCAACUUGAGGGGGAGUGUUGGAACGUCAACUCUAUCCCACAAAUUUAGGGAUAGAUUAGCAACGAAGUAUAUACUUUUAAUUGUAAUUGAUUAUAGUUGACUUUGUAUAGAAUAAUUUACUUGAUUGUAUUCCUUGAUUAUAGGAUCAUAUAUGUAUAUAUUUUUCAACUCAAUGAAUGAAAGAAUUAUUCUGGCAAACAUCCUUUUGUCAUUCUUUACAAUACUUAUAUUAUGUGCAUAUAUUUAUUUACGUAUGCUUUCAAGUUUAAUUAUAUUAUGUUAUCAAACUGUCAAUAUUUCAGUCAUAAUGAUCUAGUAUGAAUGAGCAGAUUCAUGUGGUGGACUUUGUGAUCCUUUGCAUCGGGCGAUUCAGCGACGUUCCAAACAUUCCCGAGUUCCCUCCAAACAAGGGACCAGAAGCAUUUCAUGGAGAGGUUAUACACUCCAUGAAAUUAUGCCGACAUGGAUUACGAAAGCGCAGCUAAAUUUGUGGAAGGAAAGCAAGUAACUGUUGUGGGAUUUCAGAAAUUUGCAAUGGACAUUGCGAUGGAGUGCUCAAUCGCAAAUGGUAAUUAUACUAAACUGAGAAUUUAAAUGCCACGUUACACAAGUCCAAGAAGUAGCUCAGCAAUAAUUUGACCAUUUUAAUAGAUUGUUUGUGUUGCAUUUUCCCUUAAUUCAAUAGUUGGUAAUAUUCAGGGGUUGAAAAUCCAUGCACAGUGUUGUGUACAAGACAGAACACUGGAAUCUUCCUGGCUAUCUUCCAUGGGGCUUUCCCAUCGCAUACUUAUACUUCAAUCGCUUCUCGGAGCUCUUGGAACACAAGCCCGGUGAAGGCAUCCAGCUCAGUCUCCUUGCAACAAUUAUUUCACCUGUGGUAUACUUCAUUUUGCUAACCCUAAUUAUGCCUUUUGAUUGUGAUGCUUAUAGAUAAAACUAACAAAACUUAUAAGGAUUGAACAGAGAUGGGGGUUUUCGAAAUUUGUCGAAAGCUAUAUAAAUAAGAAGCUUGGUUUAGCCAAGUAUGGAAUGGUACCUAAGCACAGUUUCCUUCAAGAAAUCAGUUCUUGUAUGAUAGCAAACAGUACCGGAAAAGUUCUUUGAUCGAGUCCGAUAGGGAAGCAUCAUACUGAAAAAGUCUCCUGGCGGCUUUGGCUUUUGCCAAGAAGGGAUUCUGGUUAAUGGUGAAAGCUCCCCUGUGAAGUCAGAUUUGGUCAUCUUGGCUACUGGGUUUAGGGGCGAGAAAAAGCUCAAGGACAUGUUUGUGUCUCCCACCUUUCAGGACUACAUCCUCGGUUCGCCUAAGUCCAUAUUACUCCUUUACAGGUUAAGCUUAUUUCAUAGACCAUACCACAUUUACUGAUCACAUCUCUUAGAGAACAAAUUGUCUAUUUGGGUCUAAAUUUCGAAUGACGUGCGAUAUGUAAAUGUGGCACAAAUGUUUCUGUUAGGUACUUUUAUUAGAUACAGCAUUUGAAUAAGAAAAUCAUGUAUGAUUUCAUCUCAAUCAGGGAAUGCAUACAUGGAAGAAUUUCACAGCUAUCAGUAAUUGGAUUCUCCGAAAGUAUUUCGAACUUAUACACCUCCAAGAUGAGGUGCAGUAUGGCUAGCGGAGCUUCUCAGAGGCACAUUUAAGCUACCAAGCAUAAAAGAGAUGGAUAAAGAUGUGGAAAAAUGGGACGCAUACGCAGUAUGGCUAGUGAAGUGAUUUUGAAAAAAAAGCUAGUAUCAAAAAAAGCUGGGGGCAUUUUUGUGUUUGAUAAACUUCCAACUUCAGUUUUUUUUCACAGUUUUGGAUGAAAAAAAGCCUAAAAACAGAAGCGGCAAAAGACAGUUUUGAAAAACUGGCUUUUCAACUUCUGCGCAAACCUUUAAAACACGGGUGAACAGUGACCCUUUAAUCAAAGUUUCUGGCAAUCCUACCCUCCCUUCAUCUCUAUCAUCCCCUUUCUGCUCCUCCUAACUUCAUCUUUACCAAAGAUCUUUGAAGAUUUGUGUCGCCCCCACUGUGAAUCUAUCUCGUCCCUCCCCAUGAAGAUCCGAAUCGUCACCACCAGAGACCCACAAGGGUCGCCAGGAGGAGAGCAUGGAAGAGAUGGAGAAAGAUGUGAAAAAAUGGGACGCAUACGGGAAGCGAAGCGAUACACUUCCAGCCAAUACUACCGGAGAUCAUGCACCGGUGCCCUCCAUCUGUGGUACAAUGACCAGUUGUGCAAGGAUAUGGGAUGGAACCCCAAAAGAAAGAAGGGACUCUUUGCUGAAUUGUUUGAGCCUUAUGGCCCCAUGGAUUAUGCUUCCUCUUGAAAUGGUCAACAUCAACAUAAUAAAAGAUUAGUUUUCCUUGUAUUUUGCUGCAUAACAGCUCAUGUUUGAACCUGUCGUUGUAUUCAAGCACUUGUAUUUUGUUGCAUAAAAGUUCAUGUUGAACCCAUCGUUGUAUUUAGGCAAUGCAUCUUUAAACUAAGAUGACGGUUUUGUUCCUGAUUUGCGUUUUAUAUUUCCAACCGAAACGAAAGCAUGCAAAUGGGUUAAAUUCUGUCCCCUUUAGUUUGAAGCAACUCAAUAAAAGGGUUGUAGUAUCGAGUGGAUUUCGAAGUAUUUUUGUUUUAUUUUUUAAACAAACGAUAUUAUCUAAAAACUCGUUUGUUCAAACUCGCAUUUGGCAAUAAUUGCCAUGGUCACGGGCUUUUCAAAGUCCUUUUGUGUAGCUAGAAACUUUAGCACCAGCUUCCAACGCAGCUUCCAGUGGCUGGAGCGCCCAACGGCAUGCCUCGUUGUCAAGCGUUGGGGAUUUGGGAGGAUCGACAACGGAAGGAGUGUGAAUUUGGUGAAGUCAAGGCCAAGAGAGAUGUAUCCAAGAAGUAGAAGCUACAUUGAUUCCAGGAAAACAAUCUCAUGAAGACUUUAACUCCUGCGGUCUUAUAACUAAAGUUUGGAAUUGGACCGUAUUUGCUAACAUGACUCACCACGUGUUUAUUAUAACUUUUUCACCACGAGGAUUGCGGUUAAAGUAUGGUAAACUGUAAUUUACAAGAAUAUAUACUAAGGAAUAUUCAUGUCUGUUUUUCGUACCUAAAAAUUAUCAAUGAAUAUAAAAACGUAUAAUCAUGUAAUACAAAUAUUGAAACAAAUGCGCAAUUCGCAGCUGAAACCUCUCUUCGGCUUGUGGGAGAUACUCGGCCUAUGAUGUCAUUCAAUCGAAUUGAUUUUGCCAAUCUCAAGUGGCUAGCUGGGAAAAGAAGUGGAUCAUGCAGUUUUAGGCACAUUCUAAAACCUGGAAACAUGUUCCUAGUUCAUAGUUCAUAUAAAUCCUAUCUCUAAAUUUUAAAUAAGAUUUUAAAGGGAAAAAUAGAUGAGGCGGUGACAACAUUAACUUUUAACAGCUUCAUCGGCAUAUUCCAACUAGUCCGUCAAGAACCAGAGUGAAAAUAUUUUGCAGUUCUCGCAAAAAUGAAAACGGAAAAAUGCAGCAUUACACGAAUUUUGAAUGUCCACUAACCUGAGCUGUCUGGAAAUCCCUGUGCACGAACCACCACGGGCCUGAUUUUGACAGAUAUCUGAAAGGAGAACAGAAGAAAAACAAAGAUACGAAUAAGCAGCAACAGAGAUAGCGAUGAUGCUGAUAAACGUAAAAUCCAGAAAUGAAUAAUCAUUAUGCCUCUUCUACUAGCAAAAUAAGCAAAUGAUGUAUUCAUAUUUUAGCAUUAGAAGCCUUAGAUUUUAUUAUCACCAGGAGUUAUAAACCAGCCACUUACUUAAAGUUGGAUUAGUUAUCGAAAAGAGUAUUAUAUUCACGAUUAAUGUUGAUAAUCAAAAUUUGACAUGGUAUAUUAUUACCUGGCAUAGCCUGCGACUGCGCGCAAGCCCAUGAAGAGAGUCAAACCCAGCCAAACUCCAUGAAGGCCAAAGAUGGAAGGAGCAUAUAGCAAAAAAUGCGGAAGAUAAUGCCCCCACUACCAUCUAUUAAUAAUAGAGAUUUUGUCAGAACCAAAAACAGAAAUAUGUACACUUUCAUAGUCAAAGUAAUAAUAAAAUGGAAACAAGUAGAUAAAGACUAUGAUGAUAAAAAGAGCGUGUCCAUACCUGACCAGAUGCAGCCAUUGCAUCAGUUAGAAGGGAUACAGCCAACCAUACUUGAAUACAUACAUAUCUUAUGAGCAGCCAUAGCUACUGGACCUUGACGAGCCGCCAUUGAUGUUCCCAAUGUCAAGGUCGUAUGACAAGCAACAGUUCGUCCAAGAAGAAAACCACCUCCAACAUCGCAGAGUUGUUACCAAAAGCAAUUAGGUAAGAAACUUUGAAUAUGAAGACGAGAGAAUUAUCACUGGGGUAAUGAAAGAAGUUUAACAACCAACACAAAGACAAAAGAAACAUUAAUAUACACUGCCCCGAUACAUGUGCACUGAAUCGGAAGAUAAAGUGAAAUACUAUGAUAGUCAAGAAAAUCAACGAAUCGGAGAGCUGGAAGAAAGCUGUAUAUAUUCAGAUAGAUGAGAGUAAAACGUUCAAUAAAAGGAAAUAAACUUACCGGAUUUAAGGUAUCCACCAAAUUGUAGUGAUCCAACCUUCGGAGGCAAUGGUAUAGCUCUCUUAUUUAGAAACCAGAUCAUUAAAAAGGUGACAGUGUAUCUGAAAAACAGAUAUUCCAUAAAGUUCAUUUUCUAAUUACAGAUAAAAAAGGGUAAUAUUGAAAGAAAGUCUAUUGAAAAUCACAUACUGAGAUAUAACAGUGGAAAUGGCUGCACCAGUUGCACCCAAACGAAAAUAAUAAAUAUGGAGGGGCAACAAAAACACAGCUAACGAAUUACCAAUACCUGCACGAAAAACAAUACAUUGACUAAAAACAAAUGGAAAUCAACAAGUUGGAGACAUGAUUAUAAAUACACUGUGCAAGAAUAAUAGACCACUAUUAUGCGUGUGUUAUAUGGGCGUUGUGUGUGUGUGUGCGCGCCCGCGCGCGCGUAGAAAACUAGACCUUCCAUCCCAAAAGCUUCAAUUAUUUCAUAUUCAAUCAAAAGAUGCUAAAGGCUAUUAGGACAUGUGUCACAAAUAUAUAGCAUUGUAGUGGAUAAAAAAGUGUUACACCACUUCCCCAGUGCUCUCCCCUCAGCAAGAUGCUGACAACAAUAGAUUAACCAGGCAUUUCAGCAGUCACACAAGACAAAUUCAUACUGCUAUCUAGAAAGGGAUGUCACUUGAACGUUUAAAAUAUAUAUAACCAAAAACUUGCCUAGACAUAGUACUGGAGUUUUUGUAUCCUUAAAUCCACGGAAAACUCCUUGAAGAGCCAAAGAUGCUACAACUGCGGGAGCACCAAAUGCUCUUAGUUGAUGAAAUCGUUGUGCUUGAAUGCGCAUAGGUGAGUCCUGUGAUAUUCGGGGGGAAAAAAAGAUCUUCCUUAAAUUAAACAGUCAAAUAUGAGAGGGGAAACCAGAAAACGUAUAAGUUCCCCCCAUAACCAAAAAUAAAAAAUCAAAUUGAGUAACCGCACAUGCACAAGAACUAGAAACUUGUAUAGUAAUUGUUCACAUAUAUAUAAUUGCAUUUAUGCAUACAAAAAAAGAAAGUUUGUAUAAUCAUGUAAAAAGAUAUAAGACAAGGAAGACAAACAAAUCAGUAUGAGAAGUAAUUUUAGAUCAGGUAACCUACUGAUGAUAUGCCCAUCAUAUUUAGAAACAACCCAGAUCCCAAAGACAGAGCCAUGGCCUCAAAGAUUCCAAUCCCAACUGCUAACUGUAAAGCUGUAGACACUGAAGAUAGCUGCUUUCUCUCAACGACUCCAUCAACAGGUUUGGGUUUACCAUUAGUAUUGCCGUCUAGAUAACCAUUUUCUGUACGAAAAUCAGCCAAAAUCAGAUUCCCAAAAAAAAAAAAAAGUUUAAGUAAUCUCUGCUCUAAGUUAGACAUAAAGACAGACCAAAUAUGUGUACAACAAAGAUGACCAGGGAAGUAAAACAAAAGUUGAACUUCGCCUGAAGUAGAACCUUUACUUUCACUCUUAGCAAGGUCUUCAGCAACAAAAGAUGUAGCAACACUGAGGAGAGGGAUAUUAAAUGUCUUUGAGAUAUAAUUAAAGAUGUUCAUUGAAAUACCAGCUGAAGCCAAUUCCACGGAACCUAUGGAAAAACAGAAGCAAAAUAAUAAGGAGCUCCAAAUUCAAAUCAAUUAUACAGUUAUCAGUCAUUGAACACGUUUAAAGGAGUGAAACAAACCCAAAUUGCCAAUGUAUGCAGUCUCCAUUAGUUGUGCUAAUGGAUCAAUGGCCUGACCCAUAAUUGGUAAAGAAAGCAUCAAUAGCUCGCUUUUGACAUCUGGAGAAUAUGUUUCACUGAUAGAAAUGUUAUUAAACUCUAACCCAAAACAAACAAAAAACAAUGCUUAACAUAGGUAGCUUAGUUCUUGGAUCAACUAAAAACUAUGAGUAAUAAUAACAAUUUCAGAGAUUCGCUGAAAUAGACAAUUCCCGAUAGCUAUUGACGGUAAUAUUUCUCAUAUAAGCUUCAUAAUCAAAAUUAAGUGAAUAAAAACAAAAUUAACUUGCUUGCACUUAUAAACCAAACCACAUACGAAGGGAGGGACUAGAAGAUGAAGGGAUUGGGAGGCUUCCAUCAAAAGUAGAAAAAUUUAUCUAAAGCUAUCAUGCUCAGUCACCAGCCACUCUACAAACUCAUAAUUUAUUUUUUUCAAACGAUAAGAGCAUCAAUCAAGAAAAAAAAAAGUUCACAACAAUAAAAGCAGCAUUUCAAGAAACUAAAGGAACAAAAAUUUUAAUAUAACAAGGUAAUGUAGGCUAUAAGGUCUUACAGGUCACCACUCCCUACACCUAUGAGAGCUUCCUCUUCCUCCAAAACCAACUUUCCUUCCACCUCAGAGGAUCCCACACCCAAAUCCGAACUCAAUUGAUUAGCCACCACCGGGAAACAGGGUCUUCUGCGGCGUGUCACUAGCAGUGUGCACAAUGCUCUUCGUGUAGCAUACAGAUUGCAUCCCCCCACAACAUUGACAUUGUUCAAAUCCUUCCUACCACUUCUUGCUACAAUAUUACAAUCUCCCCUUCUGUGCAAUGAAUUAAACAACCUAGACUUUUGAGUUAUCGGGUUGCGGUCACUGGCUCGGGCGGUUAAUCCGUUAGAAAAAGGGCGCCACUUCUGAACUGGGCGAUUAAUCCUCGAUUAGAUUAAGGAGAUCACUCUACAGAUUGAAACAAUCCGGGCUGAUGUGGUAUAACCAUCUAAGUGAAUAUUUGACAAGUCAGGGUUAUGUGAACAAUGAACUAUGCCCAUGCGUGUUCAUUAAGAAGUCACAUUCCAGAUUUGCGAUCGUUGCAGUUUAUGUUGACGACAUGAACCUCAUCGGAACUCCUGCAGAGCUUGAGGAAAUAGCCGCGCACUUGAAAUCGAAAUUUAAGAUGAAAGAUCUUGGGAAAACUCGAUAUUGCCUCGGCCUGGAGAUCAAGCAUUGUUUAAAUGGAAUCCUAGUACAUCAAUCGAAUUACACCUAAAAGGUGCUACGACGUUUUAAUGAGGAUAAAGCGAAGCCUUCGAGUGCUUAUAUGGUCGUUCGGACUCUAGAUGUUUAAACGAGAUCCCUUCCGUUCGAAGCGAGAUGAGGAAGAGAUUUUGGAGCAUAAAGUUCCAUACCUAAGUGCGAUUGGUGAUUUAUUGUACUUGGCUCAAUGCACUAGACCCGACAUCUCCUUCGCUAUUAAUCUUUUGGCUAGAUACAGCAACACCCCUACACACAGACAUUGGAAUGGUGUUAAAGACAUUUUCUGCUACCUCAAGGGUACGAUGGAUUUGGGCUUGUUCUACACCCACAAAUCCUUGAGAAAAGCUGCCACCCCCCUCGGUCCUCGGGUUGAUUCACGCCUCACUGGUUACGCAGAUGCUAGCUAUAUGUUUAACCUACAUAGGGCACGUUCUCAAACGGGUUAUGUCUUUACCGGUUAAAAAACCGCUAUAUCUUGGAGGUCUACCAAGCAAACGCUAGUUGCGACUUCUUUGAACCAUGUUGAGAUUAUCGCCCUGCAUGAAGCCUCGUGAGAGUGCUUUUGGUUGAGAGCAAUAAUGGAACAUAUUCGAAGCACUAGUUGUCUUUCUCCCAUCGUUGACCUUCCUAUGACGAUCUUUGAAGACAAUGCAGCAUGUAUCGAGCAGUUAAAGAAUGGAUGCAUCAAGGGAGACAACACCAAGCACAUUGCACCGAAGUUCUUUUAUUCUCACCAACAACAAUAACAUUAAAACAUUGAAGUCAAGCAAAUCCGUUCCCAAGACAACCUGGUCGAUCUCUUCACGAAGUCAUUGCCCAAGUCUACUUUUCAAAAGCUCGUCCAAGGAAUCGGUAAUGUAAAUUAUCUGGGUUGAAUUGCUUGUACUUCUCUUAUUUGGAAGUUAUGUCUAACUCAGAGAAGUAUCCUAAAGCAUACUCACUUGAUCUUAAUGUACUCUUUUUCCUACAAUUAUGAGCAUUUUUCCCACUGGGUUUUUGCUACCUAACGAGGUUUUGAUGAGGCACCCAUCCUGGGAUGAUCAUACUCUGUUGAGUACACUAUUUUCGUCCUGUUUGACGUUUGUUUUAGACAUUAUGCGUACUUCUAACUUUUCUCAUUAGUCUAUGGGUUUUCCCCAUAACUUGGGUUUUACCAUGGCGAGGUUUUGCGAGUUUUACUACCAAUGCAUACUUUCUUAUAUCUGAGACUCGCAUUCACCCGUUGUGCCGACGACUUUAUCAAUCGUUCUACCUUAUAUGUUGAAUAUCUGAUGCGACGUUUUGUUUGAGUAUUUACACACUCAAGGGAGAGUGUUGCAAUCCUAUCGAAUUAGGAAUGCGAUUGUGUAAAUCCUAGUGUAUUUAGGAGUACCUUGUUUUUUUUCCCAAUAGUAAUUUAAUUCCUAUUAGAGAUGUAAUCCUAUUAGGGUAAGGAUUCUACCUAUCCUACUACUAUAAAUAAAGGCAUAAGGGGGUGAUACAACACACACCUCAUAAUUAAAUCUCUCUUUUCUCUCUCUGUUGCCACCAGCCCCUCUCAUUCUCUGUCCUUUAUAUAGUUGUUUAGGCCCAAAAUAUUGGUUUUGGCCAAGUUUAGAAUUGUUCUCGACCCGGAAGUGUUGCUCAAGGGCCGGCCGUGUUCUAUCAGGAUGGGGUAGUUGAAUCCUGAUACAAUAAGAAGUCUCGGCAGGAUGAGGAUGCUGAAACUUGGGAAUGAAUACGGCCUUAUAAGGAGUUGAGUUCAAAGUCCUGAUAGAAGUAGAACUGGCCGAGAUAAGAUUGGAUCGGGGUGAGAAGUCCUAAUCUGAGUAUAGUUUUCAUUCGAUCAGAAGCAUUUUUGCUACUAUAAAUAGAGGGAAAAGUGCAUCGUUCAAGCCCCCUCCAAUCCAACACACAAACUGCCCUGUGCAAACCCUCGCUUUACACAAAACCUCUCAACAACCUUGAGAUUUUUAUUUUCUUUUUUUGCCGACACAUCUUCAGUUUAGAUAAAGAGCACUGUGAAGGCAACAUGUGAUACCUUCAGUUUAGAUAAACAACAUUAUCGCCGUAGAACCCAGCCGACCGCGAAACAUCUUUAGUUUGGAUAAACAGCACCGUGUCGAGGCCGAUUGGUUAUCUAUCCAAGUCUCAGUCGAGAAAGACUUUUGGGUCUUUAUUGGCAGAGGUCAUCUCAUUAGCCUUUUCGGCGAGGUGAGGUGUUCCAGUUUAUUAGGGCUCAGCACAUUGAACGCCGAGUUGUUUUAUGAUUGGAUACUUGUAUGUAAGCUUCAGAGUUCGGCAUUCUGACGGCCGAACCACAUUUACCAUUAAGACAUAUAUCUGUUUUGAGUAUUUGUGCCCCUAUACUCUGGUGUUUAUUCAGCAUGCUUAUACCCUUACAAAUAUAAUCACUAUGACCGAAUUUGGCGCCGACAAUUUGUGAACUUUGUAAAAUUAGCAACCUUGUCUUCAGGCUCUAGAACCCAAAGGUCAAGAGUGUUCUUUCCUCGGCCGCGAUCGUAAGAUCAAGAAGUCAGCAACGCACCUAACGCAACAUCAACAUAUUUUACUCAGCCUAGCUCGACCAACGAGUUGUCACGCCCCACAUCAACCGAAGAACGUAGUUAGCUUAUUAGUUACUCGGCCUGCGCGCCACAUAGGCUUGGUAGUUUUUAGGGUCAAUAUUUUGGCAUGCCUGGUAGGACCAAGUGUUAAAACUACAAAGUUCAUGACCAUCGAGACACGAUCCGUUAAAAAGAAAACAAUGAUGGGAAAGUCAACGAUCGAUAUGCUAAUUCAAAGUCCUGGACAAGAAGUGUCGCAUAUGCGAAAUCCCCUCGUUGUUGCGACCCUUAAGGCUGUAAAUGUGACACACCGAGAAAAUGAGGUUUGUCUCGGUACCCAGCCCCGAAACAUAGAAGUACCUAACCAAAUCGUAAGAGUUUUCAUUGAAGGAAUAAUUGAGGACUGGGACGAAGAUAGUGGUGAAGGUUCUGACCCUCCAACUAGGUCGUUUCUUUGAAGACCACUUAACGAGCAAUCUCGGUAGGUUAAACAGAUAAUUAUCCAAAAGAUGAACAGUUUGCUCAAGGUAAUACGGAGUAAUGGUGAGACAUACACCUAAUUGCUCGAAUUAUUAGUUAGCAGAGUCUUCGCAAGAGGACCUGCUGAUCAGUCUCGACAAUUUCCACUCAAAAGUAAUCCAUUACAGGUAGAAGUAGGAUCUACUCAGCUCAAAACAAUUGAUUUGGAAAAAAAAAGAUCAAGUAGUAGGUCAGAUGGAUCCGACCAAAGAGUAGAAGUAGCAUCCGUCGAUAUGAUCGUGGUCCAAAGGAUGAUCGAUUCAGCCAUGAAAAAGGGGUCAAAGUUCCCGAAAUUCAUCCAUCCAUAUCCAGCUUAUGUGGAAAAAUUCAAAUAUCCUAAAGGCUUCAAGAUCCCAGAUUUCAGCCUUUUUGCUGGAGAAUCGUCCUUGUCCUCGUUAGAACAUGUGGCCCGGUUCACUGUGCAAAGCAGAAAUGUCAAUAGUGAUUUCCAUAAAAUGCGACUGUUUAACUUUUCGUUGAUGGGCUCAGCAUUCGCAUGGUAUAUCAACCUCCCACUUAAUUCCAUCCAAAGUUGGGAGAAGUUGGUCGAGAAAUUUCACAAACAACUUUAUUGGUCCGGGAUGGAAAUGUCAUUUUCUUCACUGGCUACGAUGGCUCAAGCAUUCGAUGAGUCACCAAUGGACUAUCUUACAAAGUUUAAAUCUGCCAGGAAUUAGUGCCGAGUACAUCUACCCGAAGUCGAAUUUGUUAGGCUUGCUCUAAAUGGGCUAGACGUGGAGUACAAAAAAGAAAUUCAUGGGGGCAAACUUCCAGGAUAUGUAGGAAUUAGCCCAAAUGGUGGUCGACGUUGAUCCAUUCCCUUCGGCAACAGUUGGUAUGGUAGACGCCCAUUUUCCCAAGAGCAAAGGGAAAAGGAACGCCUAGUUUGUUCCAAUACAACACGUCCCAAAGCAAAACUUUCGACCACAACUCAAAAUUGAUCUAUUUUCCAUUAAACCGCCCACCAAGUUUUCAGGAUCGGUCAUAGUAGAAUCUAUGUCAGACUCCAAUGCAGAAGAAACUGACGGGCCAUGGUUUUGUGCAGCAAUUGUAAGGCACGCAUCGUAUUAACCAAACAGAAUGAGAGAACACCUCAAACUCCAACACCACGGCAAUCAUCCAAGGAUGCGACGACACCCGCUAGAAAGUGUUCGAUAGGCUCGACCCUCAAGAACGGACAGACGGCCCUACCUUGGCCAGACGACGCCUUGAUUUCGACGCGCCGUUUUAUAACGAGGAUUAUUACUCGAGUAAUUCCAGCAAUUCAAGUUCAUCGGCGAAUCAAAAAAACCUUCAGGCCUCUUGAGUCACGCAACCAAUGUUGGUACAGUUACAACUCUCACACUGGCAUGUAUACUACACUAUCCAAAUCUCAAAAACGUCGACGCCAGUGGAUAUAUUGCAUGGCUCGACGACAGGCAGCCCAGAUCGUUUCGGCAGCUAAAUGGCAGCCGAAAGAAGCGAUAAGAAGCUGAGAUGAUCGACAAACCCUAACAAUUAUGGAUGAAUUACAAGGGCGAAAAGGAACCGAUCGCAACUUUGAAACCACUAUUGAUGAGUCCGAGAAGCGCAUCAAACUCCUCAUUCGGCCUAGCGAGAUGAAAGUUUGUUUCAAGUUGUUUGGGAAAGACGUCAAAAGCAAACUUUCCCCAUUACUCCCGCAAAAGUCAUUAAUAAGAGUUCGACAAAAUCUAUACCCUUCAUUCCUCGGUGAAUCCUUGGAGUACAUGAGAGAGUUUCAUAAGAAAUAUUCUGCCAACGAUUUGUACGGCCUACCCAAGGCGUGUCAAGAAGCUAUCGACCUGGCACUAAUUUGUCUUGAUGCUGAACAAAUUAUCCAAAAAACCACCGAUCCAGUAAUGAAGGCCAGGUUCCAGCACAUACAAGAAGCUAGGGUCUUUGGCUUCGAGGUCAAUCCAUACACGGACAUUGAUAUGGCCGAGCUUCCCUUUUCUCUUAAAUACCUUCAAUACUUAUGACACCACUUCGAAGUCUUCUCGGCCGUAUCUCUCUUCGGUCUUAUAGCCGAUGAAGAAGAUCGGGUAGCAUGUCUGGACGCCUACCUAGAUACAAGGGACAUUCGGAUCGCCUAUGAAGGACGAGCCCGUAAAGCACUGUAGGGGCAAAGUCAGACACCAUAAACGAACAGGCUCGAAGACGACAGUUAGAAGGAAGCAAGGACGGGUUGCAUAUCACAAGUGCAAGUACCUGUUGAGGCAUACGAUGAUCAGGCCGAGGAUGCUCUAACACACAAUGCUGCAAUCCUUGAUAACCUGGAAGACGACGACCAAGAUCCGAUGGGCCCUUUGGUUCUUAAGAACAUGGAAAUUAGCAUGGUUCAUGUUCUACCAGCUGAAUUCCAGCCAACUGCACACCAACCAAAUUUCUUGGAUGGUGAUGUGGUUGUCGAAGAAGCAACACAAGUAACACACCCCGAUCCAGAUAUUCCCCAAAUACCAGCAUAGGCACGUGCUAGCCGACACCCGAGGGUGAUGAAAGCCAUUUAUUAAGUGCAAAUGUUGAAAACAAGGGAUAGAUAAGACUUAGAAAUAUAAAAGAAUAAUGAAUAUGCAUUUAAGGAACGUGUUCAGAGCAUACAACUAACUUAAAUACUAAAAGAAAUAAUAUAAAAAAAAAUUGAAUGAACACCAAGAAGACUCGAAGAUGCCGCUGUGGAAGUGCCUUGACGCCGGGAUUGUAUGCCUUGAUUCUAAGUCCUGAAUGCGGGCGCAAAACAAAUGUGAGUGGACCAAGUUCAUAUAUACAGUAAUAAUAAAACAGUUAUUAAGAUACUAACCCCCACAGUUUAUAUACAGAAAAACUACUAGCAUAAUAAGUGAUACGUUUACUAAAAAACCCUAGCAUGCCAAAAACAUCUCAAAAGACAUAUCGCGGAAAAUCAAAAACAUCAAUCGUCUCGUAAUCGCAGUGUGCUGCCAGUAAGAUCACUGAAUAAAUAUAACUCUUGGCCCUAUGCCAGCAUCGUGGUCUCUGCGCCCGUAGCCAGAGAUUACCAACUCUCGGCCCAAUGCCUGCUUCGUGUCCCUCAGCCCGUAGCUAGGGAUUAUUUCUCCCAGCCUAUCUGCCAACACCAGAUCCUCGUCCCAAAAACCUUCUCGCUGCUGAAGGCCAGGAAUUUGAUCAAAUCAGGCGACCUUGUUAUUGCUGUCUCAGACGUCUUGCAGUGCAUCCAAGUUAUGAAUGUUCCUUGAAAACUGGAUUUCGAUUACCUUGGAAGCAUUUUCUCGAUCCUUCUAGCUUGUGUCAUCUAUCAAACUGCUAAGUUAAUUGCUUUUGGUUGAAAGAAAAAGGGGGAAAUCUGGAGGUGACUCAGCCUUCCCCUAAUGAUCUUCCCGGAGCAGGCCUCAAGAUCCAUCGUAAAGUUCAGAGGAGCUGCCUGGUAUUGUUCAUUAAUUACCUUGCGAAAUUAGUUUGCUUAAUUAGUUUUAGGGUUAUGACGAGAACCGUAUCGUUGAAAGGCAGAUAAAUAUCUUUAUGUUUUGGGAUUACAGAAAUAAUGAUCCUAUGUGUUUUGAUGUGUCUCUAAAAUUCGAUCAAGCGUGAUCAACAAUUAACCAUUUUCAAGUUACUGUUUAAUGUCACCCCACUGGUUUCUGAAAUUGAAUGUAUUUGGGUUACUCAUGUUGUUGAAGUGGAUGCAAUUCAUUUAGAUCGUUGUCAUUUUAUUUUUUCACGUAGCCACAUUGAUUGGAUUGCAUAUGUGCUUUUCAUCGAUGCAUUCGAGUUUGAAUCUCUUUUUAUAAUAAUCUCAAGUAGAAUAAUGUACAAAUAUAACUUCAUAAUAUCAUCAAGUAUGUAAGCUUGGGCAGUCAUUGCUGUAUUGGGCUUUGAGCGAAUAUUCCCUUUUUUCUCAAUUGCAUAUUGGUGUGAAAAUUCUAGAGAAAGAAAUGAGUACGGUGGCAUAUAUUCAAGCAA
rnacentral:lncRNA from 1 species